rnacentral:lncRNA from 1 species
UUUUUUUUUGGUUCUCUUACUGGAUAAUAAUAACAGAGUUUGGAUAGACUUGUUCGCAGGCUUUGGGCCUUUUGGUGUCUCAACUUGCAUGGGCCGGGCCUUGCAAAGAAUUUUUGGGCCCACUUCGUCGGCUUGGCUGACCGGUGAUGAAAUUAGUUUUCCUUGAUAGCAUGACUGAGAAAGCAACGAAUACUGCAAGUCAAUUGAUUAACAAAAAUUUUAGAUGCACAAAAUUUUUUCUGAAAUUUUAUAUGAUUCAGUUGAUAUUUGUGUUAAAAAUGUGAUCUGGUUAGAGAAAUUUCUUCAAAGCAAAUAAAUAAAAAUCAUUUUCGCCGCCGCCGUGAAGAAUAUAUAUUCUUCAAAGAAUAUAGCUACUAGUACUCUAUAUUCUAUAAGUUUAGUGGUGGUUAUGCAUGUGCUGCAAAUUGAAGAGUUUGGACUUUCGAAAUGGACAAAGAUGACUGCCAAGAACUUGUGAUUUAAUUACAAGUACUUCAUUAGCUACUAAAAGUUAUCAAUCAGGGGUACCAAAUCAAGGUUACAUUAUAUGACCUGGCCUUUAAUUUGACGUAAUCCAAGUUAGCACCUUUCUGCUGGCUAGGAUCAUGCACAUGGCGGUCACCAUCAAUUGUUUCUAACUAACAAACCCACAUGCUAAUGUAUGAUAAUUUUCAAAUAUUACAAUAAUACAUGGUCAAAAUGAGUCAUCAUAUUCUCUCAAUAUAUAGUAGUAUUAUAUAUGUGCGCUUGAAUUUAAGAAUCUGAUGAAUAAUAAUCAUCACUUAAAUCCAUGUCUCUGCACCAGUCAAACCAGAGUCGCCACGCAUCGUCUGACAAAUUUUGUCGGUGUCUGGAUAAAAUAUAUUGAUCUUGCAAAAAUUACGAUAUCAAUGUGCAUUAAUUUAUGCAUGCUCAAAUCACUGUUAUCGUAAUUAAGCAGGCAGGUCAUUCAGAUUAUAAUAUUUUCUUAUUCUGAUCACCAUCUAUCAUAGCAUAGGUUGUUUACACUACCACAUACAUGUAGCAUAUAUCUUGAAUGUUUUUUUCACUGUUUGAUCCAAAUUGAAUAAUAUUUUGCAUUUGUUUAUGAAAAUAUUAAUCUAAUAAGUUAAACCAAGUGCAUGCACAAUUUUGUUUUAGCCCGGUGCGUGCUUGUGUUUAAUUUGCAGGGUAAUUAAUUAAUAAGCUAGUCGCUGUUAAUUGUAGGAGGCAGGCAGGCAUGUGAUGUGGCUUGUGACGUUGGAUACAGCAAGUUCACUGAACCCUGCCUGCAGGGAUCAAAUCAAUAGAAUGGAAUAUAUAAUGAUAAUGCUGCUUCCUAGGUUCAUGUAGCUACCCUCUCAUCUCCUUGCUAGCUAGGGAACACCAUUUUGGAUGCUGCCUGCGUCGUCACCCAGCGAUUAGAUGGGUGGUGACUGGUGAGAUGCCAACUACAACAAAUUAGAGAGACCUCGAUCGAUCUCCAGGCCGGCUAUAAAUGAUCCUUCUGCUAGCUAGUAGCUCGCGGUUGUGUAUUGUGUGUCUUGUGUGUGUGUGUGUGUGUGUGAGGAAGGAUCGAUCGUCGAUCGGACUCGGAGCUGAUGAGGAGGAAGAAGAUGUACGGCGGCGGCGGUUGCAGUCCGGACGACGACGACAGGAUGGUGUGGAACGACGACGAUAAUAAAAAGCUGGCGACGACGAAGCACAUCAUCAAUGGAGGCGGCGGCGGCGGCGAGGAGGCAGCAGCAGCAGCAAAAGGCGAGAAGCGGAAGCUGCGGCGGUCGGUGUCGAUGACGACGGCGGUGGGUGGGCGUGUGGCGAGCGCGGCGAGGGAGCAGCGGGCGCGCCUCUACAUCAUGCGCCGCUGCGUCUCCAUGCUCGUGCGCUGGAAGGACUGACUGUUUGGGCUGCUGUGGGUGUGGGUGUGUGUAUGGGCCAGGCCCAUCAUGUUUCUUAUGUUUGGGCUGCUGCUGGGUUGCUUUGCUUUUGCUUUUCGAGAGACAGAGAGAGAUGGGCCUCCGCCGUCGCAAUUCUGUCUGUUGUGUUAUGCUUGGGCCGUUCAUUGCGUGCCAUCGGCGGCGGCAUUUGUUUGAUCCGCGUCGUCUUCUCUUCUUCUUCCUCCCCACCACCGUACCCCUAGCAAAUAAACAGCAAAUCAACUCAAUCGACUUGAGGUACAACUCUACAAGUAUGGCGAGCACCAGCAACGCUAACUCAUGUCGACAUGGCUGUGAGAUCUGGCUGCUGCUAACUGCCUAGUGAAGAAGACGGAAGUGGAAUAAUGGAUCCACCCAACCAGGAAGGAGGUUCGUGUCGGUCUUAAAAAAAAUUGAUACCAAACAGAUUUAUGAAUGGAAAGAAAUAAUACUUGGAAGUUCUGGAAAAACAAUGGAUCUCCCUUUGCAACGGGUAGGGCUCCUCUUUUACAGUGGCUCAUGAGCCACUUCACGUUUCGAAAAUAUCCUUCCUCCAACACUACAUUUCUAGUAUAUGACGUACAUAAAGAUCAUUGGAGGUAACGUGUACAAAUUGAAUUCCAUCUUCUACCGUGUCGUUGGAUCGAUCAUUACUUAUGAAUUAACGAUCAGGUUUCAGACAUGGAUCGAAUCGAGGGAAAUGUUUCGUUUGUCGAUCAUCUUAGCGAUAUACUUGACUGACAGAUCAGAUAUGAUGCUGCAUUAUCGAUGGAAUGCAUGUUAGCCGACUGACUCACUACGGGAUACAGUAGAUUCGUCAGGCACUCAGCAAAGCUCAAAAAGUACUUGGUAAAAGAUUUUGCCGACUGUAACACUUGACAAACAUCACACGACAUCUAUUUUAACGACAAAGAGUUUUUUGCCGAGUGUUUUUCUUCGAGCAUUCGGCAAAGUGUUUACAGAGUGCUAAAUCGACUCUCGCUUGUGUUUUCUCCCUCUUUUUUUUUUACCUGUGUUUCACCAAUCUCUCUUUCCCCCCUAAAAAAAUCAGUCUCUCUUUCCCCAAAAAACUACUAGUAUUGGAAAUACAUCUUCCUUUUUUUUCAAUAUUUUUUGGUUUGUUCCAAUAAUUCUUUUCAACACUCCUCAGAUUGAGGGCGAAAACGACCAGUACUCUUGACGCUUCCGUUUUUCUUUUGUCGCCUCUCCUCCCACGCGGCGUUCCGGUGAACGCCGACGUCCCCCAGGUCUUCGGUCGCUCCACGCCGGCGAGGCCAAGCCGUGAGCCACAGCCGCCGAUGGUGACCGGCCGGAAUGGAGAGCCAGGGCAUCGAGGGGCGCUGACGAAAACGUUACGAUCUAGAUCGAGGAGCACGCCGGACUCCACAGAUGGAGAUGAUCACCAAUUCCUUCUCUUGAUUUUAUUUCUCAAUUUCUUUGAAAAGAGAGAUAGCAAAAUCCUAAACGAUUUGUUUUCUCCUCCUAAUAAGAAACAUUAAUCACGAGUUCUAUAUGUACGUUCAGCGUAUGCAUGUCAGGCUGUGAUUGGAUGGACGUACUAACACGCUAGCUAUAGCAUUAGCAGGUGUAUACGCGCGAAGAAGAAGAAGAAGCUCAUCAUCACCAGGAAGCCGCAGCGCCGUCGUCGAAGCAGAGUCGUCGUCACGGCGAUGGCGGCGUCGGCCAGCAAUAGUAAGAAGAAGGAGGCCGUGGACGAGACGACGAAGCAGACUGAGAGGGUCGACAGGUGGAGGGGCCUCGCCUACGACGUCUCCGACGACCAGCAGGACAUCACUCGCGGCAAGGGCCUGGUGGACUCGCGCCCAUGGGCGACGGCACCCACGAGGCCGUGCUCUACGAGUACCUCAGCCAGGGUCUCCGUCACCUGGACAACACCAUGGACGGCUACUACAUCGCUCCGGCGUUCAUGGACAAGCUCGUCGUCCACAUCGCCAAGAACUUCAUGUCCCUGCCCAACAUCAAGGUGCCCCCUCAUCCUGGGCAUCUGGGGCGGCAAGGGCCAGUGCGAGUCCUUCCAGUGCGAGCUCGUCUUCGCCAAGAUGGGGAUCAACCCCGUCGUGAUGAGCGCCGGCGAGCUGGAGAGCGGCAACGCCGGCGAGCCCGCCAAGCUCAUCCGCCAGCGCUACCGCGAGGCCGCCGACAUCAUCAAGAAGGGCAAGAUGUGCGUGCUCUUCAUCAACGACCUCGACGCCGGCGCCGGGUGCAUGGGCGGCACCACCCUGUAUACCGUCAACAACCAGAUGGUGAACGCCACCCUGAUGAACAUCGCCGACAACCCCACGAACGUGCAGCUCCCGGGGAUGUACAACAAGGAGGAGAACCCCCGCGUCCCCAUCGUCGUCACCGGCAACGACUUCUCCACGCUGUACGCGCCGCUCAUCCGCGACGGCCGCAUGGACAAGUUCCACUGGGCUCCCACCCGUGUGGACAGGAUCGGUGUCUGCAGGGGCAUCUUCCGCGCCGACGGCGUCUCCGACGAGGCCGUCGUGAAGCUCGUCGUCGACGCCUUCCCGGGGCAGUCCAUCGACUUUUUCGGCGCGCUGCGAGCCCGGGUGUACGACGACGAGGUGCGCCGGGUGGGUCGCCGAGACCGGCAUCGAGAACAUCGGCCGGAAGCUCGUCAACUCCAGGGACGGCCCGCCGACGUUCGACCAGCCCAAGAUGACGAUCGAGAAGCUGCUCGAGUACGGCCACAUGCUGGUGGCGGAGCAGGAGAACGUCAAGCGCGUGCAGCUGGCCGACAAGUACCUCAGCGAGGCGGCGCUCGGCGAUGCCAACCACGACGACGACGCCAUCGCCGCCGCCCGCAACUUGUACUACGGCAAGGCGGCGCAGCAGGUGGGCUUGCCCGUGCCCGAGGGGUGCACCGACCCAAAGGCCGGCAACUUCGACCCAACAGCCAGAAGCGACGACGGCAGCUGCGUCUACAACUGACGCAUGCAUGAUGCCUCUGCCCACACUCCUCUUUUAUCUUUUUGCAAAUUAAGUGUAAACUGCCUUCAAUUCAUGUUUGAAGUUGACAAGAAACAAGAAACAAGUUUGUAAUAGGAUACAAAAUUUGUGGUGCAAUUUAGCUAGGAUACAAAAUUUGGAUGUCUCAUCCAUCCUGCAGGAGGAGGAGCCAGGGACCAUGGUCACACCCAACAAAAGAAAAAUGUUUGCUACCUAUUGUUAGCCCAUGGUCAGUAGAUGAUAGGAGCUAAAUCCAACCGCCCAAACCGCAUACAGCCACCACGCUAAGAUGACAGGAUCUCGUCCUCGCUCGCCAUGUUUCGUUUUCAAUCUCGCAGUUGCAAUGGACUCGACGUCUGCGCUCGGCGCCACAGACUCUAGCUCUGCGACUGCGGCGGCAUCACGCCGACGAUGGCAAAUGGUCGCGGCCGUGAUGGAGGACAACAUCAACAACUCAAACCAAAUGUAAGCGAACUAUUUCCGAUUUCUAAUUUAUUGUCUCAUACUGAGAGAGAGAGAUUGAGAUGAAGGUCACGACAAAUUCGAUUAUUGAUGGUUUCAACUUAGAGCAAAAUGCCAAAUUCUUGAAUCCGUAAAUAUUGUCUGUUCUAACUUUCUUGGAAAAGUAAUAACAUGGCAAGUAUGAUCAAAUUUAUAAAAUAAAGUACUAACAUUUAUGAUACAAGUAUAUUAGGUUCUUCAUUAAAUAUAUUUUCAUAGUAUAUCUACUCGAUGCCACAAUUAUUUGUAAUCCUUUGUAUAAUUUUGGGUCAAACAUUAAAUAAUUUGACUCUCCAAGAAAUUUAAAAUGACUUAAAAUCUGGAACUAAAAGGAUAUAUACAAAUAAAGUACCAGUGAAUCACAAAUAAAUUAGAAACUCCCAGAAAACCUGCAUCCAGUGGCCUAUCAGUGUCAUGCAACACAAACCAAGAGAUGGUCUCUUACUCUCUUAGGCCCCCUUUGGUAGGGCUUCGGCUGCGGCUUCUCCACCGAGAGAAGCCGAAGCCCUACUAAAUGAUCUCCACCAAAACGGCUUCGGGGAAGAAGCCCCUCCGAACCCGCUCUGUGGAGCCAUUUGACGGAGAAGAAGCCCAAAAAACCGGCUCCCCGCGGCUUCUUCCCGUCGUUCCCACCCUUGCCCUCGGGGAGCUCGCGGGUGGAGGUGAAGGGUGCGGUGGAGGCGGUCUGGCGGCGCAGUGGAGUCGGAGGAGCGAGGUGGAGGCAGAACGGCGUGGUGGAGGUGGCCUGGCAGCGCGACGCGACACUGGAGGCGGAGCGGCGUGGGGACGGAGGCGCGGCGCGGUGGAGGGCAGGGACGGUGACGCUAGGGGCCGACGGUGGAGCGGAGGCGCUGGGGCGGCCGGCGGUGGAGCGGAGGCGCUGGGGCAGCCGGCGGUGGAGUGGAGGCGAGCGGAGGCGUCGGGACGGGCGGAGGCGAGCGGAGGCGCUGAGGCGAGCGGAUAAGGCAGGCGUCGACUUGGCGAGUAGAUAAGGUUGGCGGAGGCGGAUAAGAAUUAAAGGAAAGAGAAAAAAAAGGAGAAAAAAGAAAAAGGAAAAAAAUAAGGAAGGGUAUUAUGGACAUUUCAUAUUUUUAUCCAUGUUACUCAUCUAGGAGAAGUCGUUUUGCCAAACGUUUCUCCAUCCAGACUAGGUAAAGUUAAAAAAACUGUUUCAUCGAAGAAGCCACAACCACAGCUGUUUUAGCCACAGCUGCAGCCCUGCCAAACGAGCUCUUAGUGUUGCCACUGCAAGCAAGCCAUCUGCCAAACCCCAUCCUCAGCGUGUGGCCUCCGAGAGAUGUGGGAGCUGAUCCACAACCACAGGCUCUUCGCUGACCUCCGAUCCGAUCCCGACAACAGGCCAUGGCGGCAGCCGCAGCCGCAGCGGCAGACACACGGCCACCACACGUGCUCCUUUAUUUGGCUCUCGGUCUCAGUACUUUGAGAACGAAGAGCAGCUAGCGGCGGCGGCGCAUCAGUGACAGAUCACUCGUGCUUGCCCUUCCUAGCAAGGUCGCCCAAGGAGGAAGAAGAAGAAGCAGCGCCGCGCCGCAGAGAUGGCGGCCGCCUCCUCCUCCACCGUCGUAGCUCCGGUGAGUUCAUUCUCUUCCAUCAUCAUCUCAUGCAUCGAUCAUACGAGAGCCGCCUGACGAUUAGAGUGCAAUCCUUCAUACAGGCCUCCACCCCGGCCAGCUUCCUCGGGAAGAAGCUCAGGCCGACGCAAGCGACGACGGCGGCGGCCGUGAACUACUACCAUGUCAAGAGCUCCAGCGGCGCCAACAGGUUCAAGGUCAUGGCCGCCCCGACCCCCAUCCCGCUAACCACCAUCGCCGAGCUGCGGCAGCACCACUCGCAGCUCGUCCGCCUCGGCCUCGCCUCCCACCCUUCCCACGCGCGCCGCCUCCUCUCCUUCCUCGCCCGCGACCCCGACUCCCACUUCCCCUACGCCGCCCGCCUCCUGGCGCACCACCCGGACCCGCACCCGGCGCUCUUCAACCCGCUCCUCUCCGCCCUCCCGCCGCGCCACGCCGCGCGGCUCCUGGCACUCAUGCUCUCCCUGCCCCUGCCCCCCGACCACUUCACCUUCCCGCGCAUCCUCCCCGGCGCCGCGCCGCUCCUCCUCGUCGCCCAGCUCCACGCGCUGCUCGUCAAGCUCGGCUUCCACUCCCACUCGCAGUCGCUCAACGCACUGCUCGCCGCGUACCUCGCCAAUGCGCGCCCCGACCUCGCCUCCCGUGUCUUCCGCGGCGGGGGUGCCCUAGACGUCGUGUCGUGGACCACCAUGGUCGGCGGGCUCUGCAAGCUGGGGCUGGUCGACGGCGCGCGGGAGGUGUUCGACGGGAUGCCGGAGCGGAACCUGAUAUCGUGGAACGCGAUGAUGUCCGGGUACGUGAAGGCCGGGCGGUUCCUGGACGCGCUGGAGGUGUUCGACGAGAUGCGGGCGCGCGGCGUGGAGGGGAACGGGUUCGUCGCGGCGACGGCGGCGGUGGCGUGCACGGGCGCCGGCGCGCUGGCGCGCGGGAGGGAGGUGCACCGCUGGGUGGCGCGGAGCGGGAUCCGGAUGGAUGACAAGCUGGCGACCGCGAUGGUCGACAUGUACUGCAAGUGCGGGUGCGUCGAGGAGGCGCGGCGCGUGUUCGAGGCCCUGCCGGCGAAGGGGCUCACGACGUGGAACUGCAUGAUCGGCGGGCUCGCUGUGCACGGGCGAGGCGAGGACGCUGUCGAGGUGUUCGCCCGGAUGGAGAGGAAGGGCGUGGCGCCAGACGACGUCACGCUGGUGAACGUGCUCACGGCCUGCGCGCACGCGGGGAUGGUCCGCGAGGGUCGCCGCUACUUGGACCACAUUGUUCGAAGAUACGGCGUCGAGCUGAAGAUGGAGCACUACGGCUGCCUGGUUGACUUGUAUGGAAGAGCAGGGCAACUGGACGAAGCCAAGAAGGUGAUCGACGACAUGCCGAUGGAGCCGGACGUCGGCGUCCUCGGCGCGCUGUUUGGUGCGUGCAAGCUCCACGGCGAUGUCGACUUGGGCGAGGCGAUCGGGUGGCGCGUCAUCGAGCUGGAUCCCCAGAACAGCGGCCGCUACGUGCUGCUGGCGAACCUCCUCGCCACCGCCGGCCGGUGGGAGGACGUGGCCAGGGUCCGGCGGCUGAUGGACGAGCGGAAUGUGAGCAAGGAGGCCGGGCGGUCCGUGAUCGAGGUCGACGGCGAGGUCUGCGAGUUCCAGUGCGGGAGCCUGAGCCAUCACCAGGCAGAGGAGGUGUACGCCAUGGCCAGGGACAUGAUGAGGAGGAUCGGGGCAGAGGGCUACUUGCCCGACACGAGGGACGUGCUGCACGACGUUGCGUAGGGGAGGAGAGCUGGAGCAGGGGCACCGGAUGUCCCAAAAAAACUAUUCUCUCUCCUCAAAGUGUCUUCCAGCAAAAUUGACACAAACAAAAAGUAUCCACCAACAAACAGCCAAGAUGACGCUGGAGAAGCUGCUCGAGUACGGCCACAUGCUGGUGGCGGAGCAGGAGAACGUCAAGCGUGUGCAGCUUGCCGACAAGUACCUCAGCAAGCAACCAGGCAGCUCCGGCCCAGGUAAGCGUGUUCUUUUCUUCCCUCCUAAUUCUUGCACUUCACCAGGUAGACAUGCAUGGACACCGGCGCGUUGCAUUGAAGCCGUCCACCAGCGGCACGUCGUAGAAGCGCCGACCUCCACCACGGUCGCACCGGAGCACGCCGCCGCAGUCGCGCACCCGUGGUGAUCAGUGCAUUCUGAGCUCAGCCUUCAGAGUAAAGGAGGAUGCGGUGUUCUUGAAGAGGCAAGCUGAUCCAAAUGAGCAAUCAUAGGGUAACUAAGAAGAGGUAUAUAUAUCUAACAGGGAUGACAAGCUGGAGGAGGGAAGAUCUCUGCUUUAGCAACCAUCCUCGGGCGGAGCCUGGAUUUAGGUCAGGGGAGCAAUGCACAAAGAAAAGUAGAACGGAUAGCUAUGUGAUUAUGGAUUACUUGCGACGGUGUCAAUUUGGAGCGUGGCCGCGGUAGCGUCGCGCAGUGUUUCAACUCUCAUAUCCGGUCUUCCAGUAGCCAGUCCGACAGUACCAGCGCCACGCAGUUGCGGUGUCCGGCGAACUGGUGAAGGAGAAGAUCGAAAUACCGAAAAUGAAUAGUUGAACGGACAGAGGCACGACGCUUGAUGUUUAGUAUUCCAAACAAUAAUGAAGGGAGAAGGCGAGCAACGACUAGAUAGGCUUAAAUGGGCUGCUUCUUAUUGGGACUAAAAACAAUUAACGUUUGGAAUGAAUAGGAGGAGGCGAGAAGCUGAACACAGCUGAUACAUACAUGUAUAUUUAGAGUGGCGUGUUUGGUUGCCUGCUUCUCCCGUAGCCAGGCUCUGUAAAUGCAACUGACUGCAUGCUCCUUUGGUUUACCGUUGGGCAAUAAUGUGGACGAACAAGGCGGCUGAUGAUGUCGUCGCCGCUGCACAGCAGCAGUUGGUGACGACGAUCCUGUUGCAGCUCCAGCUGGUUUACGACGACGCACCCGGAGCGCGGAGGCGGCGGCGACGACGGAGGGAUCAAAGCGGAGGAGCAGCGAGGGCUCCGGCGGCGGUUGUAGUGUAGGAGUAGGGCGUGACGGCGGCGAGGUUUAAGAACUUGAUACUUGGGAUGAAAUGUUUAAGAAUAACAUGCAUGCACCAGGUUUUAUAUCGAUCUAACAUAAUGGAUAUAUAGAAGGGUGUACCAUCACUUUUUUGUAUGUACAUUUGUUUCCAGCUCGUCAACUCCGGGGAUGGCCCGCCGCCGACGUUCCAGCAGCCCAGGAUGCAUGACGCUGCUCAAGUACGGCCACAUGCAUGCUGGUGGCGGAGCAGGAGAACGUCUAGCGCGUGCAUGCACCAAUGAGCAGCCAAGUACGUCAUCACCGCCGGUGGCAACUUGUACUACGGCAAGGCGGCGCAGCAGAGGGGUGCACCGCACCGACCCAAAGGCCGGCAACUUCGACGACCCAACAGACAGCCAGAAGCGAUAGAUCACUCAGCUCGUGACGCUCCUUUGUCGGUCACGUCGCCACAUCCUCCGGCUUCCUGGCUUCGGGCGUCUGAGCUCCCUUGUGGUUACUUUCGAUCAGCUCCGGCUUGGCUUCAUUUGACGUCUCCGUCUCUGCGUCGUUGAUGGUGACUGUGCUGUGCGUGAACUGGCUUCGGCCUCAAGCUUUCUCAGGCCUUCGGCUGCACAGUCAUGUAAAUAUGCGACCUACCUUCUCCUUAGGCGCGGUUGCGAGGUUGGACGGAGCCCUUCUCCUUAGGCGCGCCCGAAGCUCCGUUCUUCCAAAACCCAAGUUGGCUCCUGCAGACAAUUCAAUUCCGUUUUGGCGAUCCCCAACAAUGCAUGGAUCGGCAGUCAUUUUCUUAAGGAAUCAUGCAUUAUGGACGACAGUGCAACUGACGGAAUCGGUGUAGCUCUCAGGUCGUCCGGGAGCAGACGACAAAAACCACCAGUCCCGUACGUGCUCGAUCGAUCAAACUUGCAUUAGCGAGCCGAAUGAAAAAUGAUCGAUCGAGUAGAGAGCAGUUGACGGGUGAACACGGGAAAGAAGGAAGCUAUCAGAUAACCAAGUACUUCAAAAAAAAAAACCCAUCAGAUAACCAUUCCUGAGAUUUCAGGAAACCUGAUGUCACUACACUGACCUUCGUCGUCAGCAGCACAUCGGACUCUCCGCGCCGGAAUCUUUCUCCUCUUCUGGUACGAAGCACCGAAAGAAACUAGAGAUCAAAGACAAGGAAGCAGGCAUGAGAUUAUUAUGGGGAAUAAUAAAAAGGAGAAAAACUUUGUUCUGGAACCGAUUGACCGAAUAAAUCUUUUUAACUCGAGUAACCGGAGUGGGACGAGGGGUUCACCUGUGCUUCCGGCAAGAGGUUGCGCAGCCCGAACAGGCAAGAAGGAGGCGGAGGUGGAGGGGACAGCGGCGGCCAUGGCGAUGGCGGCGCGCCGGCGCGGGAACACAAGAGGUGGUGGUUGGUGAUUUUUUGCAGAUUUUCCUUUUUCUUUUAUGGUUCUUUUACUGGAUUAUAGUUGGCCAGCCGGGCCACCCGGCACGGCACUGGCACGGGCACUAUCUGGCACGGCACUAUAUGGCACGGCACUAUCUGGCACGAGUACUUAACCGUGCCGUGCCGUGUAGUGCCGCCGUGCCUAACUGUCGGCACAGGCACGGCACUAACAGGCAGUUAGCGUGCCGUGCUGUGCCACAGGGCACGGCGGCACUGCAGUGCCCGUGCCGGCCUUGGCACUAAGUGUGCCUACCACAAGUCCACAAUACCACUCUUUUUACACAGAAUUACAAGCACAAUCCAAAACUAUUAAGAUUCACAAGUAGUGGAGAACUUAUCUUGUUGUAUUCACAAAUUUGUAACAAAGUCACAAGUCACAACCCAGUCACACAGUCAUAGAGAUAACAAAAUAACAUUUUAUUGGGAGCUUUAGUGCAAUGGCUGCCUCAUUAAAAACCUAUCUAGGUAAAACUCACCCUUGUGAGAAACCCUAGACAGGAAAAAAGAGUACAGCCCAACUCCAAUUAUAAAGUUCAUCACAGUCCAUGAGUCCAGUACUUAAUAUUACAGUCCCAUUACAUAAAUGAUAACUAAUCAAGAUAAAGUUCUUCAAAAGCUUCUUCAAGUUCCUUGUCCUCCACCAUGUGUUGCAGCCUUGCUUCUACAGCCUCCCAGUCUUUGAUGCAGGUGAGCAUCUCCACCAUGUCAGGCUUUAGCUUCCUCCGCCGCUCCUCGAUGAUCCUGCCAGUCAUACUAAAAGUGGAUUCUGAAGAUAUGGUUGAAACAGGAACUGUUAAUAUAUCCUUAGCCAUGGUUGACAACACUGGAUAUGUGAGUUUGUGUUGAUGCCACCAGUUCAAGAUGUUAAAAUCAUCAUCUAAAUGAUUCACUGUGUCACAGUCCAAGUAAGAAACAAGUUCAGAAACAUUACCACCUGAAGAACUGGCAGCAUGCAAAAGGGCAGUUGCAGAUGUAUCUCUAGCCAUGCUUAGAGUAGCAACUAGAGAAUGCAUGCCACCAGCAGAACCAACAUCAUCAUCAUCAUAAAUUUCAUCCCAAGCAGACCUUUUCUUACCAGAUAGGUUAGGAGGUACAAUCCUCCUCAACCUAACACCUCCAUAUUUCUCCUCAUACUUGUUGUAGACAUCAGUAAGUCGAGCUCUAGUGCUAACCUGGUAAGCACUGUAAUCUGUACUGGUAAGGGUACCCAACCUCCUGAGCACUCUAUUGAAACCUUUCAUUUUAGCUCUAGGGUCCAGGAUGAAUGCAAAAGAAUAAAGCAAAGGUAUGUCCCUCCAGUAUUUGUUAUACUUGUCUAUCAUAGGUUGAACCACAUGUCUGAUGUGAGUAUCAUUAGCAUAAUUCUUUAAGUGCAUAGCAAUCUUAACAAGAUAAUGAAUCAUAAGUGGAGAUGUAGGAUAGUACACACCAGACAAUGUAACUGUAGCAUCAUAAAAAAGUUCAAGAAAUCUUAGCACUUUUUCUGCCAUAGCCCAAUUAUCAUCAGAUAAAAGUAACUGAUCACCUUCAACCCUAGGAUAUUGAGCAACUAUGAAAGUUGUGAAUGGGACCUUAUGAGGAAACAAAUGCUUAAGCAUUAGAUAUGUAGAAUUCCACCUAACUUCCAUGUCUAGCUGAAACUUUCUAGGCCUAACACCAGUGGCAAUGCAAUAACUUUUAUAUGCAGCAAUUCUCUGAUUAGAUGAGUUUAAGAAAGAUAUUGCAAUUCUAAACUUCUCAAUCAAUGGCUUAAGAGCAGUUAGAGCCUCCUUAACAAUCAGAUUGAUAAUAUGGCAUGCACAACGCUGAUGCAAGAACAAAGAAUUAAUUGAAUGUGCAUUGUCAUCCCUAUCAUCAUCCACAACUUCAAUACCAAGAUAUUUAGAAAGAACAGGUCUAAGCUUUUGCAUGGCUGAAACAUUAGAUGAUGCAUUGUCCAAAGUAACAGCAAAAACUUUUUCAGUCAAACAAUAGUCAUCAAGCACAGAUGCAACACGAUCAGCAAUAUUUUGACCAUUGUGUGAACAAUCAAUCAGCCUAAGACCAAGCACUCUCUUCUCUAGUUGCCAAUCAGAGUUUAUGUAGUGAGCAACAACACUGAGGUAGUCCUCUUUGGCAUUACCAGACCAAAUAUCAGAGGUUAGACACACACAAUUAACACCAGCAAAUUUCACAAUCUCAACAAGCUUAGCCUUGCAAUCAUUGAAGUAUUUUAGCAAGUCUCUAGUGGUGGUUUGCCUAGAUACUGCAACAAAUUUAGGAUUAUGAGCAGUUCUAAUGUAAUCUUCAAAUGCAUAAGAUUCACCCAAAGAGACAGGAACAUCAAGCCUAGCAAGCAGUCUAACAAGUUGAGUACGGGCAACUAUAGGACAGUACUCCCAAUUACGAAUACUACCAUCAGGAUUAAAAGAGAUUUGUGACUGAGACAUGUGAGUUUUCUCACGCCUUCUAGGGCAUCUAUCCCUAUGGCGGGUGAGGUGACCAGUGCCACCACUAGAGCGCCCAGAGUACUCUUUAGAGCAAUGGAUGCAUUUAGCUCCAUACCUUACCUUCUUACCGUUCACCAUUUUGAAUAUCUUCUUGAAAUCAAGCCACACGGCCGAGGUAGAGGGGCGUGAGCGCUUACCGUUGUUCUCUUCCCCGUCCCCGUCCACUGCUUGGUCAUCGCAUGGCUCAAGGAUUAUGGGAGGUUGAGCCACACGGCCGAAGAGCUCGGCGGCAUCCUCGCGCAUGUCAUCCUCGUCAUCAUCUCCGGCCAACCCGCAAAGCCGUCUCUCUUGGUUUGACCCACCCUGAACCGUCUCGUCGUCGUCGGAUCCGGCCAUCGUCACACGCCCGCGCCCCGGUUCCUCAACGGCUACACAAAAAGAAGAGUUAGGAUUAGCUGGUUAGGGAUAAGGGGUCGAUUGAGCAAGGGUUAGGGUUAGGGUUUCCUACCUUGAUAGCCGGAGCACCGGAGUCGCCGGCGACGUUGACGAAGCACAGAUCCAGCGAGACCGACUACGGAUCCGGCGAGUUCUAAUGCGGAUCCGGCAAGAUCGACGCGGGGCCAAGACCUGGCGAGGCCGACACGGAGAUGACGAGAAGGACGACGCGAAGCGAGAAUGCGAGAUCAAGAAUAGCCAUAGGUGAUAGGAGUAUACAUGGCCGUGCCGUGUGCAAGUGCCGGCGGAGGCCGGAGGCCACCGGAGGGGGAGGAGAAGGGCAGAAAGGAGGGGAUCCGGGGAGGGAGGCAGAGAGAGAGAGAGCCGGAGAGUCGGAGAGAGAGAGGAGAGCGAGCGAAGAGAGAGAGAGAGGAGCGGCGCAAAUGACGGAAUGAGCUAGGGUUACCGUCGCGCGCCGUCGGCCUCCCUUAUAUACGCGCCCCCGCCAACGGUCGGAUCCAACGGUCGGAUGGAGCGGGGGCGGCGGAUCCGACGGCUGAUAGCCGUUUGGCCGUGCCUUAAGCGGGCCGGCCCAUUAAGCGUGCCGUGCCCGUGCCGGCACUACGGGCCGAAUUGGCGGCCCAGACACGGCACUAACGCCGUGCCGGGCCUGGCACUGGCACGAUGGUUCACGGGCCGGGCCGUUUUCGGGCCGUGCUUUUUCGUGUCGUGCUCGGGCUGGCCCGUAGUGUUAGUGCCAAAUGGAAAUCUAUAUACUGGAUAAUGAUAACAGAGUUUGGAUAGACUUGUUCGCAGGCUUUGGGCCUUUUGGGGGGCUUCCUUCAUGCUGUCUCGACAUACAUGGGCCUUGCAAAGAAUUUUGGGCCAACUUCGUUGGCUUGGUUGACCGGUGAUGAAAUUAGUUUUCCUUGAUAGCAUGACUGAGAAAGCAACGAAUACUGCAAGUCAAUUGAUUAUUGAUUAACGGACAAUGUAAUAAAAAAUCAGUUAUUUUCUCAAAUUUUAGAUGCUUCAGUUGAGAUUUGUGUGUUAAAACUGUCUGGUUAGCGAAAUCUCUUCAAAGAAAAAUAAAGAAAUCAUUUUCGCCGACGUGAAGGAAAUACCAUAGAUUUGUGUGUUAAAACUGUCUGGUCAUGCAGCGGACGGUGGGACCUUUGCAACCAAUCACGCCCUACACCUACUGUUUCUGCUCUGCUAUUUAUCUACUGUCUUGAUGGUUACUUAUUUUGUUUAAGGUAAGGCAAAAUGCCUAUGAUGACAAACUUAUUUGCCCAAUUAAAACUAUAUGGGUAGCAUCAGAUGACCUUGAGCUUGUGAGGGACCAUGACAUUGAUGUUGUUGUUCUUGUUGCCAACUAGUAGUGCAUGUUCCUUACUUAUGCUUGUGCUGUUCCUUAGCUAUUGUCCAUUCUGCCUAUGCUGUUAUUUCUGGUGACAUUGCUAUUGUUUCUGUUGCCAUUCUGCUACUGUUAUUGGUCUUAUUUUCCUGUUCUGUCACUGAUGCUCCAACCUCAAGAUCAAGUGGAGUUGAAAAUUACAUCUGAGGCUAUUUUUUUUAUAACUUACUAUAUCAGACUUGCUAGUUUACAGACAUAUACCUAUGCAUAUGGAGUUACCUAUCUUGGUUACCCAAGCAAUUUGAUGUUGUUGCCACCUAUCCCUUGGUACUGCUUGUCCAAGCUUCUGUUGUUUCUCAGAUGCUGUCCUGGGAUGGAUGCUCAAAGGUUGCUAUUUCUGUUGGCAGUCCUAGGAUGGUUUCUGUUGCCUCUGUUGCUAACUGGGUAACCUGUCAUGGAGAUGGUCAUAUUGUUUUUGUUGUCGACCUCUUUGGUACUGCUUGAUCUUGGUUGUUUCUGGUUGUGCUGUUGUCAUACUUGUAAUUCUGUUGUUUCUCAGAUGCUGUCCUGGGAUGGAUGCUCAAAGGUUGCUAUUCCUGUUGGCAGUCCUAGGAUGGUUUCUGUUGCCUCUGUUGCAAACUGGGUAACCUGUCAUGGAGAUGGUCAUAUUGUUUUUGUUGUCGACCUCUUUGGUACUGCUUGAUCUUGGUUGUUUCUGGUUGUGCUGUUGUCAUACUUGUAAUUCUGUUGCUUUUCUGUUGCCACUGUCUUACUAUUUGUGGUCUCCAAUUCAUCUAGUUGUCAUACUGUCAUUCUGUUCCAUGCUUUGUUUUCUCAUUCAUCUGUUGCUGCAAUUGAAUCAAGUUUCAAUUUGCUCCUCUUUGGUACUGCUUCAUCUUGGUUUUUUCUGGUUGUGCUGUUGUCUUACUAUUUGUGGUCUGCAAUUCAUCUAGUGUCAUUGAUGCUCCAAGCUCAAGGUUAAGACAACAUGCAAAUAACAUCUGAGGCCAAUAAUUUAAUUUCCACUUUUUGUUUUCUCAUUCAUUUGUUGCUGCAAUUGAAUCAAGUUUCAUUUUGUUCCUCUUUGGUACUGCUUGAUCUUGGUUUUUUCUGGUUCUGCUGUUGUCUUACUAUUUGUGGUCUGCAAUUAAUCUAGUGUCAUUGAUGCUCCAAGCUCAAGGUUAAGAGAAGAUGCAAAUAACAUCUGAGGCCAAUAGUUUAAUUUCCACUUUUUGUUUUCUCAUUCAUCUGUUGCUGCAAUUGAAUCAAGUUUCAUUUUGUUCCUAAGGCACAAUGGCUUGGUACGUUGUGUACCGUGGUAGGAAACCUGGAGUUUAUGCAACUUGGGUAACCUGUCAUCAGCAGGUCACCGGUUAUCCAAACUGUUGCUAUAAGAGUUUUAGUUCGAAAGAGGAGGCAAUUGCAUCUUUUCUAGAGUGCACUGGUGACGGAGAUGUCGAUAUCAAAGAAGCGACCGACGGUUCAAAAAACACGGCAACUGAAGUUAGUUGGGUCCAUAUCGUAGCCGGGCUACAAUUUAUAAUUAUUAUUGUACUCCUACUACUAGUCUAUUAUCUUUGGAAGUAGUCAAGCACGAGAUUAGUCUUUGUAAUAUUAAAACAUCUCAUGUUCAUCUCAUUGUUGGUAACCUCACCAAUAUGGUGCUAGGGUGCUCCGACCUCAUCCUGUUCUCUGUACCAAACACAAGCUAGUGACUCCUGUCGUACACGAGAGCGAUACAACCAGAACAACCAAACACAACCUCGCAUGAUUCAGGACGACAGCAAAAUGCAACCAAACAAACCUCCCUGUAUCACUCUAUUCCGUCUCCCACGAUCCAGAACAACCGGUCCAUUCUGGACGGUCCGGACCGGAGCAACCAAUCACGCCCUUACUGGAUAAUGAUAACAGAGUUUGGAUGGACUUGUUCGCAGGCUUUGGGCCGUUUGGGGGGCUUCCUUCAUGCUGUCUCGACUUACAUGGGCCUUGCAAAGAAUUUUGGGCCAACUUCGUUGGCUUGGCUGACCGGUGAUGAAAUUAGUUUUCCUUGAUAGCAUGACUGAGAAAGCAACGAAUACUGCAAGUCAAUUGAUUAUUGAUUAACGGACAAUGUAAUAAAAAAUCAGUUAUUUUCUCAAAUUUUAGAUGCUUCAGUUGAGAUUUGUGUGUUAAAACUGUCUGGUUAGCGAAAUUUCUUCAAAGAAAAAUAAAGAAAUGAAGGAAAUAACAUAGAUUUGCCUCAAUAUAGGUAAGUUUCUUUACAAGAAUAUAACUACUACUCUCUAAGUGUAGUGGUGGUUAUGCAUGUGCUGCAAAUUGAAGAGUUUGGACUUUCGAAAUGGACAAGCUGACUGCCAAGAACUGUGAUUUAAUUACAAGUACUUAAUUAGCUACUAAAAGUUAUCAAUCAGGGGUACCAAAUCAAGGUUACAUUAUAUGACCUGGCCUUUUGACGUAAUCCAAGUUAGCACCUUUCUGCUGGCUAGGAUCAUGCACAUGGCGGUCACCAUUGUUUCCGACUAACAAACCCACAUGCCAAUGUAUGAUAACACGAUCGGAAUUUCCAAAUAAUACAAUACGUACAUGGUCAAAUGAGUCAUCAUAUUCUCUCAAUAUAGUAGUAUUAUAUAUUCGCUUGAAUUUAAGUAUCUGAUGAGUAGUAAUCCUCAAUUAAAUCCAUGUCUGCACCAGUCAAACCAGACGCCACGCAUCGUUCUGACAAAUUUUGUCGGUGUCUGAAUAAAAUAUAUUGAUCUUGAAAAAAAUUAGAUUUCAAUUCAUCAUCGAUCAAUGUGCAUUUAUGGAUGCUCAAAUCACACUGUUAUCGUAAUCAAGCAGGCAGCUCAUUCAGAUUAUAAUAUUUUCUUGCGAAAAAUACUAUUAACAUAUCUUGAAUGUUUUUUCACUGUUUGAUUCAAUUGAAUAUUUUGCAUUUGUUUAUGAAAAUAUUAAUACAAUAAGUUAAGUUAAACCGUACGUGCUUGUGUUUAAUUUGCAGGGUAAUUAAUUAAGCUAGUCGCUGUUGUAGGAGGCAGGCAGGCAUGUGGCUUGUGAUGUGCGAUACAACAAGGCGCAGUUGGGCGCACAUCACACGAUGAAUUCAAAAAAAAAAAAAGAAGAACAUGCAUACACACAUCUAAACCUUACAUGGAUGCCUGCAGGUUCACUGAACCCUGCAGGGAUCAAAUUAAUAGAAUGGAAUAUGUAAUGAUAAUGCUGCUUCCUAGGUUCAUGCAGCUACCCUCUCAUCUCCUAGCAAAGCAGAUCGAGCUAGGGAACACCAUUUGCAAAAGAAAAAAAAUGUCCAUUUUGUAAUCUUCAUCUAUAAGCCAAAGUCUAGCUUCCAAUGCAACCAGCAACUAAUAAGAAGCCAUUCCCUUUUCAACUCCAAACUAAUAAAACUGAGCAUUAAUUCCGGCCCUGCUAGUUUAGAGCAGCUUGUUGAAGUCAGUAAAUAAUUUUUAAGAAAUAUGAAAAAGUUUUUGUUGCACAUGUAUGAUUAGGCUCCUUGAACUUUGCUACUAAUAGCAUAUACGAAGAUUAUGUACACUGUUAAUUACCAGUGAUAAUUUUUAACUAGCCGGUUAAUUUACAGACAUGAAAGGAAAAUGAAGGUGGAAGUGAACUAAAGCAUAUGCAUGCACCCUUGAGCAGCCAUGUGCUCCCACAGUAAUUAACAGACGCUGAGGCAGCGAUUAAUUAGAUGCUGCCGGCGUCACCCAGCGAUUAGAUGGGUGGUGACCGGUGAGAUGCCAACUACAACAAAUUAGAGAGAGCUCUCCAGGCCGGCUAUAAGUAGACAGCUGCUGCUGCUGAUGGAAGCCGUAAGGCGCCGUAGCCAAAAAUAUAAGCAAGUCCCCUGCCUCUCGAUCCUUCUGCUAGCUAGCUAGCUCGCGGUUGUGUGUUGUGUCUUGUGUGUGUGAGGAAGGAUCGAUCGAUCGUCGGGCUCGGAGCUGAGGAAGAAGAAGAAGAUGUACGGCGGCGGCGGUUGCAGUCCGGACGACGACAGGAUGGUGUGGAACGACAAUAAUAAAAAGCUGGCGACGAAGCACAUCAAUGGAGGCGGCGGCGAGGAGGCAACAGCAAAAGGCGAGAAGCGGAAGCUGCGGCGGUCGGUGUCGAUGACGACGGUGGGUGGGCGUCUGGCGAGCGCGGCGAAGGAGCAGCGGGCGCGCCUCUACAUCAUGCGCCGCUGCGUCUCCAUGCUCGUGCGCUGGAAGGACUGACUGUUUGGGCUGCUGUGGGUGUGGGUGUGUGUAUGGGCCAGGCCCAUCAUGUUUGGGCUGCUGCUGGGUUGCUUUGCUUUUGCUUUUCGAGAGAGAGAGAUCUGAGAUGGGCCUCCGUUGUCGCAAUUCUGUCUGUUGUAUUAUGCUUGGGCCGUUCAUUGCGUACGUAGGUGCGUUGGCCGUCUGAAUUAAUCAUCUCAAUCGGCUAUUCUCUGUGCGAUCCAAUCGGGGUUUUAAUUUCUUGGUUUACAGCAACGUAACCUACCCAUAUAUAGCUAGCUACCUAGGUGCAACGACGGAAGUGGAAUAAUGGAUCCACCGUACAAACAGAUUUGUGAAUGGAAAGAGAUAACACUUGGAAGUUGUGGAAAAAUAAUGGGUUACAGUGACCCGUGAGCCACUUUACAUUCCGAAAAUGUGCUUUCUCAAACGCUACAUUCCUAGUAUAUGCUGUACAUAAAGGUCACUGGAGGGUAAUGUGUACAAAUUGAAUUCCUCCGCGUAGUGACGUUUCUCACACCUCCAUCCCUCUAACCUUGGGACUUCGCCUUCAUGCCAGAUCAACUUGUUAGCUUCGUAUCAUCACCCUCAGCCCGAGAUAAAUGCCCAACCUCGUGGCGCCCGUUAGCUCCCCUAUAAAAGGUGGGGUGCGGGUCACUCAGGGCUACCCUCGCAUCUUGCUGUGAGUUUGCGCGCUGUUUGCUGGUGCUUUGAGAUUCGUGCUUUCCUCAGUUGUUUUUGUCCGUCUUCAUAGCUUCGAAGGUAUUGUUCUUAUGCAUAUUUUUCAUUCUUGUUUAGCUCUAUUGUUUUGCUUUGAUUUAUUGUUUAUGUGUUAUUCAGCUGACUCGAAUUAUGCAAACCGUGAGAUUGAUGACUCCUGAAGAAUUAGCAUUGCAUGGUCACGCUCCCGAAGGACAAGAGCCUCGCGAGGGUUCUGAUCAUCUGGAGGAAAUCAUGCCAUGUGUCCACAUGCUGGCCAUUGAUGUCUAUGGAAAUUACGCGGUCCAGAAGGUUAAGUUUCUCCAACUCAAUCCAAUAUAUUUGCGGCAUGGUUUCUAUUUAACUAGAAUUUGCAUUGUGAAGCAUGUACAAGAAUAUAAUAAAUUGAGCAUCAAGUCCCGUAUUAAUUAAUCCAUUAUUUGUUUCACCAUCAGGUUCUUGAGUAUGGACCGGAAUCUUACAAGAGGAAGCUCAUCGGCUAUCUUAUUGAGCAUGUGUUACCUACCCCUAAGCUUUCAUAUGUAUGGUUGCCGGGUCACACAGAAGGUAAACCAAUAUUUCAUAUUCGAAAAUGCAUGUGUGUGUGUGUGUGUCUUGUUCUGUUCCUGUGUCAGAGAGUGUUUUCCUACUGCAACAACCUGGAGAUCUACGACACGUUGGCGGCAGAGAUCAUCGAGUCUGUUAACAAGCUGUCUCGAGAGAAAUUUGCAAACUACGUGGUGCAGUACCUGCUGGAGCACGGCGGCCAAGCUAAGCGGUCCAUGAUGGUGAGCAAUUUUGCCGGGUACGUCGUGAGCAUGAGCUACAACAAAUUUGCCUCCAAUGUGAUCGAGGCAUGCCUGACCUUCGGGAGCCAGGAGGACCGGCAGCUCAUCACCAACGAGAUCAUCACCAGGAAGAUGGUGUCCGUUGCGGAGGAGCAGCAGGUGGGCGUGCUAGCUGGUGGAUGUGGCCAGAAGCAACGUGGCCUAUCUAGUCUGAUGAGGUUUAAGUAUGGCGAGCACGUCAUUGCCGCCAUCGAGAGCUUCCUCAGCGCCAAGGGUAAGACGCAUUCCCUGCCAAGCUAGAUGUUCCUCAGCACCAGCAACGCUAACUCAUGACAUGGCUCCUCCUCCACUCCCGCCCCAGUGAGAUCUGGCUGCUGCUAACUGCCUAGCGAAGAAGACGAAGAGGAGGGAGACUGCUGCAUCAUCCAUCUUGUACCGUGUCGUUGGAUCGAUCACUACUUAUGAAUUAACGAUCAGGUUUCAGGACUUGGAUCGAAUCGAUGGAAUGUUUCCUUCGUCGAUCAUCCCAACAGCAUACUGUGACUGCUGUCAGAUCAGAUGCUGCAUCAUCGAUGGAAUGUUAGCUGACUGACUGACAUGCAGUGACCGUUGUGGUAAACUAGUUGUUAUAUAUGUCAUUACAUGAUCGAUUAGGUUCAGAUGCUACACGUAUAUAGUCUAUAACUCUGAACAAAAAGCUUAAAGCACGAACAGAAGAUACAUAGAGCACAAGGGAACAUGCAUGGAUGAGUGUACUAGCAGAUGAUGAACUAUUUAUUUCCUGGAUGUGGGCGGCGGGCAGAAGGUGAUGAGGUAUCGGCUGGCCUUGCAGCGGUUGAGGGAGGUGGCGUCGUCGUAGGCGUAGCUGUAGGCCUUGGGACAGACGGCCUUGAAGACGUGGGCGAAGAUGGUGGGGCGGCACCUCUCCGGCGACGCGUAGUCCCCCGUGCAGCAGUACCUGUCGCCUCCCAUGGCCCUGCACGCGCUCCGGCACCCGGCCACCUUCCCCUCCCUGUCCCUCACCUCCAGCGCCGACGGGCAGCAGACGUUCAUGUCCGCCUGGCACCCGGCCACGCCGCACCCAGCGCCGCCGCCCACCGGGGACAUGGACACCGGCGCGUUGAAACCGUCCACCAGCGACACGUCGUAGAAGUGCAGCGCCGACCUGGGGGUGCCCAGCGUCAUCUCCACCACGGUCGCCGGCGUGGCGCCGGGGCGGCCGUCGCACCGGAGCACGCCGCCGCAGUCGCCCGUGGCGCAGCUGCCCCGCCCGCGGUCGUCGAAGGAGCAGCCGCGGCGAGGCCACACGCGACCGGACCAGCCCAGCGGCACGUCGAAGGCGGUCUCGUCGCCCGGGGCCAGGUGGAAGCCGCCCGACUGCGGUGUCGGGUGCCCGGCGGUGCCCAGCAGGCCAGGCCAUAUCGACUCCGCGCAGUUGUUCACCAAGAUCAGCUGGAUGCCGCCGCCACCACCACCACCACUCGCGCUAGUCACUAGUAACGCCGCCAUGGACAGGAAAAUGCUGAGGAGCUGGAGCUUAGCCAUGGUGCUCUCCUGAUCUGUCAGCUAUAGCUGCUGCUAAUCAUAUCGAGUCUGCGGUGCUUAUAUGCAUCUGCAAGGUGCAAGAUGCUACUCUACGAAGAGGAUUGUUAUUCAUCGCUACACACAGAAAAGAUACAAAAGAUGCAAAGCAUUGCGCCGGCCAGGAGCGAGCUAUUACUUAAGUAGUGAUCUUAUCAUCAGCUUUGGCAACUAAAAAGUUUUGAUUCUGGCAAUGCAACAAGCAGUGUAGUGGCUCCCAUGAUUCUGUCGAGCCCCGACUCGAUCGUAUCGAUCGUGCAGUUAAAGAUAGAUGCCAGAAUAUUACACAAGACAGAAUUGUGGUUUCCUGCUUGCAUUAGUUGUACUUGCCUCGCUCUAAAGUUUUUCAGGUAAAAUCUGAUGAAUUAGUUUAUACAGGAUUUUUUUUCCCACCAUGACGCCAAUGUAGACUAUAUAGCAGUCCAUGUAGGACAGAAGUCAGUAGCAGCUACCAUACUACCAACAAUGAAGAACUACUCAGCUUCUUCAGUCAGUCAGUGAUGAACUUCCUAUACAUGCAACCGACAUAUACAUUAUACCUGCUGACAUAAAGGUCAGAGAAAGCAAAUUAAAGGAGAGGAACUGCUGGCAUAAAGUGGUGUGUUGCCCUCCAACUUAGGACGUCCGGAAGGGAUUGCAAUGCAAUCUCAGGAUCUAUUCCUUGCUUUGGACUGGGGUUAGCUUCUACCUCGCGUAUGCAUAUAUAGUAUUUGGAUAACCAAAAGAAUGAGCCCAGCAGCAAGUUGAUGCACGGAUCGGACACUUUCCUUCCUACAAGGAAUAUCUGCCUGCUCCUCCAUCUCUUUUGCUUUUCCAUCGCCAUGCUUUUGUCGAGGCAAUCUUGUGAAAAGGGCAAGUGUGUUGCUUACACAUCUGAUGAAAUCAUCAUGCAUGUUUGCUACUGUUAUGAACCUUGCUUGAAGGGCCAAAUUCCAGCUUGACCGGCCCGCUGACAAAUUGGGCCUCUCAAUUCUAGAGUACUUUUGGCCCAAAGUAUAACCUAUAGUACUUUGCUCACUACUAAAUAGUGACUAGUAUUCUCAUGAAAGGAAAUCAACAAAGUAAGGUGGCCAACGUAAAUUACACAAGAGAUUUAUAUAUAAUGAAAUGAUCCACACAUAGUUCCUUGUACAAAAGAUUAAGAAAAAAAGAAGGCUGAAAACUAAACAGCACGCACAACACAAAUACAUGUGCGUGUGCUUGCAGUUGCAUUGUAGUGAUAAGCAACCAAUGCAAGGAGAUUGCAAUGAACGAAUGCAAUAGCUAAUACUAUAUAGUACAGUAGUAGUAGUACACACAGGUAGCUAGUUAAUGUGCAGGUAAUCAAUAAGUUUGUGGGAUUAGCUAGUUAAUUACUGGUAGUAAAUUAAGUAAAGGAGCAGUAAAAUUAAGAGUAAUGUGUGUGAGAUGUACGCAUGUCUUGAUGAUGCAUCUCGUGUGUGUACUUGAUUUUAAUUUGGUGCGUCAAUUAUUACCACCAUCGUCGUCCUGUGUAGUAGCAGUGCUGCCUUCUUGGGGUGGUGGUGUUGACGAUCCUCCGCCGAACAAGCGACGACGGCUAACCGCCGACCUGUUGAUGGCCGUAUUGUGUGUCACUGAAACUGGGCUACACUGCUGCUCGAAAUCCAAGGAGCAGGAUGCGUAGAUUGCCUGCAUCAUCCUCAAGCACUCAUCGGCGUCUUUCUCGUCCUGCAUUGCAUGCAUGCUAGUAUUAUAUUGAAGAAACAAAAAUGCAGUACUGAUCUACUGUACAUAGUUGAACGGAGGUAGGUGCUGAAGAAUGAUCGAUGGUUUACCGUUGGGCAAUGUGGACGAACAAGGCGGCUGAUGAUGUCGCCGUGCAGCAGUUGGUGACGAUCCUGCUCCAGCUGGUUUACGCACCGAAGCGCGGAGGCGGCGAUGACGGAGGGAUCGAAGCGGAGGAGCAACGAGGGCUCUGCGAGCGAGCGGAUGAGGAGGCGAGUUGCGCAGCGAGCGGUGGUGGCCGUAGUAAUAAUGAGCUGGAGGAAGGAGUAGGGCGUGACGCAGGCGAGGCGCCAUUGGAGCGCCUUGAGCAGCGCGAGCUCCAUGUCCCGCACCGUCGCCGCCCGGAACCAGUGCCCAAGCACCUCCUCCAUCUGCAAAUAAUCAUUUAUUCAGAAAAAAAAUGUCAUGCAUACAAGCAAGCAAGCAUGGGCAUGUGAAUGCAUGCAAUGCGGUCAUGUACGUAAUAGUACCUGGAGAUCGUGGAGCGAUGGGAUAUUGACUUCGUCCAGCUUGCACGCGAUGGACAAGCAGGCCACGCUCACCAGUUCAACCAUCCACGCCUCCUCCCACUUCUGCUUCAUCAAUUCAUUCAGUCGUUCGUUGCAUUGCAUCAAGAUCGAAGAAGAGGAGGAGGAAUGAAUGAAAUGAACUCGUCAUCCGGCAAGCUAAGCUAGCUGCAGAUGAUUACUUACCAGAUGGCAGUUGAUGGAGAGGAAUCUGUCCAGAUAGUUGACUGCGUUGAACGCCGUGGCCGCCGCCAGCCCCAACCGACCAAAUGCCUUAGCAAAUUGAAUUGCAUUCGUCAGAAAUUUGAAGCAAUAAUAGAUGGAGAUAGAUAACGUGUAAUUGAAAAAGAUCAAUUUAAAGAUAAUUACACAUUAUUACAUAGAUGAUGUAGUGCACUCCUCUUGAGCGAGCGGCGGCCACACCUGCUGCACCCUGCUGCCGCCGCAGAUGCUCCAGGUAGCCUCUGCUCGGCGCGUAGCAUCCCUGCCUGCCCACCAUGUGCUCCAACAACGCAAGAACCUCCUCCUGUUCUGCUGCACCUAAUUCCUCCUCGUCUCCUCCGACGACUGACGCCGCCGCCGCCGCCACCGGCCCGCCACCAUUACCAUCAGCUGGAGGAGGCGUGGAGACAAGGAGAGGGUCCUCGUCGCAGUAGAGAAGAUCACUAGCGUCGUCGUGGAGCAGCAUGCUCCCCUCCUCGUCGUCUUCCAUCCCUACCGGCCCUACAUAUGGUAUGGCUCUCCCCGGCCGAAUCGAAUCAUCCAUCAAUCGAUCGACGAUCCGGCCCCCUGUAUAUACAUGGCAAGAACGGAACGGAUCGGAGGAGUUACCCUGCUCGUGCGUACGUCGUGGAUGGUGGAUUGGUGGUUGGUGCCUUAAAGCCCGGGAGAGCAGCCUCAUGACCAUCCAUGACCGCCGUGUAGGCUAUAGCUGCAUGCAUGGCCAUGGCCGGCCGCCCGCGCGCACUCAAUGCAUCAUGCAAUCCGUCCUGUACGUACUGCAUACUCCUAGCUGGUGUAUAUAGCAGGAUCGACGCGCAUCCACGUACGUACAUCCACUUGCUCUGCCAUCACGUACGUGCAUGCAUACCAAGAAUCAUGCACUAUUGUGCAAUCAGCCAGGAAAUACUUAAUGCGCCCGGCCAUUCAAUGCCAUCCAUCCAUCUACCUGGAAGAACCAAGCUGCUGCUGUCGUUUAAUGCUUGCAUGCAUUCUGUUCCUUCUGACCGCCGCCGGAAAAGGAAAUAUCACCGACGUACUGCCAUGGCAGGCAGUCAUUCAGUGUCAGUACGCCAGUCUAACUCAUAUCAGCUUGCUGACCAGACCAACAACGCCCAUCCAUCCAUUUACACCGUACUUAGCUUUUACCAUUACAAUCCCUCUAACGUGCAUGUACUCAUGUAGUACAUACUAGAACAAGCCAUAUAUCAUCGAUAUAAAAUAAUCACUGGGAUUCAAAAAUAACGACGUCUGCCUAAAAACAACAAUAAUGUCGUCUACUUCAUAUAUUAUAUAUAUGUAACCUAAAAUUUACUUUUGGCAGUGUUGUCACAGCUUAUUAUUGUUCAACCCUCCGGACCUUUUUUUUUCAUCUUUUCCCUCCCCCAACCCCUAGGACGCAGGACGGGCGCUUUGUGUAUGUGUUGGCUGCAACGAGUGGGGAUGUACGGCACGCGAUGUGCGAGGGAUCACAGGGAGAGGUCUCGUUACAUAUGCAGGUGUUUGGUUCCAUGGACUAAAGUUUAAUCCCUAUCAUAUUAAAUAUUUAGAUACUAAUUAGGAGAACUAUAUAUGAUCUAAUUAUAAAACCAAUUGCACAGAUGAAGGUGAAUUCGCGAAACGAAUCUAUUAAAUCUAAUUAGUCCAUGAUUUGGCUGCAACGAGUGGUGAUGUAAGGCACGCGAUGUGCGAGGGAUCACCAGGAGAGGUCUCAUUCCAUAUGCAAAGCUGAUUAACUAAGGUCAAAGGGGUCAGUAUGGAAUUAUGGAAUGAGAGCUUGGAAAUCUUGGUUUCACUCCUCGCUAAUGCACUUCCACGGCUUGCCAGAGGUACACCCCUAUUUAGUCAGUCGCCGUGAUGUUGCUUGGGGACACCACUACGUGCGAGUGCGCUACAACUCUAUCUAAGGAUGCGUGAAGUUGGAAAAUUGCAUGCAGGGUUAGGGAUUUGAGAAAGGAAAAUUGAUUUUGGGAUAAUCAAAUAGGGAGAUGUGAGAGCCUGAACCUGAGUGGGAUGCGAUGCGAGCCAUGAUGAAAGAAGUUGUUGUGUCCACAGUUGGCACUUUUGGUGGAACGAAUUAGGACUUAGCAUGGAUAAGGCUGGUUGUCCAAGAUGCAUGUAGCUUGUUUUAUAUCAGGGAAACAAGAAUAGCUGAAUAUCUUCCAAUACAUUAGUAUACACAUGUAUAUAGCACAUACAUAAUUGAUUCUUACUGGAAAAAUCUUGGAUAUUCCCGAGAACACAGAGGCAUCAACGUGCCUCCGCCCCUGCCGUAUCCUCUCUCUUUUGAGGAGAGUGAGAGGGAUAAAAACACUACUAGGAAAAAUGCGAUUAGUACCGGUUAGGAAACCCCUUUAGUACCGGUUUCGCAACCAUAGUUCGGUACUAAAUGUUGGAGGUAUGCCCUAGAGGCAAUCAUAGAGAUGAUGAUAUUCCAUUUGUAUCCAUGAUUUGUAUAUUGUGUUCAUUGAAUAUCCAUUAAAGGCUACUUGAAUUGAUUUGCAAUUAUGUGAAUUGUAUGUGAAACUCUUUACUUGUAUGGUUAUUCUAAAGUUGUCCCUGGUCGGAGUUCAUGUGAGGACACACAUGAAUAUUAGACUAGCACAUGUAUUAGUUGAUGACUAUGUUUCACAAGUCAUGGACAUGGAGAUGUUGAACUAAUAAUGUGGACACAUGUGGAGACAUGUGUUAGGACUGACCCAACACGAGAAGUAGUUCUCUCUUUAAACAACAUAUACGCUUUGUCCUUAGACCUGAGAUUGUCGCAUGUAUUCUAGAUGUGGAUUGACCUACUUAGGGGCUAUCAAACGCUACACCGUAACAGGGUAGUUAUAAAGGUAGCUUUCGGGUUUGUCAAGAAGCAUGCUAUGAGACAUGGUCAAUCAAGAUGGGAUUUGCCCCUCUCUGAUUGAGAGUGAUAUCUCUGGGCCCCUCGAGUGAUCGGAUCCGAAAAUGCAUGGCCAUGCUACGUACGGUUAAGAGUUAACCUACAAAGGGAUUCCGAAUCACAGGAUCGAGAAAGAGCGGUCGGCUUGAAGCUAGACCAAAUAUCGUGAGGCAAAGGGAAUAGCAUGUAUAUUAUGUUGUGAUGGUUCGUCUGAUAUGAUCUUCGUGUGCGUAUAGGAGUUGGCACGUCUUGCUAGAGGCCGCUACCGACUAUUGGACCGAGUAGGAGUACUCGGGCCAUGUCUAUACGUAUCCGAACCCAUAGGGUCGCACACUUAAGGGGCUGGAAGCCCAAUUCGGAUCUGAUCCGAGUUGGAUUAGGUUUAGGAGUACUAAUGGGCCUCGGAUCCAGAGGCCCGUCAGGAACCCCUAUAAAUAGAGGGGUGGGGGCGCCCUAGGGUUUACACCUUUUGGCUGAACACACUUGCCGCGCCUCCCACGCCCUCGCCUGUUGCAACUCGCGGAUCUAGCAGUCCGGCUUGCGACGCUUCCUCCCUGCACGUGUGGAUACCUUGGAGGUGUUGCGCCUGCAGCACUUGGACGAGCCAUCGACGAGCCGCCGACGAGCCACGACGAGCCGACGACGAGCCGCGGCACCGGAGGCGAUCUUGCUGUGCACGUGGACGAGCUGCUGAGGAGCUGCUGGACGUGAUCGACUACGUACAACUACGUUGAUCGACUACGUACGACUACGUGAUCGUCUUCACUGCACCGACGCAUAUCUACAUCUUCCGCACCAGUAGUGCGUCGAGUGGUAAUCCCGUGAUCCUCAUACAGCAGUUCUUCCUGGUUAUACGCGGUAGAAAUUUUGAUUUGCGCUAGCGUAGCCUACCUCGUAUCCCAACACUAAAGGGGGACCUUUAGUAACCGGUACUAAAGGAAUAUUAAAAAAUAAAAAAAAUUGAAAUCCCCACUGAGGCCUCGCCGGCCCUGCCCUCCCCGGUCCCCGCCCCGCCGCCGGCCCUCGCCGCCCCCCAGCCACCUGCCCGCCGCCGCUCCGCGCCCGCCCACCGCUCCGCUCCCACCUGCCCGCCAUCACUCUGCGCCCGCCCGCCGCUCUGCUUCCGCCCGCCCGCCACCACUCCCGCCAUCGCCGCCACGCCCCGAUGGCCGCCGCCGCCGCGCCUCGCCCCGCCACCGCUCCUCACCUUAGGCACGAGGUGAGGGGCGAGCGGAGGGAGGAGGAGAGGGGAGGCCGGGGAGGGAGGGGGCCGGUGGAGGGAGGAGGAGGGGCUCCUGGAGGGAGGGAGCUGAGGGAGGAUGAGGGAGGCGGAGGGAGAGGAUAAGGUGCUAAGGCGUGCGGGAGAGGAUAAGGUGAGGGAGCUAGCGUGCGGCAGAGGAUAAGGUGAGGGAGGCGGAGGGAGGGAGAGGAGGCGUGGAUGGUUUUAGUACCGGGUGGGAAGCCCACACGGUACUAAAGGGUAAAGGGGGGGUCAAGGGGGGCUCCUCGGGGACUAUCCGUUAGGCUCGGUACUAAUGCUCAUAUUAGUACCGAAUCAAAAUGCAACCGGUAUUGAGUCUCGGGAUGAAUGCUCAUUUUUCUAGCAGUGAAAGGACUGAGAAAAGAUAAUUGGGAAAGAUGAUUAGUUGGAGCUGUAAUGUUUGGCCUUAGAAGAUUAAGGAAAAAAAAAGAGAUUGGGAAAGGAGGACAGGUGGAAAAUCGUAGGCAAGAGAAAGAAAUGGACAGAGGUACAUGGGCUGCAGAUUAGCAAAGUGUGCGCUGUCCUUUGUUGCACAGGUUCUCCUCAGAGGCCCAACGCUAGAGAGGCCAAUAUCUAGGCCUGCGGAUCAAAUUCCCCAACGGGCCUCAGCGAAUAAAGCUGGGCUCGGUAAUUGGGCCUCCUCUUGGUCCAGCAACGCUUCCGUAUCUCACUCAACAGAUCGAAUCGUAGCCGCAAUCUCCCGAUCCAACGGUCAGAAAUACCCCAGGCCGGGACGGUAAGUGAAAUACCGUUCACCCCGAGCCUCUCUGGCGCGCGCCACGGUGCUCGCCGCGCCGUCGCGCUCGGCAUCGCCGGCGCCCGCGACGCAGCAGCACCCUCCCCUAGUGUCAUCUCAGCAGCCUUCGGCCCCGCCUGCUCCCCUUGCCGCGCUCCUCCACUCGCCUCCACUUGCGGCGGCCGAUGUCUUCCCGCGCCGCCCGGGGCGACACCGCGCAGCCCCGUCGCGCUGCGCGGCUGCCUGCUGGUGUGUGGCAGGUGGCGAGCAGUUGGGCAACCGAUCAUCGCAUCGCCGGCCGACUGGCGUGCUUGGUCUGGAUCUGCGUCUUCUUCCUCUGUUUCCUUCCUUCCUUCUUCUAACGGCACCCUGCCUGUACUGUGCGCAGGUCGAAAUCAGUGCUCGCGUUGCGCUGCAUGCUGGGUGUUUGUCAGAAUGCCUGCCUGGCGUCCUCCCUUUUCAGCAGCAGCACUAGCUAGCUGGGGCUGAGAGAAGCAAGGGCACCCGAUGGCCUGCCGUCCCAGACCAUGCAUUUUCAUCUCCUCCAAUCGGUACAUUCUCGUCCUCACACCAAAAUUGAUGGAUGGAUUUGAUGAUCUCGAAUAAUUUCAUUUGGCUGUCACAUCCAUCUCGUUCUAGUGCCUUCCAGUGUGCAGCAGCAUCAACCUUAGCUAGAUCAGUAAUUUACGGAUGCUUUUGCAUUCAGGACAAAACUACAGUUGCAUUGUGCCCACAAAGCCUGCCAUAACUUGCUUGUUCAGUUAACAACCACAAACACAUAUCAAAUUUUGUGAAUCACAUAGUGUGAAUGUUCCAAGGAAACAAACACUGCCACCAAUAAUGUUCUUGCCUGCUUCUUGAAAACAUAUAUAGUUAAUAGCCAGUGCUGCCCCCAAAAUUGUGUGGCUGCGAGUUGUAAUUCUGAAAAUGAGCUCAUGGAGCUCUUCUUCCGAUAUAUCUUUCCAUGUUGGACUGUUGGUAAUGGGCUUGGUCAUUAGACGACCUUGAUAACCAACUGGUUUCAAUUGUAGCAUAAAAUUUACUGCCCUCCCUUCCCUUUUCUGAAACUGGAGGUGAUGUUUAGUUAUAUGCCACAUGAUUCAUCUGUGGAGCCUAUUCCUUUAUAUCUGAACCUGAAACACCAAUAUCCACCUGGUUGGCUGGUUUCAUUUAUCUUUGACCUCUAGAUUUUGUUGGUUCUCACUGGGUUUGAAGCACGCUGUUGUUUCGUUAUAUAGUUUGGUUUCAGAAAUCUUCUGAAUUCAGUAACAAGCAGAGUUCACAUAGGCGUUGAUAUGAUAGACGACAUUAUGUUAUACUCUUUUGUACAUCAUACCAAAUCAUUAAUGUAGCUUAUAUAUGUUGAGUUAUGUAAGUUAGCAAAUAAGUAAGAGUAUAGAGACUUGAAUGUAAAAUUGUUUAUAAAAGGGGGAAGAGGGGCACCAGCUCUGGAAGCUCUGAGAAAUUCCCCCAUUUGCUUCUCUUCUAUCUCAUCUCCAAAUCCCCAUUGAAUCUCUCUAAAUCCAACAAUAUAUAUCUUUACAUUGACAAAAACUUUUCAUGCCCAGCUAUCACUUGGCCAGAUCUGGUAUCUUAGUACAAAGGGUAGAACAUAGAUCGGAUAUAAUAAAAAUGGCAAGCUUGAAAGUUGUAAAGCAGCUGCCACCGUCGAUCCUCGCCGUCGGGUCCAAGUUGCAUUGGUGGCACCCGGGACGGUGCAACCUUGGGUACGGUAGACUUGCAAUUCGCUGCUUUACCUGGAAGAUAUGUAGCAGGCUAUUAGUGUCGUAUAUUGCAGUACCAUACUGUAUAAUAUAGAAAAUUGAAGAAAUUAAAAGAGAAGACCAAGUUGCAUUAUGUGUAUUCACCUCCUCCUAUGCCGGCCGCCUAGCUAUAGCAAGAGGGUGUGUGUGUCCUGGUUUUCUACUUGAAGAAGGCGCCGGUCUUCAUGGCGUCCUCGUUGGCCUCACCAAGAGCCGCCUCGCUGAGGUACUUGUCAGCAAGCUGCACACGCUUGACGUUCUCCUGCUCCUCCACCAGCAUGUGGCCGUACUCCAAGAGCUUCUCGAUCGUCAUCUUGGGCUGGUCGAACGUCGGCGGGCCGUCCUUGGAGUUGACGAGCUUCUUGCCGAUGUUCUCGAUGCCGGUCUCGGCGACCCACUUGCGGACCUCGUCAUCGUACACCCGGGCACGCAGGGCGCCAAAGAAGUCGAUGGACUGGCCGGGGAAGGUGUCGACGAGCUUGACGACGUCGGCUUCAGGGACGCCGUCGGUGCGGAAGAUGCCCUUGCAGACACCGAUCCGGUCCUCACGGGUGGGAGCCCAGUAGAACUUCUCCAUACGGCCGUCACGGAUGAGCGGCGCGUACAGGGUGGAGAAGUCGUUGCCGGUGACGACGAUGGGGACACGGGGGUUCUCCUCCUUGUUGUACAUGCCGGGGAGCUGCACGUUGGUGGGGUUGUCGGCGAUGUUCAUCAGGGUGGCGUUCACCAUCUGGUUGUUGACGGUAUACUGGGUGGUCCCGCCCAUGCGACCGGCACCGGCGUCGAGAUCGUUGAUGAAGAGGCAGCACAUCUUGCCCUUCUUGAUGAUGUCGGCGGCCUCACGGUACCGCUGCCUGAUGAGCUUGGCGGGCUCUCCGGCGUUGCCGCUCUCCAGCUCUCCGGCGCUCAUCAUGAUGGGGCUGCGUGUGUGUGGGGAAGAUGGUCAUUUAUCUUAUCUGCUGUAUAUAUGAAAUCAAACCAAAAUUAAAGAUUGUUGCUUACGUGAUGCCCAUCUUGGCGAAGACAAGCUCACACUGGAAGGAUUUCCCUUGACCCUUGCCUCCCCAGAUACCCAGGAUGAGGGGCACCUUGAUGUUUGGCAGGGUCAUGAAGUUCUUGGAGAGGUGGACGACGAGCUUGUCCAUGAAGGCCGGGGCGAUGUAGAAGCCAUCCUUCAUGUUGUCCCACCCGGUGUAGUCCCUCAAGCCCUGGCUGAGGUACUCGUAGGAGCUGAGCACGGCCUCGUGGGUGCCGUCUCCCAUGGGUGCCUGGAAGAGGGAGUCGACGAAACCCUUGCCCCUGGUGAUGUCCUGCUGGUCGUCGGAGAUGUCGUUGACGAGGCCCCUCCACCUGUCUUUGUCGGUCUGCUUGGUCUCGUCGACAUCCUUGGCGGCCAUGACCUUGAACCUGUUGGCGCUGGAGCUCUUGACAUGGUAGUUCACGGCCGCGGUCGCUUGCGUCCUGAGCUUCUUCCCGAGGAAGCUGGCCGGGGUGGAGGCCUGUAUGUACGUUGUCAAGGAUGCACUUUAAUCGUCAGGCGGCUCUCGCAUAUACGAUCGAUGCAUGAGAUGAUGGAAGAGAACUCACCGGAGCUCCGACGGUGGAGGAGAAGGCGGCCGCCAUCUCUGCGCUGCUUCUUCUUCCUCCUUGGGCGACCUUGCUAGGAAGGGCACGAGUGAUCUAUCACUGAUGGCCGCCGCUGCUGCUCUUCUCAAAGUACUGAGGCCGAGCCUUGCAAGGCAUUAAAUAAAGGAGCACGUGUGGUGGCCGUGUGUCUGCCGCUGCGGCUGCCAUGGCCUGUGGUCGGGAUCGGAGGUCAGGGAAGAGCCGCAAGCCGCGUGGUUGUGGAUCAGCUCCCACAUCUCUCGGAGGCCACACGCUGAGGAUGGGGUUUGGCAGACGUGGCGACAUCCCGGCGGGCCAAUGGGAUGGCUUGCUUGCACUGGCAACACUAAGAGAGUAAGAGACCAUCUCUUGGCUUGUGUUGCAUGACACUGAUAGGCCCCCGGGCCACAGGAAGGCUGCUCCGCCUGCAGGAUGGAUGAGGCAUCCAAAUUUUGUAUCCGCAUGCAGGUUUUCGGGAGUUUCUAAUUUAUUUGUGAUUCACUGGUACUCCCUUAGUUUCAAAUUUUAAGUCAUCCUAAAUUUCUUGGAGAGUCAAGCUAUUUUAUAUUUGAUCAAAAUUAUAUAGAUGAUUACAAAUAUUUGUGGCAUCGAAUAGAUAUACUAUGAAAAUAUAUUUAAUGAAAAAUCUAAUAGUACUUAUUUGGUAUCAUACUUUAUUUAUAAAUUUGAUCGUUUAUACUUUCAAGAAAGUUGGAAUAGAAAAUAUUUACGGAUUCAAGAAUUUAGCAUUUUGCCCUAAUUUUUCACGCAAGCAUGCGCUAGCUAGUACGACUAUAGUAAUUAUUAUGCAACUACAAUAAAUAAAAGCGAAUAGUUUAUGAAAGUGGUCAAUGUAUCUUGAUCAUUUAAAUUUCACUGCGCGAUCCUUCACCAUAUUGAAAUCAUCAAUAAUCGAAUUUGUCGUGACCUUCAUAGCAAUCUCUUUCUCAAUAUGAGACAAGAAAUUAGAAAUCGGAAAUAGUUUAGGAGACAUGGAUUUGCCUACAUUUGGUUUGAGUCGGAGGAGGAACAUCAAGAGCAGAAUGCGCGGUUGAUGUUGCCCUCCAUCGCGGCCGCGACCACUUGCCAUCGUUGGCGUGAUGCCGCAGUCGCAGAGCUAGAGUCCGUGGCGCUGAGCGUGGAUGUCGAGUCCACUGCAACUGCGAGAUUGAAAACGAAACAUAGCGAGGACGAGAUCUUGUCAUCUUAGCGAGCGGCUGCAGGUGGCUGUAUGCGUUGGGCAGUUGGAUUUAGCUCCUAUGAUCUACUGACCAUUGGCUAACAAAGGGUAGCAAACAUUUUUUUUUUGGUUGGGUGUGACCAUGGUCCCUGCCCAGUUCCGGGCCACAGGAAGGCUCCUCCGCCUGCAGGAUGGAUGAGACAUCCAAAUUUUGUAUCCUAGCUAAAGUGCACCACAAAUAUUAAUAUUAAUAUUCUCGUAUAUAUGCCUAUUACAAACUUGUUUCUUGUUAACGCCAAACAUGAAUUGAAGGCAGUUUACAAUUAAUUUGCAAAAAGAUAAAAGAGGACUGGGCAGAGCAUCAUCAGUUGUAGACGCAGCUGCCGUCGUCGCUUCUGGCUGUUGGGUCGAAGUUGCCGGCCUUUGGGUCGGUGCACCCCUCGGGCACGGGCACGCCCACCUGCUGCGCCGCCUUGCCGUAGUACAAGUUGCCGGCGGUGAUGGCUUCGUCGUGGUUGGCGUCGCCGAGCGCCGCCUCGCUGAGGUACUUGUCGGCCAGCUGGACGCGCUUGACGUUCUCCUGCUCCGCCACCAGCAUGUGGCCGUACUCGAGCAGCUUCUCCAGCGUCAUCUUGGGCUGCUGGAACGUCGGCGGGCCCUCCCUGGAGUUGACGAGCUUCCGGCCGAUGUUCUCGAUGCCGGUCUCGGCGACCCACCGGCGCACCUCGUCGUCGUACACCCGGGCUCGCAGCGCGCCGAAGAAGUCGAUGGACUGCCCCGGGAAGGUGUCGACGAGCUUCACGACGGCCUCGUCGGGGACGCCGUCGGUGCGGAAGAUGCCCUUGCAGACUCCUAUCCUAUCCUCGCGGGUGGGCGCCCAGUAGAACUUGUCCAUGCGGCCGUCGCGGAUGAGCGGCGCGUACAGCGUGGAGAAGUCGUUGCCGGUGACGACGAUGGGGACACGGGGGUUCUCCUCCUUGUUGUACAUGCCGGGGAGCUGCACGUUGGUGGGGUUGUCGGCGAUGUUCAUCAGGGUGGCGUUCACCAUCUGGUUGUUCACCGUGUACUGCGUGGUGCCGCCCAUGCGCCCGGCGCCGGCGUCGAGGUCGUUGAUGAAGAGCACGCACAUCCUGCCCUUGCUGAUGAUGUCGGCGGCCUCGCGGUAGCGCUGGCGGAUGAGCUUGGCGGGCUCGCCGGCGUUGCCGCUCUCCAGCUCGCCGGCGCUCAUCAUGACGGGGUUGAUGCCCAUCUUGGCGAAGACGAGCUCGCACUGGAAGGACUUACCCUGGCCCUUGCCCCCCCAGAUGCCCAGGAUGAGGGGCACCUUGAUGUUGGGCAGGGACAUGAAGUUCUUGGCGAUGUGGACCACCAGCUUGUCCAUGAACGCCGGAGCGAUGUAGUAGCCGUCCAUCAUGUUGUCCAGGUUGUACUGACGGAGACCCUGGCUGAGGUACUCGUAGGAGCUGAGCACGGCCUCGUGGGUGCCGUCGCCCAUGGGCGCCUGGAACAGGGAGUCCACCAGGCCCUUGCCGCGAGUGAUGUCCUGCUGGUCGUCGGAGAUGUCGUGGGCGAGGCCCCUCCACCUGUCGCUCUUGGUCUGCUUGGUCUCGUCCACGGCCUCCUUCUUACUAUUGCUGGCCGACGCCGCCAUCGCCAUGACGACGACUCUGCUUCGACGGUGCUGCUUCCUGGUGGUGAUGAGCUUCUUCUUCUUCUUCCCAACGCCGAGGAAGCUGCUCGGCGUCGAGGCCAAAUUUAAAGCAGCAGCAGCAGCAGCAGCAGCCAUCUCGAUCGAUCGAUCUCAAGAUUAUUGGACGUACAAAUUGAAUGGGAUUGAAGAUGAUGACGAUGAGUUGUAGUAUAUAUAGCAGGGUAAAGAUAUGUAGCUGCUAAAUGGAUGAGCAGGCAGUAGCUAGUGUGGUCUGGAUGCUUCCCGAUUGCUCACUGGAUCUCCAGAACGUUAACGAACAAGUGUGCAGUGGUGGCCUGGUGGGUACGUGAGGCUGAUGAGUGGCCAGCAUGUUAGUACGUCCAUCCAAACACUGCUAUCCCAGCCUGACAUGCGUACGCUGUCGAUCGGAUGGGCCGCGUGGGCCCCCACCCUGGAUUUAGCAUUUGAGUACCGCUCUAUCCAUCCAUCCUGUUUUAGCACAGCUUUUUUAAGUGUUUAUAAAUUCUUACUAUAUAUCUUGUAUGUCUAAGAAAAAAAAUAAAACAAACUACAAUUUAAAAUGGAGGGAAUAUUUAGAAAAAAAAUAGGCCAUGUUUGGACCGCAUAUACCGGCUCCAGGGAUCGCCAAAAUGAUUGAGCAAGAACCGAGGUUUUACUGAACCCUUGCAUUAACCCUCAAUCUAUGAGCUUAGUGCGCUAAGGUCGUUGGGUUGGGGAAAAAACUCAUCUUUAGUCGUACUUGCAUUGGAUGGUUCUUAGCGAUUUCAAGAUUAGCCGCUAGACGAUCGCAUAACCUUUGAUCUAACGGAUGACCACCGGGAGCCUUGUUUCUACUCUUCUGUCACGUUUUAGAUACUUGAGUCUCGAGGCUUUUGUCAAGAGAGAACGAAUUGAAGGAUCCAUACAGCUUUUACAAAGCAUGAGAAUCGAAAUUGGCGAUCAUCUCCACGUAAGGGGAGAAGACGACAGGGUAUGCAUGGCGAGCUCAGCAGCUGGCUGCAACGAGCUCUCUGCCGCAGCACGCAGCAGCUGGCGUGCUCCUCGAUCUAGAUAGAUUGUAACGUUUUCGUCAGCGCCCCUCGAUGCCGCCCUGGCUCUCCAUCGGAGUUCCUUUCUCCACUUCCGGUCACAUCAAUCUCCAUCGGCGGCUGUGGCUCACGGCUUCGCCGGAGGUGCCGGAGAGUCCAUUUGUCCAGGCCUCGCCGGCGUGGAGCGAGCGAGCGACCGACGACCUGGGGACGUCGGCGUUCACCCGGAACGCCGCGUGGGAGAGGAGAGGCGACAAAGAAAAAAAAAAAGAAGGGAAGCGUCAAGAGUACUGGUCGUUUUCGCCCUCUAUCUGAGGAGUGUUGAAAAGAAUUAUUGGAAUGGAACAAACCAAAAAAUAUUGAAAAAAGGAAGAUGCAUUUCCAAUACUAGUCGUUUUUUUGGGAAAGAGAGACCUUUUUUUUGAGGGGGGAAAAGAGAGACUGAUGCUCUGAGGAAUUGAGGAAACACAGGUACCAAAAAAAGAAGAGGGAGAAAACACAAGCCGGGCCUUAACGGGCGGCCAGGCUAUGGCCCGCUAAGGCACGGCCCGUUAAGGCCCGCUCGGGGUCCCCAUCCCACCACGCGCCCCUCCCAAGCCCAUGGGUCGUGGCUGGACUUAUGGGGGGAUCAUUCAUGGGGCAGCAGCUUCUCAUUUCUAGGACUCUGUUUCUGAUAUUGUUCCCGCUGCAUCUGCUCAUCCCCAUGGUGAAUGUUGCUGUUGAUCUGUAGAUUGGAUUUGUUGGUCGGUAGUUUGAUUAGAUUUGUGCUGAAUCAUAAUCUCUGCCUGUGAUAUUUUUCUUCAUUGUGGAUGUGUGCCGAGUAUUAUCCCCUUUGUUCAUUCUGUUGGCUUGCUUUCAUUGAUCUUAAGAUAACUGGUGUCAUAAAUUCACACUAGCUGAUGCACUUGCAGAUAGCUAUGUAAAUAUGAAAAAGAAGUAUUUUUUUAUCCUUUUGUUUUUUUUGCAUCAUAUCUGUUUAAAGGUACAGCAUUAGGAUUUUUUUUUGUUUUUGGGGAAUCAUAUCUGCUUAAAUGGUAUAGAAAAUGCUGAGCGUACUGUCAAAUAGAUUUUCCAGCAGUUUGCUUUCAGUUGUUUGCCGCGCAUUCAUUGGGGAAGCACGCGCCAGGCAUCACCAGGCUCCUCGUGCCCCUGCUCUGCUCCAAGGACUCGGUGCUUCGACGCGCUGCUUUCCCUGUCCGGCGGGCGGGAACGUUGGGAGAUGAACGAUGGAGGAUGGAGCUGACCCUCCUGUACACGGUGCCGGUGGGGAGCAGGUCCACGGGCGGCGCCAUUACAGCAGGUGCAGGCUAAGGGUAAUGAGCAGAUCGAGGCGAUGGAGGAGGACCCGCACGAGGUGCAGCUUCUUCGCCUCCUGCGCCAGGUCAGCGCCCAAGCAGCCGCUGAGGGACAGGCCGAGGCUUAGCUCGAUCUCAUCCGACUAAACGGUGGCUGCACUCCCACAGUCCCACUGGUGCUCCUCCCUUCUGUCCGAACCCGCCGAGGAAAUCCCUCGAUGCCAUGGGUCCCGGCUGGACGACUACUCCUCCCACAGAUUGACUGAGGAAGAAGAGCUUCUCAGUGUCCAAAAAUUCAGUUACACUGGAAACAGCAACCAAUUACGUUCUUCCGGCUCAGCCAAGCCCCAAUCUCUUGCUUCUGUGCGCCCCUGCUAAAUAUUCCAGAAACCAAUCUGGUUAGUUGUUUUUUCACAUUUUCAGUGCAUGCCGGUGCUGCUGUGUGCGGCAUGGAGUUGUCGUGGGAGUGCACGGUGGCUUAGCUGGUGCGCCGGUGUGCGGGCACGAACACAACGGUGAAGAUGGCAGAGCCAUCUCAAAGCUCCUGAGCACCUGCACGCGUCGCUGAGCAGGACAUGCUGCGACGGUGGGCGAGCGCUGCUAACGCCCUGGGGAAGAGCAGUGGGUGCAGAGAGAGGGAGCGAGGGAGAGGGGUUCUUGUAUAUGUUUGCUAACGUGGCACCGUUUACGGUGCCCGCCUAAGUGGCAUUCACGUGUCAUUCAUCCCAAAUGGUGUUGCAAGGUUGAACCUAUUGUGGGAGGCUUUUGGUUUCCCUUGACCAAGUAUCACCAGUGAUAUCACUGCGUUCUGGUUAUGUAUGAAACACUUGUCCUUUUAAAACCUUUCUGAAUUUAGAAACGAAUUUGAAACAUUACCCUCAUUUCCAUGUUUUUCUAUCUUUUGUCCCUGUAAAAUCAAACUAAAUUUGAAUUAUUAUGUUCAGAACUACAAGCUGAUUUACUUGUCCCAUUUGCUAAUAACAGGGCCUUGUGAUUUCUAAUGAACAUUGCAGAGCAUGUUAUAAAGCGUAUGCAUGAACACCAAGGGGAUGAAACCAUUGGUAUAUUUCUCAUAACCUUUUGAACUUAUCAUUUAGCAUAUUUGUGUUCUAGUGUGACGUUUCAGCCACGAGACAUGAGAAAUGUUAGCUAUGGAUUUUGGUUAUUCAUCAUGGGUUCACAGAUUUGUUUUUCUCUAAAAGAAUUGGGAAGUAGCUUUCUUUCUGGGUAUAUGUGGGGAAAAUGCAUAUGCAAUCUUUUAUUUAUUGAGGUGACUGUAAAAUUCUUGUCUGACUGAAUAUGCGAUUUCAACCUACAUGCUAUACUUAGGGAAAUUUGUGAAUCUCCUAAUGUCUGCUGCAUGGCAUGAAUGCAUAUUUUACUGGUCCAUAAUGUGAAGUUCUGUAUAUAAACUUCUCGUGUUGACCCUUUAGAACAUGCUAACUGGAGAGUUUUCUAGAGUAGUUAAACAAGAGAUUUAGUUAAAUCUGCACACAUAGGUGGGGCCUGGCAUACCCUAAGAAUCGGCCUAGCCGGCCAGCCCAUUAGUAAAAAAAAAGCACCGCAGUCAGCAGUCCCCACGUUGGUCUUCCUCGAGUCGCGACUCGCGAAGCUCCCAUCCUCCGAGUCCAAGAUGGUGGACUGUGUCGAGCGCGGGGCGGGCGAUUAGUUGCCCGGCCGCCGGCGGGGGAUGGCCGGACGGCCAGAUCGCCGACUCCUCUAGUCCUCCCUCCAGCCUCUGCGCUUCUUUCACAGUGGAGCUAGCGGCGAGGCGCCCGACCGACACCCUUCUUCCCAAAUCCCGGCAGCCCUGCCUCGAUUUGGCCUCCUCCGAUCAUUUGAUAAUCAAUUUGAUGAAAUUAAUAUGGAGUUGCUUUCUUGUAUGGUUGCCUUCAAUCCUGCUAAUUCAUUUGCUUCAUUUGAUGCACAAAAGAUACACAGACUUGCUAUAUUUUUAUCCACAAGACAUCACAAGCACGGAUUUGCUAAAACUUGAAUUCCAGCUCGAUAUUAUAUUGAUGAUGUGAGAUAGGAUGAUAGUUUCAAAGGCCUACAAGAUCUUGUUAAGUGAGACUCAGUUAAGCUUGUUGAAACAAACAGGCAUAAUAUUUAUGACUUGGUUUACUUGCUUCUCAAAUUGGUAUUGGUUCUUCCUGUGGCGACAGCUAGUGUUGAAAGGGAUUUUUGUGCAAUGACUUUGAUCAAGAGUAAGCUAAGAAAUAAGAUGGGUGAUAGUCUUUUGGAUGAUUGUCUUAUCACAUUCAUUGAGAAAGAUAUUUUCUUUGAAGUGGAUGAAGAAGAUAUAAUUAAGACUUCAUAUCCAUUAGAAAUCGUAGGCUGGAGAAGAAGUAAUAUUUUAAUUUUCUUUGAACGUUAGGUCUGUAAGCUUCUUUUAAACUAUCUACAUUAUAAUUUAUGGACCUUUUAAUUUAACCGUUGAAUUCAUGAUAUUAUGAGAUUUUUUUAUCUAUGUUAUUAUUGUUUACCGAUUUAUUACCAAAUUAUUAGUUUGAUCUUACAAUAUUGUAUUUUGGAUGAUUGGCUCGGCAUACUCUAAGUUUAAAUCCUAGCUCCGCCACUGUUUGCACAUUAAUGUGGCUUAUAUGUGUGGAGUCACUUAACCUAUGCACUUGGACCUCCACUCCCUUAGGUUUUAUGAACCUAAUUUGACAGCCUGCUCGUCUUUUAUUUUCUACCAAUCAGCUAGGAACGAACAUGGUGAUGUUUGCAUCUCUGCCAUCAAUGGCUUACAUGUCAUUAUGUAUCACAUUAGCAAGUCUUGUUUUGUUAUUGGCUGGGAUGACGGGGACUCUAGCUGGAAUUGAAUCAAAGUGGUAGAUCACAGGGUAUUCAUUGCCAUGUAUUUCUGCAGUUGCAUGGACUUGCAUCAAACGGACCUUCCUACUUAUGUGAUUGUCCUAUAUGAUCUCCUUUGAUUUCAUUUGCACACUGUAAUCACAUUAGCUAGAACACUCGCUUUUUGCUUCAAAUUUGAAAUUCAUAUCAUGAUGGACUAGAACGCUGAAUUUCUUGAUUGCUGAGUUACUAAUCACAUUGUGGCGCUGCCAAAGAAGCUGGACUCUUCAUUGUUGUUGCCUUGUGGGCUGCCGUGUGCAAAGAACAAGAGCGCACGGUAUUAUAAUAGCAGAGCUGAACACAGACAAGCGACAAGGAGCGGAGCAGAGCAGAGCACAGCCAAGCACAAGCAGUAGAGUAGAGCAGAGCAACCGGGAGAGGAGAGGGCACAUAUGCAGAGUAGAGCAGAGCCAAGCGCAAGCAUUCAUGCACUCAAGCAUGCAGCAGAGGUGUAGCAAGGCAAGCACAAGCAGCAGAGCAGAGGGAAGGGAAGGCUGGGAGAUGAAUAGGCGAAUAGUUACCUGGACAGAGCAGAGGGAAUGGAGAUGAUGCAGAUGCUUCCGGAGACUGGAGAUUUGGAGAGGAACAAGGCCACGUUGUGAACAAGGUCUCCUUUCUCUUCUCUAUUUCCCGUGCAAUACUCGUGCAUAGUGGCUGCCUCAUCCUCCAGGACGCCCACUUCAACCUGAGGCGGGUGCCACAGAUAUCCUGGCUAGGCGACGGCUAUCCCCAGCACGCCCCAGCGCCUUACGAACUAUGAUCCUAAUACUAUAAAUUGUCACGUACUCACCUUGUAAUCUUGUUUCAAGCAUGCUCUAUAUGUCAACCUGUAAGGUUAACUUCGUUUUUCCUUUUCUGGGUAGGGAAGUGGAUAUUGCUGUUAUUUAUGUUAUGUUGAUAUUGGUUUCCACAUGGCAUUCAUCCCAAAUGUGUUGCAAGGUUGAACCUAUCAUCGGAGGAAUUUUUUUCCCUUGACCUUUAUAUCACUACGCUCUGGUUAUGUAUGAAACGCUUGUCUUCUUAAAAACCUUAAUUUAGAAACGAAUUUGAAAUAUUAUCUUCGUUUACAUCCUGUAUAUGUGUUCUCUACCUUUUGUCCUAUAUUACCUUUUGUCCUAUAUGAUCUGCUUUGAUUUCAUUUGUGCAUAGUUUUUUCAAUUCAGACCUGGUGAUUUCUGAGGUUGAUGUGUCACACCCGAUUUUAAGAGUGCAUUAAAUACAUGUGCGCCAGGAUCAAGUUACACACAUGUACGACAUAAGCAAAUAUCAAAGACAGUGCCAUAACGAAAUAAAGAGAGUAUUAAUCAUUAUUACAUGAUCGAAAGUCUCAAAUAAACCACAAAGUCUAUUUAUUAUGCAGCGGAACUCCUAAGAUAGCAACGUCUCCAUAGGCAGCUGACUGAAGAACUGUACGCCUAGAACUCCUCAAAAUCGUGCAGGUACUCCUCCAAAUUAGCUUGGUCUGAAUAGCGGUUUUGCAAGGGUGAGUACAUUUAUGGUUGAUACUCAACAAGUCGUGGGAAACAGUGUAGUGUAAAGCAAAUCAAGGUAUGGCUAAGGCUUAAACAGCAUCAGCUUUUAAUUUAGUUGGUAAAAUUUUAUUAGCAAUUAACUAGAUGUAAGUUUAUACCACCCAAAAUUAAACAAGAACAUGAAUAAAAUAAUAACAUAACCAUAAAUGAAAUGACAACAAUUUAAAUCCAUCUUUCGAUAACAUUAUCAUGUGAGCAAUUUUUUCCCCUUGACCUUUAUAUCACUACACUCUAGUUAUGUAUGAAACACUUGUCUUCUUAAAAAUCUUAAUUUAGAAACGAAUUUGAAGCAUUAUCUUCAUUUACAUCCUGUAUAUGUGUUUUCUACCUUUUGUCCUAUAUGAUCUGCUUUGAUUUAAUUUGUGCAUAGUUUUUUCAAUUCAGACCAAUUUCUGAGGUUCAUGUUGUGCUGAUAAGCAGCCUACUAUUCAAUAACACUUUCAUGUGGCAUGUUCAUGUUAGCUAGCUAGAAACACUGUGCUUUUAGCUUCAAAAUUCAAAUUCAUGAUAUUAUGGACAUUGACAAUGAAUUUCUUGAUUGCUGAGCUAUGUACACUGUAAUCAAAUUGUGGGGCUGAUAAAAUAAGUAGCGUUGAGACACAUAACAAUUAAGAUUGAAUCUUAAGCUUCACACAGAAUCUGGACUAGUCAUCCUCAUUCUUGUCAUGUUGGAAAUGUCUUUGAUACAUUUCAAUCACAGGCAAUUGAAUUCGUACUGGGGAGGAUGGCAAUGGUGCGUGAAGAGAGAUCAAUGUGGCAAAUCUCACACUGUUCAUUACCAGGUAUCUCCGAUUUCUGGUUAUUUUAAAUUUACCUUGACAUGUGACUUAUUGAGGUAGUGUAUUUCAUCUAAUGGUAGUUCUGAAUUUAUGGUAACCUUGGAUGGGGUUUGUCACUUUAUCCACGCACGGACUUACAAAGGACAGCAAAUGACUAUUUUUAGAGGGCUCCUGUCUAACCAUGGACUAUACUUUAUGUACCCUUUUUUGACAUGGUAAUUUGAGGUUAAUGGAAAAGUAGCAUAUUUUCCCUGUAGUUACCUUGGGUUUACUUUCGCAUUGUCUUUUUACAGAGUUUGCAACCAGUGUUUCAUUAUCAGAUGAACGCAAGCAGAGGGUAUCACUCGUGGAGAGCCUUGGCGUUGCAGAGCAGUCCCACUCCAACUUGUAGAUAGUAUAUAUUCCCUCUGUUCUAAAAUGUAAGGUAUUUUGAUUUUUUUAGAUAUAUAGAUUCUACUAUGCUAACCUGAUAACCCCAUAAUCCAUCCUGAGGAAAAACCAGGCUAAGAAUAAGUGCUUUCAUGACAUUUAAAUGUCCUGGAAAGUCUUGUUUUGUUUAUAUGCUUAAGCAAAGUAGCUCUGGAGGGCAUGAAAGAAAAGCAUCGUGUUGAUGAGUAUUGCCGGAUGUUUAACUAUUAGUAUGGUAUAUUUAACUGAACAAGGCCUAGGACAGCACAAGGAUGGCCUUUAGGACAGCAUUGCUUUCUCGGCCUAAUUGGCGCCUUACAUUUGGCGACCAUACACGGCCCGUUAAGGAAAUUUAUGCCCAAGUUUGCCGAAGCAUUUAAGGCACAAAUGUUUUUGACUUCUGAUGGCCUGUUUUUGACCUCCCAUGGCCCAGUAGCGACCCUAGUUUUUAUCAGCAAUGACCAAAUGUUAGCCCAGUUUUGCCCCAUCUUAGGGUCUAAUCAUGGACCAAUAAAACAUGUGCUAGACUUCAUGGCCACCGGAUGCGUGUUCGGCCACGUAAUCGUGUGCUAUAGCUCACGGGAGGCUGAAAAUGGCCUGAAGGGGCACAGUGGAUGAAAACGUUAGGGACGCUCGGAACACAAGAAAAUGACCACCAGAUACAUGUUUGGCCAUUGUAACUGUGCGCUAUAGUUGAUAGGUCGAAAGCAGCUUGAAGAGGCAUCAGUGAUGGAAACAUGGGGGAUGGUCGGAACACUUGAAAAUGGCACUGGAUAAGUGUGCUUAUUCCUUGCGGGAUGCUGAAAAUGGCUUGGAAGGGUCAUCUAGGAUGGAAACUAGGUGGACAAUAAGUGAAAAUGGGCAGCGGACACGUGUUCGGUCAUGUAACCGUGUGCUAUAGUCCACUAGAGGUCGGAAAACUGCCCUAGGGACUCUAGAGAUGAAAAUGUGAGGAACAGCUGAAAGGUUACGUGUUUGGCCAUGACAGCCCUAUUAGGAAGCGAUAGAAGUGGAAAGAUAGCUGGUUUCAUAUUGGCAUCCCAUCUCUGAACUUUUGCUUCCCCCUUCCCUCCGUAAUCCCGGGGCAUCGAAUUAAAAAGUAUACAAAUCACUUUCAGAUGUAAUUGAGGGUAAAGAGGGGAGGUUUCACGAGACUCUACAAUGUUCAAAUCAUUCGUUCGUUAGGAUGCCUCAGCUUCAUACAUUGUUGCACUUCCACUUGACACCUAUUUAAACGGUUCGUCUCGCUGCUACAAGGUAUCAUCAGAUAUAGAAGAAUCAGAGACCGGGGGUAAUAGCAAAAAAGGAAUAUAACUCGUCUGAGGAAGUGGGCGCAGGGGCAGUGGGGUAAGGUAAUUGAAGUAACUAGCCAGUUUCUUCCCGAAACUUUCCAAGAAAAAUUCCGAAUUGGAUCCAAAAUUGACGGAUUAAUCAACCAAAAUAACCGUGAGCAGCCACAAUGUUAUAAAUGUUAUAAGUCCCUUCUUCUUGACCAAAUUUGUAACUCUUAUUAGCAGACUCAUUUUUAGUGAUUUCCCUGAUCAAACUAGAGGUUACCAAGGAACCGUGUGCUAUAGCCCACAGAUGCCUGGAAACAGCUAGGAAGGGCUUCGGGGAUGGAAACAACGUGGACGGUCGGAACACGUGAGAAUGACCACGGGAUACAUGUUUGGCCCUGUAACAGUGUGCUAUAGGAAGCCGGAAAUGGCUAGGAGGGUCACCAGGGAUGAAGAUGCAGGGAUGGAUGGAACAUGUGAAAAUGACCACUGGCAGGUCUAGAGAGAUAUCUCAUCAAAUUGGUGAGUUAUAUCCGGUUUAAACGAGGAUAAAAAUGGGUGUAUUUUCCACUCAUCAUAUUGUCUUUUCGUAGCUGUACCGCCUUUCGUGUGUUGUAUUGUUCCCCAAACACUAAGUCUCCGAGGCUUGAGAAAAUAAGGAAAGUGAUAGCAGCCCAAAAAUUGACCAAGUUUCUUUCCCCCUCUGGCUUUCUACUAGGAUUCAGAAUCCUCUUUUCCAUGAAAAUCUUAAUUAUCUCCCAUACUCCAAAACUCACAAAAACAUCAAGAGUCCGCUGAGAAUAAAUUUAAGUAAAAAACAUGCACACAUAGAUCCACAUCCAAUGGCAAGGAAAGGGGCGUCAGACAAAGCCCAAUGGCAACUGCUGACAUGCGAUUAAAUUCAGAUCCACAUCCGGCCAUUCAAUAAUACGGUUGGAGUUGUGGCACAGAUAUAUUAUUGCAUGAUCAUCAAGAUAAGAUCGUACAGUGACUGAGUGAGACAAUAAAUAGCCAAGUAAACUAUUUUAUCCUGCUGCAAGCUGCAUUCAUAAGUUUAUUUCACCUUUGAUCACAAUACUCUUCACACACGUACGUCUCAGGGAGAUCUCACUUCCGCUGUCGUCGGUACUGCCAAAGACAUAAGCUCACAUCUGCUAUUGCGGAGCAGGCCAAUUUGCUGCGGAACUUCGGCGACGACCUGAAGGACAUGAACUCGGUGCUGGAGUCCAUCUCAGCAGCGCUCUAGGACGCUGACACCGGUAGAAAAAUGACCUUCCAUCGUCAACAAAAAUCCCGGUAGCUUUUUUACUCGGUACUAAAGAGGUUUUAAUCUCGUGCAAACACCUUCAGUCCAGAUUGUUGUUACCACGCAACCCGGACUAAAGCGUCCCCCGCGAGUUAGUAUAUAAGGAUUGCAUCCUUUACUCAGUCAGAUAUAAUAUGUAGGUGAGAUGGUAAGGAAGCUAUGCGUGAGGCUUAAGGUUGUGGGUUCGAAUCCAAGUGGGUGCAGCUGUGGCUUAAGCGGCUGAGGCACGCCGCCAUAGACAUCUCAGAUUUGCUCGAAGACUACCAAGACACUAGUGAACCCUUAACAGUAAAGGUGAGUACUUAUGAAUGUCAGCAUCCAUGUUGUCCAUGCUUCCAAUGUAAUAACAAGAUGGACUACUCUUCCUAGCGGACUCUUCACAACCACUCGUAAAGCUAUGCGUUUCUCAAUGCAAUUUCGUAGAAGCCAAUCGAUCCAACCAAGUGACUAAAUCAUUCGUCCUUUCCAAUGAUGUGCAUCAGGUUUUCUAUAUGAAGGGCAUGUCUAGCAAACCUAAGAUUUCAGAAGAAAAAGAAAAAUCAUUGGAACCAAAGAGCCACAUAGUUCUUCUAGGAAAAAAAUCAUGGGAGUCGAGAACAUAUCAAACCAAUCAGGGGAUUAUGGUCAGCUUAAUGGCAUGCCUCCAUUCGAUGUCGAAGUUCACCCAAGCAUCAUGUUAGCCAAACAUCAAAUGUUCGUGCGUUGUUACGGUAAAGAUCAAUUGUGUUUUUUAAACUCUUGGAAUUUUUUUAUCUAAGUUUUUAUUUACACUUAUUGGAUGUCUACACAUUUGCUAGAAAACUAAAAUAAUUUGGACUUAAUUAUUUCUUUCGACUGAAGUACUCACUAAAUUUCUACCUUUUUAUUUAAGCAAGAGAGUUGCUAAAAAAAUGGAUACGUAACCAUGUUGUAUCAUACAAAGUAACCACGUUUCACAUAUAGUCCGGCUUAGCAAACACCAUUGUUUUCUGAACAUAGCGUACAUGAGUUAACAGACAUGGAUUUAUUUCUAUUGCAAGUAGCAUAGCGUACAACCUGCCUGCACCGAUGCAGCUCAAUAUGCGAUAAUUUUUAUCUUCCCAUGUAAUUUUUCUACUCUAGUACAUAUUGAACUCCACAUUAAUGUCAUGUUCUUUCGCGCCCCAGAAGGUUCCUAAAGUUGGGAAACUUAAUAGAUAGCCAGAAUUUUUUUUAAAGAUAUUUAUAUGGAUACUUGUAUGUUCUUUCCAAACUAACAAUAUUGUUUACCAAUAUCAGAAGGAAUAUGGUUAGGAGCCAUUGCCGCAUAUGGCAGGUGAUGGUAGAUGGCGUAUGGGGUUUCGUUAAUUUAAUGGUAUAAUAAGCUGAAAUACAUUUUCUAUUUGCAAAUGAAUCAUAGCUGAAAUUGGUGGGAUUGUUUUUUCGCCGGUUUAGCAUCCUGUGCACCAGUUCAACCGGAGGGAAGCUGUUUUUUUUCUUUGGUUUUCCACCGGUUCACCGAGACCGAUGACAAUUUUAUGGCAGAAUCAUUACUUGUUUUACUAUUAGGUGAAGAUUUUAGCUUUUAGGUAUCUCACAUUAAACGCAACUUCAACAAUCUAUUUCUAGUGUAUAAUGUAGGAGACCCCGUAAAGCGUCUACACACACAUAUAUGUUGACUAUGAAUGUAAGUUUGUUGGUUUUAUGUAUGUUCGUUUGGAGUUUAUAUAAAUUUUACAUUUUAUAGUUUUGUGUAUAUGACGAAGAUCCAUGACUUGCAUUAAUUUAGCCUUUCUUCCAACAACUCUUAUGCAUGCUGUUUCUAGGCGAGCGUACUGGUUGCAAUUUUGGUCCCCGAUAUAGUGUGAGGACUUAAGGGACACGUGCAGGUCGUAACCUUAGAUAUUUUUGCUGAGAAUGGAUGAAAAAGCAAUAAUAUACUUUGCUUCUGAUUUUCUCCAUGUCAUUUGCUUACUCUUAUCCCUUUUAUUUAUCAUUAUAAGAUGAAAAUAUUGUAAAAACUUGGCUACGUGCGGUCGCAGAAGCUAGAGACUAAAGUGUCCCCCACGAGUUACUAUAUAAAAGGAUUGCAUCCUCUACUCAGUCAUAUGUACUGUGUAGGUGAGAUGGUAAGGAAGCUAUGUGUGAGGCUUGAGGUUGUAGGUUCGAAUCCCACGCACCGCGUGCGCAUGCGCAUAUUUUGCGUGAAAAAUCGCAUGACUUGUGGUCGGCCAAGGAGAAGUGCGUGCGGCCGAGGCACGCCGCCAUAGACAUCUCGGAUUUGCUCCAAGACUACCAAGACACUAGCGAACCCUUAACGGCAAAGUUGAGUACUUACGCGUGUUAGCAUCUAUGUUGUCCAUGCUUCCAAUGCAAUAACAAGAAGGGCUACUCAUCCUAGCGGAUUCUUCACAACCACUCGUAAAGCUAUGCGUUUCUCAAUGCAAUUUCGUAGAUGUCAAUCGAUCCAACCAAGCGACUGAAUCAUUCGUCCUUGCUAAUGAUGUGCAUCAGGUUUUCUAUAUGAAGAACAUGUCUAGCAAAUCCAAGAUUUCAGAAGAAAAAUAAAAAUCAUGAGAACCAAAGCACCACGUAGUUCUUCCAGGUAAAAAAAACAAUCAUCCACUGGGAUGACACACAGUAGCGAUCCAAAACGUCCAUAUUAAGACUUUUUGAUAGCAGAAAAAACAUGAAAAUGUCUAAUAUUUGUAGUAUUAAAAGGAAAAAUAAUAUAUUCACUUGACCUUUUUUUCGUAGCAACGCACCGGUGCGUAGUUAGACUUAGGCCACGUUUGGAUACUCCCUACUAAAGUUUAGCACCUGUCACAUGGGAUGUUUGGAUACUAAUUAGGAGUAUUAAACAUAGGCUAAUUAUAAAACUAAUUGAACAGAUGGAGUCUAAUUUGCGAGACGAAUCUAUUAAGCCUAACUAGUCCAUGAUUUGACAAUGUGGUGCUACAGUAACCAUUUGCUAAUGGUGGAUUAAUUAGGCUUAAUAGAUUCGUCUCGCGAAUUAACAUAGGGUUCUGCAAUUAAUUUUAUAAUUAGCUCAUGUCUAGUCCUUCUAAUUAGCAUCCGAACAUCUGAUAUGAUACUGCUAAAGUUUAUCACCUAGUAUCCAAAUACCCCCUUAAUGCACGAUGCCUGUGCAUCCACUGGGCCUACCCUCGUGGAUCACACGCUCGUGGAUCACGCGCACCAUGACAUGGCUCAUUAGCUAGUCGUGCUAAUCCUUACCACCAAAUUAAAAACUAGCAUGUGUUGUGUGUUUGUGACCCUAAACGACUACCACCUUCCCGAGUCCACCGGAGUUGCCAGUUCACCACUAAGCUGACUCUCCGAGCUUCAUGUCACUGUCACCGCUCCAAAGACCUAGAUCGGUUCGCUGUGCACCCCGCUUCGUCCUGAGCUAAAUCCCAUCACGAAAGGUGACCGGAUGCUCGUUUUCGAGCGAAUUCUAGCGAGAUUGCCACCACCUUUCCCCUUCCAGCCGAUCGCAGCUGUCUGAUCACAAACCGACAGCCCAGAUCGGAUUUGACCAGGUCAAUACCGGUCAAGCUGAGAUGCAUGCUGCUUUUGCAAGAAGGCCCCUAUUUUUCUCUCUUUUUGCACUUGAGGUCCUACGCAGUUCAAAAGUAAUUAGAUCUAGAUCCUUUUUCUUCUGUUUUAGCCCUGUUCUUUUAUAAAAUCCCACCCGCCAUCCUGUUUGGUAUUUUGACAUGUUAGACCUUCUAUUUAUAUGUUUAAUUAGGUUUUAGCCCUUGGUUUCUUUAAGUUUAGCUCUUGGAAGUUUAGUUUUCUCGCAGUUAAGCCCCUGAACCUUGUUUAGUUCAUAUCUUUAGCGUUUUAAAUUCGUUUUAAGAGAUUCUUACGCCCAUAAGUUCGUGUUGAUGCAUAGAUUAGUUGACUUAUACGGACCUUGCUGAUUCAGCUCCUUCAUUGUGCUUCAGAUCUCGCUAGUGAAGAAUAAUGGAUGGGCUUUGGUUGAGCUUGUAGAUCGACCUGCAGUUGCAGUGAAUGUGCUGAGGACUGGCGGUACCAAUAAUGGGAGGCCGCUGCUCUGCUUGCUACCAAGGCCUGCGACGCUUGGACGCCAUUCAGAGUGCAUAAUUUCCAAGGAUCUCAAGGGCUCCACACCACGUUCCAAGUGUUUUUUCUUUGCCGAGUGUUUUUAGCUCGGCAUUUGGCAAAUAGCUUGUUUGCCGAGUGUCCGAAAAAAACACUUGGCAAAGAGAAAACACUCGGCAAAUUUGAUGUUUCCCGUAGUGAUGUACUAUUCAAACUUGAACUGGGAUGCAGGCUUCAGUACCAAAGAGAGCUCUGGGCGCGGGUGAGCAGUGAGCUGGCCAGGCAGGGAGCGCCGCGAGCUCACCACGGUGGCAUGGCGCGGCUGGAGCUCCAAAGCGACAGCAACAAAGAGAGAAAUGCUAAGAGUAAGAACGACACACGAGGUCACUUCACAUAGAUAAUAGCAGUACGAACCAUACAAUAUCCUCUCUCAGUUUCACUCCGCCACCAUGCAUGCCGAUUUCAUAUUAUUAAUAUUAUUUUUUGGAUGGUUGUUGAAACUAUAUAUAUAGUUAGUCCAAUCUCACGUUUCCGAUUAUAAAAAUCAACGUAAAGAGAUCGGAAGGGAGAGCCGGCAUAAUGAAGCCGACGCGUGUAAUAAGCACCAGAGCCGGCAUUUAUACAAACUGGUACGAAUAGUAAAAAACUAGAAUUUAUAAAUAAAAAAAUGAUUUGCACAUCUAUGCAAUAAUUAGGGGUUAGUGGCAGGUCUAGAGAGAUAUCUCAUCAUUAUAUCCGGUUUAACGAGGAUAAAAAAGAGUGUAUUUUCCACUCAUCAUGUUGUCUUUUCGCAGCGGUACCACUUUUCAUGUGUUGUAUCGGUCCCCUAAUACGGAGUCUCCGAGGUCCGAGAAAAUAAGGAAAGUGAUAGUAGCCCAGAAAUCGGCCAAGUUUCUUUCCCCUUUGGCUUUCCUACUAGGAUUCAAAAUCCUCUUUCGCAUGACAAUCUUAAUUAUCUCCCAUACUCCAAAACUCACAAAAACAUCAAGAGUCCGCUGAGAAUAAAUUUAAGUAAAAAACAUGCACACACAGAUAAUAAUAAUAAUCAUGUUUCCAUAAAAUUGCUAAGGCCAGAGAUAAUACAUAAACAUAGUAGACUGUUCAUGACACAUAUCACGGUGGACAGUGUUUGUGUCCUUAUUACAAGCAACGAGAGAUGCUCGUCACCACACACGCGCGCGCGCAGAUGCACGACAUACAUAUAGUAGAGACCAACAGAUGGUCGUCCCAUAUGGUGAACAAUUUAUUGGAGAUAAAUAUUAACGUAACUUGGCCAUAGCUUGAAGCAUAGCAACAUAUGCCUAUGAGUGGCAUUCAUGCUAUCAUUUUAGGCUUGUCCAGCUCCUUCCAUCUUAGCAAGCACUUCCAUUUCUACCAUCUUAGCAGCAACUGUCAAAUUGAGAUACGGAAAUCCCAUUAGCGCAUGAGUUAAUUUUGCAGUGGAAAUAGAGUACAAGAUGUCUUCAUGAUGUAAGUAAUAUGCCUGAAGUUGUGAGAUGGGAAGUGAAGUCAACAAAUUACAUUAAUGGAAAUGCAUGGAAGGCCACACAUACGUAUUAGUCCAUGAUAUGCUACAAAGCUUGUAUGUACAUAUAGCAAAUUAAAUGCAUUAAUUGAAUAGAGUGUGUUUAGUGAAUUUACCAGAAUCGUCCAGAAAACAUGGGAAACAGCAAGUGUUCUUGCAGACUGCGUCGGAGGCACCCGCACGAAUACAAAGCUGACAACAUAGUUUUGCCUGGGCGGAUGCGCAGCAGCCGCACUCCGCCGCGGUGGGGUUAACAUUGAGGCUCAAGAUGACCAGGCACAUGAUCACCAUCAAAGUGGUAGUCCUCUUUCCCUCCAUUGCCUCCUCUUAGCUUGCUGCUACCUUCCUUGGUUACCUAGCUAAGUUUAUUGGUUUUGUGUUGAGAGGUGUGAUUCUUGAAUGGACGUUGCCGGCGGCAAUUUAUAGGCAGCUGAGCUAUGUGAUGAUAUGGACUAGGUGCAAAUGGGUGGUUAAUGGCAAGGAAAGGGGCGUCAGACAAAGCCCAAUGGCAACUGCUGACAUGCGAUUAAAUUCAGAUCCACAUCCGGCCAUUCAAUAAUACGGUUGGAGUUGUGGCACAGAUAUAUUAUUGCAUGAUCAUCAAGAUAAGAUCGUACAGUGACUGAGUGAGACAAUAAAUAGCCAAGUAAACUAUUUUAUCCUGCUGCAAGCAGCGCUGCAUUCAUAAGUUUAUUUCACCUUUGAUCACAAUACUCUUCACACACGUACGUCUCAGGGAGAUCUUACUUCCGCUGGACUGCUCACUUCCGCUGUCAUCAGUACUGCCAAAGACACAAGCUCACAUCUGCUAUUGCGGAGCAGGCCAAUUUGCUGCGGAACUUCGGUGACGACCUGAAGGACAUGAAUUCGGUGCUGGAGUCCAUCUCAGUAGCACUCCAGGACGCUGACACUGGUAGAAAAACGACCUUCCAUCGUCAACAAAAAUCCCGGUAGCUUUUUUACUCAGUACUAAAGAGGUUUUAAUCUCGUGCAAACACCUUUAGUCCGGAUUGCUGUUACCUGUUACCACGCAACCCGGACUAAAGCGUACCCCACGAGUUACUAUAUAAGGAUUGCAUCCUUUACUUAGUCAGAUAUAAUGUGUAGGUGAGAUGAUAAGGAAGUUAUGCGUGAGGCUUAAGGUUGUGGGUUCGAAUCCAAGGAGAAGUGGGUGCAGCUGUGGCUUAAGCGGCUGAGGCACGCCGCCAUAGACAUCUCAAAUUUGCUCGAAGACUACCAAGACACUAGUGAACCCUUAACAGUAAAGGUGAGUACUUAUGAAUGUCAGCAUCCAUGUUGUCCAUGCUUCCAAUGUAAUAACAAGAUGGACUACUCUUCCUAGCGGACUCUUCACAACCACUCGUAAAGCUAUAUGUUUCUCAAUGCAAUUUCGUAGAAGCCAAUCGAUCCAACCAAGUGACUAAAUCAUUCAUCCUUUCCAAUGAUGUGCAUCAGGUUUUCUACAUGAAGGGCAUGUCUAGCAAACCCAAGAUUUCAGAAGAAAAAGAAAAAUCAUUGGAACCAAAGAGCCACAUAGUUCUUCCAGGAAAAAAAUCAUGGGAGUCGAGAACAAAUCAAACCAAUCAGAGGAUUAUGGUCAGCUUAAUGGCAUGCCUCCAUUCGAUGUCGAAGUUCACCCAAGCAUCAUGUUAGCCAAACAUCAAAUGUUCGUGCGUUGUUACGGUAAAGAUCAAUUGUGUUUUUUAAACUCAUGGAAUUUUUUUUCUAAGUUUUUAUUACACUUAUUGGAUGUCUACACAUUUGCUAGAAAACCAAAAUAAUUUGGACUUAAUUAUUUCUUUCAACUGAAGUACUCACUAAAUUUCUACCUUUUUAUUUAAGCAAGAGAGUUGCUAAAAAAAAUGGAUACAUAACCAUGUUGUAUCGUACAAAGCAACCACAUUUCACAUAUAGUCCGGCUUACCAAACACCAUUUUUUACUGAACAUAGCGUACAUGAGUUAAGAGACAUGGAUUUAUUUCUAUUGCAAGUAGCAUAGCGUACAACCUGCCUGCACCGAUGCAGCUCAAUAUGCGAUAAUUUUUAUCUUCCCAUGUAAUUUUUCUACUCUAGUACAUAUUGAACUCCACAUUAAUGUCAUGUUCUUUGGCGCCCCAGACGGUUCCUAAAGUUUGGAAACAAAAUAGAUAGCCAGAAAUUUUUUUUAAAAUAUUUAUAUGGAUAUUUGUAUGUUCUUUGCAAACUAACAAUAUUGUUUACCAAUAUCAAAAGGAAUAUGGCUAGGAGCCAUUGCCGCAUAUGGCAGGUGAUGGUAGAUGGCGUAUGGGAUUUCGUUAAUUUAAUGGUAUAAUAAGCUGAAAUACAUUUUCUAUUUGCAAAUGAAUCAUAGCUGAAAGUGGUGAGAUUGUUUUUUCGCCGGUUUAGCAUCCUGUGCACCGGUUCAACUGGAGGGAAGCGGUUCACCGAGACGGAUGGCAAUUUUACGGCAGAAUCAUUACUUGUUUUAUUAUUAGGUGAAGAUUUUAGCUUUUAGGUAUCUCACAUUAACAAUCUGUUUCUAGUGUAUAAUGUAGGAGACCCGUAAAGAGUCUACACACACAUAUAUAUGUUGACUAUGAAUGUAAGUUUGUUGGUUUUAUGUAUGUUCAUUUGGAGUUUAUAUAAAUUUUACAUUUUAUAGUUUUGUGUAUAUGACGAAGAUCCAUGACUUGCAUUAAUUUAACCUUUCUUCCAACAACUCUUAUGCAUGCUGUUUCUAGGGGAGCGCACUGGUUGCAAUUUUGGUCCCCGAUAUAGCAUGAGGACUUAAGGGAGACGUGCACGUCGUAACCUUAGAUAUUUUUGCAAGAAGCAAAUUAUACUUUGCUUUUGAUUUUCUCCAUGCCAUUUGCUGACUCUUAUCCCUUUUAUUUAUCAUUAUAAGAUGAAAAUAUUGUAAAAACUUGGUUACGUGCGGUCGCAGAAGCUAGAGACUAUUUCUUUUUUUAAAAAUACACAAGAGGGAGAAACUUGGUAACAGCUAGACAGUGAAGAUCGCAUUUCAUAAGAAAGAUGGUGCACGUUCUUGUUUGGCUGUUAACGAAAUGACUUCGUUUCACCACACCACCAGAGAGCCCCAUUGCACUUGCAGCAAAAGCGUGGAGCCGCUUUCAACCAGCGUGCAAUAAUGCAGUCCCGCGUGUCUUGGUCUUACAAGAUAUUUGGUUCUUUAGUCCGGACUAAAAUUCAUGUCGCAUAGAAUAUUCAGAUGUUAAAUAGGAGGACUAAACAUGAGCUAAUUAUAAAAAUAAUUACACAAAUGGAGGCUAAUUCCCGAGACAAAUCUAUUAAGUCUAAUUAAUCCAUCAUUAGCACAUGUUUACCGUAGCACCGUAUUGUCAAAUCAUGGACUAAUUAGGCUUAAUAAAUUCGUCUCGCAAGUUAGUCUCCAUCUAUACAAUUUGUUUUAUAAUUAGUCAAUGUUUAAUACUCUAUCUAAACAUUCAAUGUGACUGAAAUUUUAGGAGGUCCUAAAGAACCAAACACCCCUUAGUCUCCGCCUGAACUAUAGCAGGUGCUGGCAGCGGUAGCAGGGUCGUCCAUUAUAUCUAUGGAUGGAAAUGAUCUGAUUCGGAUGGAAUCGAAUUCGAAUAGCACUUUUUACCACAUACUAAUCUGAAUUGGAUGUUCUCGAAUGUGAAUGCAAAACGGAUAGUUCAAAUUUGAAUACUUUGCGGAUUUUUGCAUAAUAUUAAUCGAAGAGAAUUUGUUAAAUUUAGCCGGACAUAAAUUUUUCUAAAUUCAAAUACUUUGCAGAUUUUCGAAUGCAAAUUUUUUCAUACGAUCUCGGUUGAAUACAAACUUUAUAUCAAAGUUGUAUAUUUAGAUUAUAUAUAAAACUUUGUAGUUGACCUCCUUUUCAUUUAAAAUUUUUUAAUAGCUCAAAACAUUAUUCUAAGCUUUCUAAUUUCAAAAUCUUGAAUUUUAAAUUUUUCAAACGACCUCGGAUGCAAACUAGCUCUAUAUCAAAGUGGUAGUGCUUAAUGAGAUAUAAAAUUUUGUAGUUGACAAGUUUUUCAGUUGAAAAUAUUUAGUUAUCACAAACAUACAAGUUCUUCAUUUGAUGUCGAGGAUUGGAAGUGUUGAGUUUGAAGAAUAUAUUCUUUGAUUACAAACUUUUCCAUAUGAUCUUGGAUGAAUACGAACUUUAUUUCAAAGUUGCAAAUUUAGAUUAGACCAAAAACAGUAUAGUUUACAAUUUUUUCAUUCAAAAUUAUUUAGUAGCUCAAAAUGUUAUUCUAAACUCUCUAAUUUUGAAAUCUUGAAUUUUAAAAUUUUCAAAUGACCUCGGAUGCAAACAAGCUCUAUAUCGAAGUGGUAGUUCUUAAUGAGAUAUAAAAUUUUGUAGUUCCAUCUGAGAUCAUUUAACAGUCACAAAUAUACAAGUUUUUCAUAUGAUGCUAAGGAUCAGAAAGAUUAAGUUUGAAGGCUGUAUUUUUUUAAUACAAAUUUUUGCAUACGAUCUCGGAUGAAUACAAAUUUUAUAUCAAAAUUGUAGAGCUCGAUGAGAAUUUAAACUUUGUAGUUGAUAUAUUUUUCAUUCGAGAAUGUUUAGUGGUCCAAACAUGUAUUAUAAGUUCAGAGAAGAAACACACAAUCGGCCACGUCAUCAAUUGACAACUUCCAAAUUGAGCAUUCCUAUUGGUUCACACCUUUCCCUUUCAACUCGUCAAGCUUAUCUCCUCCCACUCCUCCAUCGUUCACUCCCCCUUCCCCUUCCUCUCUCCCUCCCUCCCUCCGCUCCAGCAGUGGCAGCCCGACCUGCCUCCUAGGACGGUGGUGUGCGGGGCUCGGGCAUCCCUGGCCUCUAGUGGCGUGGCAGGGCGGCCUCCAGCAGCGAUGGCGGAACUCGGCCUCCGGUGGCGCACAGGCAGCGCAGCCUACCUGGUCAAAGGCGGCGCAACAGGGCGACCUCCCCAGCCUCCGGUGGCGCGCAGGGCCUCCAUGACCUCCCCGGCCUCCCUUGCCAGAGGUGGUGCGCGGGGCUGCGCCGACCUCCCCAACCAGAGGUGGCAAGGCCCCAGCUUACGGCGGCGCGUGGCUCCCCAGCUAGGGUGUGGUGGGGCGGCGGCAAGUCAGGCGUGGCCACGUGGGGGUGGGGGGAGGGGGUUGGGCUGGGCGGAUUCAGAUAGUAUCCAUUUAACCAUCCGAAAUGUGGAUAUCCGUUUAACAAUCCGUUUAGCAAAACCGAAUUUGGAUACUUCCACUUAAGUAUCCAACUAGGAUUCGAAUGCGGAUGGUCCUACCAUAUUGUUAUUUCAGCGGAUACGAAUAUGGGAUAAUUCGAAUAACGACUUACCCAUCCCUGAUUAUAUCCGUGUAAAUAAAUAAUUGCGGCAGCAGGUUCCCGUCGCCACGCCCCCGUCAAACCAAACAAUUGCUUGCGCGACACCGUGUUACUAGAUCUUGUACAGUACUCCCUCCGUUGCAGUACUCCCUAAUGAAAGUUGAGAAUCGAUCGACAACCACGGCUAGUUGCUAUGCACUCGAUCAGAUGGUCCAGGCGCCCGCUGGUAAUCAGGUCGUGGUUCACGCGCAUCAGGCCAGCUAUGACGUUGCCAGCAGUGCUCAGUACACAAAUCUAGCUAUCAGUCGGAUCCAAUUGGGCAGGCAUUUGCACUGUGGUUGUGUUUGAACCUGGAGAUGUCGUUGUCAUUAUCAGGCACCAUACAUCCUCUCUCAGAGGGUGUUUCACCCCCUAAACUUUAGCCCCUCUCACAUCGAAUGUUUUAGAUACUAAUUAGGAAUAUUAAACAUAGAAUAUUUACUAAACCCAUUACAUGGAUGGAGGGUAAACGACGAGACAAAUCUAUUAAAUCUAAUUAGUCCAUGAUUUGACAAUGUGCUGCUAUAGUAACUAUUUGCUAAUGAUGGAUUAAUUAGACUUAAUAGAUUUUUCUUGCCGUUUAGCCUCCGUCUGUGCAAUUAGUUUUAUAAUUAAUUCAUAUUUAGUCCUCCUAAUUAGUCUCCGAAUAUUUGAUGUGACACCGACUAAACUUUAGAUAGCACACCAGGGACCGACACCAUGCAUGCUGAUUUCAUAUCAUAAUUAAGGAAAGUGAUAUCAUAAUUAAGGAAAGUGGUAGCAUCCAAGAAAUCGAUCAUGUUUCUUCCCCCUUUGGCUUUCCUACUAGGAUUUGGAUAGCGGGCCUUCCUACUAGGAUUUGGAAUCCGCUAUCGCAUGACUAUCUUAAUUAUGUCCCAUAGUCCAAAACUCACAAAACAUCAAAAAUCCACCGAGAAUAAAUUAAGUAAAAAACAUGCGCACACAGAUAAUAAUAAUAAUCAUGUUUCAAUAAAAUUGCUAAGAUUAGAGAUAGUACAUAAACAUAUUAGAUUGUUCGUGACACAUAUCAUGGUGGAUAGUGUCUGUGUCCUUAUUACAAGCAGCGAUAGAUGCUUGUCACCACACACACGCACGCACAGAUGCACGACAUACAUAUAGUUGAGACCAACGGAUGGAUGUCCCAUAGGGUGAAUAAUUUAUUGGAGAUAAAUAUUAACAUAACUUGGCCAUAGCUUGAAGCAUAGCAACAUAUGCUUAUGAAUGGCAUUCAUGCGGGUAGCAAUGCUAUCAUAUGCUUUUAGGCUUGUCCUUAGCUUCUUCCAUCUUAUAGCAAACACUGCCAUUUCUUCCAUUUUAGCAGCAACUGUCAAAUUAAUUGAGAUAUGGAAAUCCCAUUAGCGCAUGAGUUAAUUUUGCAGUGGAAAUAGAGUAGAAGAUGUCUUCAUAAUGUAAGUAAUAUGACUCUGACAUAGGGAGUGAAGUCAACAAAUUACAUUAACGGAAAUGCAUGGAAGGCCACGCAUAUGUAUUAGUCCGAUAUGCUACAAAGCUUGUAUGUACAUAUAAUAAAUUAAAUGCAUUGAAUAGAGUGAUUUUAGUGAAUUUACCUAAAUCGGAUUAAAAAACAUGGGAAACAACAAGUGUUCUUGUAGGGCUUUGUUUAGUUCCCAAAUUGGGAGUAGCAAAGUUUGCAUUUUACCAUAAAUGCGCAACUGUAGCAUGUAGCAUUUCGUUUGUAUUUGUGAAUUAUUAUCCAAACAUUGACUAAUUAGGCUCAAAAGAUUCAUCUCGCAAAGUACAACAAAACUGUGCAAUUAGUUUUUGAUUUCGUCUACAUUUAGUACUCCGUGCAUGUACCGCAAGUUUGAUGUGAUGGGAAAUCUUGCUUUUCAAUAGUGACAAAGUUGGGAUUUCGGGGGGAAGGCCUGUGUCGGAGCCACAUGCAAGAAUGGCUGACAUUGAGGCUCAGACAAAGCCCAAUGGCAACUGCUGACAUGCGAUUAAAUUUAGAUAUCCACAUCCAGCCAUUCACAUUUAUGAGAUAUGGACACGGUGCAAAUGGGUGGGGUCCUGAUAUGGAGGUGCGAAUGGCUGUCUACUUGUAUAGUGUAGCUCCAAUGUACGUAUAUGUAUCUUAUGCAUGUAUACAGUUGCACAAACUCUGAACCAACUCUUCAUAACAGGUCUUUGUUACCAAGUAACUUUACUUUUGCACGUUUCAGCCGAGAGGUAGAAGAGAAUAUUUUUGCAUUUUCCAUGUGCGUCAGUGGUAGAGAACUAGGAAUUAGUUCCGGAUGGUAGGGCACAAAUCUUCCAAACAACUAUCCGAAAUUAAGCAAUCGAGAUAAAGGGUGCCAUCUAUUCUCUCCGAAAAACACAGGUACCAAAAAGAAGAAGAGAAGAGGGAGGGCCUCCCGUUAAGGCCCGCUCGGGGUCUCCAUCCCACCACGCGCCCUCCCAACCCAAAGCCCAUCGUUUUCCCUCCGUCCCUCCCCUCUCCAUUGCCGCCGCUGCUCCCCUCAUCCGAGCUCGAUACGGGUGGUCGGCGGCCCCUCCUCUCCGCUCCCGCCCCCGGCCUCCCUUUGACCGCCGGGCGCCGGCAUCACUGCCGCGGCCAACCCCAGGGCGCAGCGCGUGCCUCUAUUUCUCUCCCCCGUUCAAGGGCCCUUUGAUGGCGACGAGCACCCACCCACCAGGUAUGCCCUCCCCUUCUCUUCCUAACCCUAAUAUAUUCGGAUCUCACCCAGUCACAAUAUAUUACCUAAUAGCUUCGAUUUUGUUUGCAAAAAUCAUCACGUGCGCACCCAUGUCCGCUAGAUUCUUGCGCCUGAUCCUGUGCUGCUAUGGUUUGGGCGGGGUAGACUAGUUGAUUCGUGCACUUUUGGGUGCUUGUAGUGCUAGGUUUUGGAGGGGGAUAGCCCAGUUGAUUCCUCCGUUUUGGGUGCUCAUGGUGAUAGGAUUUGGAUGGGGAUAGCCCCAAUGAUUCGUGCGCCUUUGGGUGCUGGGGAUAGUUUUGGGUGCCUGGAUAGUCCAGUUUCAAUGUCAGUAUAUGCGUAUUUUGGGGAGAAUUUUGUUUUGGGUGGUUCUGGUGCUAGAGUUUCUGAUGCUUAGUAGCCCAGUUUCAAUCAAAUUCCCCCAUGGGUCGUGCACUACGGGAAACAAGAAAAUUGCCGAGUGUAUUUUUUUUGCCGAGUGUUUUUUUUCCGAGCACUCAGCAAACAAGCUUCGCCGAGCGCCAAGUCAAAAACCCUCGGCAAAAAAAAAACACUCGGCAAAUCGGGGCUUUGCCGAGUGUCAAAUAAAAACACUCAGCAAAGAAGGGGGUUUGCCGAGUGUUAAAAAAAACACUCGGCAAACAGGAGGGUUUGCCUAGUGUUUUUUUGACACUCGGCAAAAAAAUAAUUGUUUUUCCUCUUUUCACCUUGAAAUUUUUUCUACUCCCCACAUACAACACGUGGUACUCCAUGUUAAAAUUUGGUAUAUUUUUGGAUUUAUUUGCUAUAUUUAUUUAAUUAAUUGCAUUUCAAGGAAAUUUUUGGUAUAAGUCAAAUUUGAACUGCAAGUGAUUCAAAUUGUGGAACAAAAUGAGUAGAAAAAUGAUAUUCAUGUUAUUUGGCUCAAUUUGAGAUCUGACCCAUGAAAUGAAAAGAAGUUUCGAACAUCUUGUUCAGGAAACACGACAAUGAACAUGUGGCGGUAGUAUUUUUAAAUUGUAAAAAAACAAGCAAAGUCUGAAAAUCAUGAGAUUUGUAGUUAUGUGAUGAUAUAAUACGUGGAAGCUGUGGAAAAAAAUUGGAAAGGUUUUGCACAUUUCAUCAUGUACGAUGAUUACAAACCGAAGCAUAUCAGAAGAAGAAUAGUAACUUUGAGAAGGAUUCGAUAAAAUUUAGAGUCGAAGUGACGGUCGAGUUCGGUUUGACUACAAAACUUUUUGUAUAGUCAGUAGAGAACAUAUCUUAUUUCGUGUGAAAAUUUGGUAUUUUUUGAAACUGUUGGAUAUUUUUAAUUUUUUUUUUAAAAAACUUGCCGAGUGUUUUCUCGGCACUCGGCAAAGACUUUGCCGAGUGCCCGACACAAAACACUCGGCAACUCAGUGUUUGCCGACUGAAAAAUUGCCGUGUGCCGUUUGCCGAGUGUUACACUCGGCAAACGGUUCGCCGAGGGUUUUUUGCCCUUCGCCGAGUGCCCCUAGCACUCGGCAAUUUCACUAUCUCCCGUAGUGGUGGCUGGACUUAUGGGGGGAUCAUUGAUGGGGGACUAGUUGGAUACUUUUUGGCUGUUUUGGGAGUCCUUGGCAGCGGCUUCUCAGGGCGUACGUAGCCCAUUGUAGAUUCCAGCCGAGAAGAUUAAGGAAUUGUGACUGCAACCAUGUUACUUUUCUAGGACUCUGUUUCUGAUAUUGUUCCCGCUGCAUCUUUUCAUCCCCAUGGUGAAUGUUGCUGUUGAUCUGUAGAUUGGAUUUGUUCCUCGGUAGCUUUAUUAGAUUUGUGCUGAAUGAUAAUCUCUGCCUGUGAUAUUUUUCUUCAUUGCGGAUGUGUGCCGAGUAUAUCCCCUUUGUUCAUUCUGUUGGCUUUUUUUAUUGUCUCUGUACUCGGCUGUUCAGCUUGUGCAGCUAAUGAUCUAAUGUAUUUUGUGGUAACUAUGUAUUUUUCGGAUGUGUGCCGAGUAUUAUCCCCUUUGUUUAUUCUGUUGGCUUGCUUUCAUUGAUCUUAAGAUAACUGGUGCUAUAAAUUCACACUAGCUGAUGCACUUGCAAAUAGCUAUGUAAAUAUGAAAAGAAGUAUUUUUUUAUCCUUUUGUUUGUUUGGCAUCAUAUCUGUUUAAAUGGCAUAGCAAUAAGAAUUUUUUGUUUUUGGGGAAUCAUAUCUGCUUAAAUGGUAUAGAAAAUGCUGAGUGCACUGUCAAAUAGAUUUUCCAGCAGUCUGCUUUCAGUUGUUUUUGCAAAUCCUCACAGGCCAGUGAACUGACUUUGUUUUUACCACCCCAUGCCAUCUAAAUGACUAAAUCAGUCAGCCUAAUACUAUAUAUGGUCAUGCUAUGAUCUUAUUUCUUGAAGCUCUAUAGGUCAACCCAUAAGGGUAACUUAGUUUUUCCUAUUCUGGCUGGGGAAGUGGAUACGAUGGCUAUCCUUGGUAGAGUUAAAUACAUUGGCGGCUCUUAGCGCGCCAAUGUGGCACCACAAUAUCGAACAUAUGUAGAAACCCCCUUGUUUUUUCUCAUAUCCCUCUCUCUCAGCGUCCUCUUCUCUUCUUCUCCUCUGUCUCCUCCCCUCCCAUCGCGUGCUUUAUUGCGCCGCCGCCAUCCGCCUCCAUGUAUGAACACGUCGUUUGUCAUGAAGAAGCAGUUGAUGAGGCAAUCAAGCAUGUGGUGCACAAGGUUCUUCUGCUGGCCAAGUCCGAGUCGAACAGCCGCGCAUUCAUUGGGGAAGCACGCGCCAGGCAUCACCAGGCUCCUCGUGCCCCUACUCUGCUCCAAGGACUCGGUGCUUCGACGCGCUGCUUUCCCUGUCCGGCGAGCGGGGAUCGUUGGGAGAUGAUCGAUGGAGGAUGGAGCUGAUCCUCCUGUACACGGUGCCGGUGGGGAGCAGGGAGCUGCGGAGCAGGUCCACGGGCGGCGCCAUUACAGCAGGUGCAGGCUAAGGGUAAUGAGCAGAUCGAGGCGAUGGAGGAGGACCCGCACGAGGUGCAGCUUCUUCGCCUCCUGCGCAAGGUCAGCGCCCAAGCAGCCGCUGAGGGACAGGCCGAGGCUUAGCUCGAUCUCAUCCGACUAAAUGGUGGCUGCACUCCCACAGUCCCACUGGUGCUCCUCCCUUCUGUCCGAACCUGCCGAGGAAAUCCCUCGAUGCCAUGGGUCCCGGCUGGACGACUACUCCUCCCACAGAUUGACUGAGGAAGAAGAGCUUCUCAGUGUCCAAAAAUUCAGUUACACUGGAAACAGCAACCAAUUACGUCCUUCCGGCUCAGCCAAGCCCCAAUCUCCUUGCUUCUGUGCGCCCCUGCUAAAUAUUCCAGAAACCAAUCUGGUUAGUUGUUUUUUCACAUUUUCAGUGCAUGCCGGUGCUGCUGUGUGCGGCAUGCAUGGAGUUGUCGUGGGAGUGCACGGUGGCUUAGCUGGUGCGCCAGUGCGCGGGCACGAACACAACGGUGAAGAUGGCAGGGCCAUCUCAAAGCUCCUGAGCACCUGCACGCGUCGCUGAGCAGGACAUGCUGCGACGGUGGGCGAGCGCUGCUAACGCCCUGGGGAAGAGCAGUGGGUGCAGAGAGAGGGAGCGAGGGAGAGGGGUUCUUGUAUAUGUUUGCUAGCGUGGCACCGUUUACGGUGCCCGCCUAAGUGGCAUUCACGUGUCAUUCAUCCCAAAUGGUGUUGCAAGGUUGAACCUAUUGUGGGAGGCUUUUGGUUUCCCUUGACCAAGUAUCACCAGUGAUAUCACUGCGUUCUGGUUAUGUACGAAACACUUGUCCUUUUAAAACCUUUCUGAAUUUAGAAACGAAUUUGAAACAUUACCCUCAUUUCCAUGUUUUUCUAUCUUUUGUCCCUGUAAAAUCAAACUAAAUUUGAAUUAUUAUGUUCAGAACUACAAGCUGAUUUACUUGUCCCAUUUGCUAAUAACAGGGCCUUGUGAUUUCUAAUGAACAUUGCAGAGCAUGUUAUAAAGCGUAUGCAUGAACACCAAGGGGAUGAAACCAUUGGUAUAUUUCUCAUAACCUUUUGAACUUAUCAUUUAGCAUAUUUGUGUUCUAGUGUGACGUUUCAGCCACGAGACAUGAGAAAUGUUAGCUAUGGAUUUUGGUUAUUCAUCAUGGGUUCACAGAUUUGUUUUUCUCUAAAAGAAUUGGGAAGUAGCUUUCUUUCUGGGUAUAUGUGGGGAAAUGCAUAUGCAAUCUUUUAUUUAUUGAGGUGACUGUAAAAUUCUUGUCUGACUGAAUAUGCGAUUUCAACCUACAUGCUAUACUUAGGGAAAUUUGUGAAUCUCCUAAUGUCUGCUGCAUGGCAUGAAUGCAUAUUUUACUGGUCCAUAAUGUGAAGUUCUGUAUAUAAACUUCUCGUGUUGACCCUUUAGAACAUGCUAACUGGAGAGUUUUCUAGAGUAGUUAAACAAGAGAUUUAGUUAAAUCUGCACACAUAGGUGGGGCCUGGCAUACCCUAAGAAUCGGCCUAGCCGGCCAGCCCAUUAGUAAAAAAAAAAGCACCGCAGUCAGCAGUCCCCACGUUGGUCUUCCUCGAGUCGCGACUCGCGAAGAUCCCAUCCUCCGAGUCCAAGAUGGUGGACUGUGUCGAGCGCGGGGCGGGCGAUUAGUUGCCCGGCCGCCGGCGGGGGAUGGCCGGACGGCCAGAUCGCCGACUCCUCUAGUCCUCCCUCCAGCCUCUGCGCUUCUUUCACAGUGGAGCUAGCGGCGAGGCGCCCGACCGACACCCUUCUUCCCAAAUCCCGGCAGCCCUGCCUCGAUUUGGCCUCCUCCGAUCAUUUGAUAAUCAAUUUGAUGAAAUUAAUAUGGAGUUGCUUUCUUGUAUGGUUGCCUUCAAUCCUGCUAAUUCAUUUGCUUCAUUUGAUGCACAAAAGAUACACAGACUUGCUAUAUUUUUAUCCACAAGACAUCACAAGCACGGAUUUGCUAAAACUUGAAUUCCAGCUCGAUAUUAUAUUGAUGAUGUGAGAUAGGAUGAUAGUUUCAAAGGCCUACAAGAUCUUGUUAACUGAGACUCAGUUAAGCUUGUUGAAACAAACAGGCAUAAUAUUUAUGACUUGGUUUACUUGCUUCUCAAAUUGGUAUUGGUUCUUCCUGUGGCGACAGCUAGUGUUGAAAGGGAUUUUUGUGCAAUGACUUUGAUCAAGAGUAAGCUAAGAAAUAAGAUGGGUGAUAGUCUUUUGGAUGAUUGUCUUAUCACAUUCAUUGAGAAAGAUAUUUUCUUUGAAGUGGAUGAAGAAGAUAUAAUUAAGACUUCAUAUCCAUUAGAAAUCAUAGGCUGGAGAAGAAGUAAUAUUUUAAUUUUCUUUGAACGUUAGGUCUGUAAGCUUCUUUUAAACUAUCUACAUUAUAAUUUAUGGACCUUUUAAUUUAACCGUUGAAUUCAUGAUAUUAUGAGAUUUUUUUAUCUAUGUUAUUAUUGUUUACCGAUUUAUUACCAAAUUAUUAGUUUGAUCUUACAAUAUUGUAUUUUGGAUGAUUGGCUCGGCAUACUCUAAGUUUAAAUCCUAGCUCCGCCACUGUUUGCACAUUAAUGUGGCUUAUAUGUGUGGAGUCACUUAACCUAUGCACUUGGACCUCCACUCCCUUAGGUUUUAUGAACCUAAUUUGACAGCCUGCUCGUCUUUUAUUUUCUACCAAUCAGCUAGGAACGAACAUGGUGAUGUUUGCAUCUCUUGCAUCAAUGGCUUACAUGUCAUUAUGUAUCACAUUAGCAAGUCUUGUUUUGUUAUUGGCUGGGAUGACGGGGACUCUAGCUGGAAUUGAAUCAAAGUGGUAGAUCACAGGGUAUUCAUUGCCAUGUAUUUCUGCAGUUGCAUGGACUUGCAUCAAACGGACCUUCCUACUUAUGUGAUUGUCCUAUAUGAUCUCCUUUGAUUUCAUUUGCACACUGUAAUCACAUUAGCUAGAACACUCGCUUUUUGCUUCAAAUUUGAAAUUCAUAUCAUGAUGGACUAGAACGCUGAAUUUCUUGAUUGCUGAGUUACUAAUCACAUUGUGGCGCUGCCAAAGAAGCUGGACUCUUCAUUGUUGUUGCCUUGUGGGCUGCCGUGUGCAAAGAACAAGAGCGCACGGUAUUAUAAUAGCAGAGCUGAACACAGACAAGCGACAAGGAGCGGAGCAGAGCAGAGCACAGCCAAGCACAAGCAGUAGAGUAGAGCAGAGCAACCGGGAGAGGAGAGGGCACAUAUGCAGAGUAGAGCAGAGCCAAGCGCAAGCAUUCAUGCACUCAAGCAUGCAGCAGAGGUGUAGCAAGGCAAGCACAAGCAGCAGAGCAGAGGGAAGGGAAGGCUGGGAGAUGAAUAGGCGAAUAGUUACCUGGACAGAGCAGAGGGAAUGGAGAUGAUGCAGAUGCUUCCGGAGACUGGAGAUUUGGAGAGGAACAAGGCCACGUUGUGAACAAGGUCUCCUUUCUCUUCUCUAUUUCCCGCGCAAGUACUUGUGCAUAGUGGCUGCCUCAUCCUCCAGGACGCCCACUUCAACCUGAGGCGGGUGCCACAGACAUCCUGGCUAUGCGACGGCUACCCCCAGCACACCCCCAGCGCCUAUGAACCAUGAUCCUAAUACUAUAAAUUGUCAACCUUGUAAUCUUAUUUCAAGCAUGCUUUCUAUGUCAACCUGUAAGGUUAAUUUCGUUUUUCCUUUUCUGGGUAGGGGAGUGGAUAUUGCUGUUAUUUAUAUUAUGUUGAUAUUGGUUUCCACAUGUCAUUCACCCCAAAUGUGUUGCAAGGUUGAACCUAUCAUCGGAGGAAUUUUUUUCCCUUUACCUUUAUAUCACUACGCUCUGGUUAUGUAUGAAACACUUGUCUUCUUAAAAACCUUAAUUUAGAAACAAAUUUGAAACACUAUCUUCAUUUACAUCCUGUAUGUGUUUUCUACCUUUUGUCCUAUAUGAUCUGCUUUGAUUUGAUUUGUGCAUAGUUUUUUCAAUUCAGACCUGGUGAUCUCUGAGGUUCAUGUUGUGCUGAUAAGCAGCCUACUAUUCAGUAACACUUUCAUGUGGCAUGUUCAUGUUAGCUAGCUAGAAACACUGCUUUUAGCUUCAAAAUUCAAAUUCAUGACAUGAUGGACAUUGACAAUGAAUUUCUUGAUUGCCGAGCUAUGUACACUGUAAUUCAGACCUGGUGCUUUUAGUUUUUUUCUUGAUUGCCGAGCUAGAAACACUGUGCUUUUAGUUUUUUCAAUUCAGACCUGGUGAUUUCGGUUUUUUCAAUUCAGACCUGGUGAUUUCUGAGGUUCACGUGUCACACCGAUUUUAAGAACAAAAUCGAGUGCAUUAAAUAUACAUGUACGCUAGGAUCAGGUUACACACAUGUACGACAUAAGCGAAUAUCAAAGACAAUGCCAUAACGAAAUAAAGAGAGUAUUAAUCAUUAUUACAUGACCGAAAGUCUCAAAUAAACCACAAAAUCUAUUUAUUACAUAGCGGAACUCCUAAGAUAGCAACGUCUCCACAGGCAGCUGACUGAAGAACUGUAUGCCUAGAACUCUUCAAAAUCGUGCAGGUACUCCUCCAGAUUAGCUUGGUAUGAACAACGGUUUUGCAAGGGUGAGUACACUUAUGGUUGGUACUUAAUAAGUCGUGGGAAACAAUGUAGUGUAAGGCAAAUCAAGGUAUGGCUAAGGCUUAAACAGCAUCAGCUUUUAAUUUAGUUGGUCAAAUUUUAUUAGCAAUUAAUUAGACGUAAAUUUAUACCACCCGAAAUUAAACAAGAACAUGAAUAAAAUAAUAACAUAACCAUAAAUGAAAUGACAACAAUUUAAAUCCAUCUUUUCAUAGCAUUAUCAUGUGAGGGUCCAGUCCGCUCUUAACCGUGAGCACCGCUGAUCGAUCAGUUUUACACUCUGCAGAGGUUGUACAUCUUUACCCACAAGUCGCGUAAAAGUUCAAAAGAAUUUUGGACCCAACCAUGCGGUGUUUGCAAGGCACCAUACCACACUUCCAAGGUGUGAUUGCAUAUGAACGCUACGAGGCCUUUACAAAGAUUCAUUAGUAAGUGGUAACCCGCUAAAGUUUCGGUAUUUGGCGUGCACAACCUAUCACAGGCCGCUAAUGCAACGACUCAGUCCCCCCUCUUGCCUCAUCACGAGUAAGAUUACCCCAGACUAAGGUUUCUAAUUAUUCAGCCAAGAUCAGAACCAUUUAGUCUUGUGGUAGCACUGUUUUCUUGGGUGGUUCUCCAUGUUCCGAUUAAACAUAAUGGUCUUGUAUUAAUGGAAGGUAUAACAUAAAUAAUACCAAAUUAAUAAUAAUUCAGAUUAAAUCACCAUAACCAUAUUUGAGCACUAAGCAUGAGCUACCCAACAUAAAUUUAACCCGGUUGGUCAAGGCAAGGUAGAUAAAGUCUAGGAAAUUCUUAAUUGGGACCCAUCAAGUUUAAAUUAUACUUUGCAUGGUAUUGUUGCAUAGAACAUGAAAGUAAAUGUGAAUAGGACUGAAAAGGAGUGAUUAGGGACACGACUUGCCUUUUUAACCUUGUUCUUGCUGUUCGUACUCCUCGAAAACUUUGAUCUUCAAAUCCCUCGAACUGCUGACCGUCUACACGCGUCACACGACCACAUACAAGCAAACAAAUAUAAUACAUAAGAAAACAGUACACCAAUCAUAAUUAAAUAGAAGAAACAAAUUUGAAAAGCUAUUCUACGCAUUAAAACGAAAACACGGAUACAAGGAACGUUAAAAACGGAGCUACAGUGCAAAAACUACGCUUAAAACAAGAUGCAGGGGUAUAACUACGAGAAACCAAACUUCCAGGGAUUUAAUUUUAAAUAAUUUUGAACUGCAGAAGGGGCAGCAGGGAAAAACGUAGAAAAUGCAGGGGCUUAAGCGCAAAAGCAUGGCUGCUGACUCAGCUGACUUGAUGUGGAUCGUCGGAUGGCGAUCCGGCGGCCGGCAGCUGCUGCGCUGACGUCAGCGACGGCGAGCGCCGGCGAAAAACGGCAGUUCGCCGGAAUCGCCCGGGAACGCGCGACUGGGUGCAGAUUUGAGCGAGGAUUAGACUAGCAGAUAGAAACGAGCGCAGUGAACUCAUUUGGGAUGCCUACGGCGAGGACUUGGCGACGGCAUCGGCUCCGGCGAGAACUUGCGGCAGGGAAACCAAAUAAAAUAAAAUAACACGGUUCAGAGAAGCGGCGCUGGAGGAACGCGAGCGAUUUUGCGUGCGAGCGGAAGAAAACACUGCGAGGAAGAUGACUGCGGGCCCUGCUUGUCUGCGGCAGGAGGAGAGCUGCGUGCGAGAAGAACCUGGCCACGAUCUGGGCCGUUGCCUUCGAUCUGGGCCGAGGCAAGCUAGCUGGCCCGCUGCUGCGGAAAGGUGCUGGGCCACGGGCGGAGCACAGCGUCGGGCCAGAAAGGAGAUGGCUGCUGCGAGGAAACAAAAGAAAAUGAACUGGGCUGCGACAGAGGAAAACUGGGCGUCGGCCAGAAAGAAGCUGCGUGCAGCUUGCUCUUGUUUCCGAACUAGAAACAGGAACUGACGGAAAGACAGAAAUCAAUUGGAGACUGAAACUGACGCCCCAGACUCUGAACUUCGAAAAAACAGGACAACCAGCCAACUGACAGAAAAAAAAAAAGCUUAACAACCCAAAAGCAGUACACAACCACGAAACCAGGCCACAAGACUGAAAAAGCUUGAUAGGAACAUCUGGCGACUGAACCAAAAAACUACAGAACUGCAACUGAAGAACUAGAGAACAGAUAAAUAACUGAUUGAACUCUGAAACUGAAACACCAAAGAGCAGGAAGCUGACUGACGGAAAAUGCAAAACAGCAACCCAAGGUGAAACACAAAUCCUUCUUCAAGCAUUCAAACAAAGAGAUAUGCAACAGCAUGAAUGCUCAAUAAAAUCCUAUAUUUCAUUAAUUAAUUAGAAAAAAUGCUCAAAUGCCUAGAAAAAUGCAAAAGUGACCUUAUAUACCUUAAACAAGCAAAUUCGUUUCUAGCGAUUUUUGGUAAAAUGCAAAAUUAGAGAUUUUGGGUGUUACAUCAUGUUGUGCUGAUAAGCAGCCUACUAUUCAGUAACACUUUCAUGUGGCAUGUUCAUGUUAGCUAGCUAGAAACACUGUGCUUUUAGCUUCAAAAUUAAAUUCAUGACAUGAUGGACAUUGACAAUGAAUUUCUUGAUUGCCGAGCUAUGUACACUGUAAUCACAUUGUGGGGCUGAUAAAAUAAGCAGCGUUGAGACACAUAACAAUUGAAUCUUAAGCUUCACACAGAAUCUGGACCAGUCAUCCUCAUUCCUGUCAUGCUGGAAAUGUCUUUGAUACAUUUCAAUCACAGGCAAUUGAAUUCGUACUGGGGAGGAUGGCAAUGGUGCGUGAAGAGAGAUCAAUGUGGCAAAUCUCACAUUGUUCAUUACCAGGUAUCUCCGAUUUCUGGUUAUUUUAAAUUUACCUUGACAUGUGACUUAUUGAGGUAUUGUAUUUCAUCUAAUGGUAGUUCUGAAUUUAUGGUAACCUUGGAUGGGGUUUGUCACUUUAUACACGCACGGACUUACAAAGGACAGCAAAUGAGUAUAUUUAGAGGGCUCCUGUCCAACCAUGGACUAUACUUAUGUACCCUUUUUUGACAUGGUAAUUUGAGGUUAAUGGAAAAGUAGCGAUAGUCGCCUCCAGCGAAGCUACCUUCUUCGAAAGCUCCGAGGCUGCUUUCUCGCUCUUAGCAAGCCGAUCCCUCGUAAUCAUCGAAGAGUAAGAGACCUACAGAUUUUAAAAACCAAGUUACCAAAAAUAACGAAGUAAAAGACAACACUCGCAAGACAAACCACCAAACUAUCUCAUAAUUGUACCUUCUUUACGAGGUUCGCCUCCAAGUUAAAGAGCUCUUCCAAGAUCAUUGACUUCACAGCUUGCUGAAAAUCUAUGCGCCAAAGGAUAUAGUCGUAAGCAUAAAAUAAAAAUUGGUAAAAACCAAGGACAGCAAAGCCAUCUACAAGCUGUUCUUACCCUCAUACUUUCGCACCUCAACGGCGAUCGGAACAACCUUCUCUCUAGCCUCGCCCUUAGACGCCACCACAAUCUUCCCGCCACACAAAUCCACAACCUGUCCUUUACCUUUGCCCUCUCCCGAAGUCGUCGUGCCCGCCUUCUCCACCCUUUUUGAACCGCCAACAUCUGCAUAGCGCUCGCAACCUUCACCUUCAGCCCCCCAGACCAAAGACAGGUUGUGAGGAUUAUAAACCCUACCUUCGGCGCAUGUAGCUAGAAUCUCCGUGCGCCCGCUCAAGCCCAGACACUCAUUCAGUCCCUGAAGCCCCGCCGGCAACCUCUCACCUACAUCAUAACAUUCAACUUUUAGCCUCACAUGAUCCUCACAACUAACCUUACCAACGCCCCCCAUAGUUUCUUCCAAGUCCUUCAAAAAUUUUGUUGAGGCCUCACCACAAUCAAAGAACCGUAGCAUCGAUAGAAACACCUCUACAUGCUUACCAGAUCUCACAGCUUCGGCACACCCACCCUUUGGAUCGGAUGAGAACGCAUCCACAAGCUUCGCCUUUUCAGUGGCAAACCCCCUCUCAAGUUUCCCAACAUCAGUCAAGAGAUGUUGCGCGCUCUUAAACUUCGAGCUUAUGGAAGGCACCGUGAUCUUGGUACCAGCUGCCGAAGACGCGUCAACCUUGGCACCCGUAACAGUAACAGGAGCAAAUCGAGGUUUCUUGGCGCCUCUUUUGAUCCGCGCAGCGGGCCCGGUGGAUGAAGGUGCAAGAGCUGGAACCUCCUUAGGAGGGCGCAUAGAGACAGGAACAACAUGUGCCGGAUUGCUCAAGUCGCCAGACGAAGCUGUCGACCACGAUGGCAACAUAGCAGACGAAGCCCCCGCGGUCAUUUCCUUCCUUUUUUGCGCCUCCAAAUUCAAGGUCUUUUGCUUCGCCUUAGCGGUCACUUGCAAUUCAAUAGUGAGCUUCACCACGGGUACGAAGUCAAAUUUUGCCUUUUUCCUCUGCUCAAGACUAGCACCGCGACGGCGCCUCUUGCCCGUAACUUUGGGGUGAGGCAGAACCACAAUAUCAUACAAGUCAAAAAUCUGAGAUGAUGACAUUCCAUUUGUAUCCAUGAUUUAUAUUGUGUUCCUUGAAUAUCCAUUAAAGUCUACUUGAAUUGAUUUGCAAUUAUGUGAAUUGUAUGUGAAACUCUUUCCUUGUAUGGUUAUUCUAAAGUUGUCCCUAGUCGGAGUUCAUGUGAGGACACAUGAAUAUUAGACUAGCACAUGUAUUAGAUGAUGACUAUGUUUCACAAGUCAUGGACAUGAAGAUGUGGAACUAAUAAUGUGGGCACAUGUGGAGACACGUGCUAGGACUGACCCAACACGAGAAGUAGUUCUCUCUUUAUACAACAUAUACGCUUUGUCCUUAGACCUGAGAUUGUCGCAUGUACUCAAGAUGUGGAUUGACUUACUUAGGGGCUAUCAAAUUCUACGCCGUAACAGGGUAGUUAUAAAGGUAGCUUUCGGGUUUGUCAAGAAGCAUGCUAUGAGACAUGGUCAAUCAAGAUGGGAUUUGCCCCUCUCUGAUUGAGAGUGAUAUCUCUGGGCCCCUCGAGUGAUCGGAUCCGAAAAUGCAUGGCCAUGCUACAUACGGUUAAGAGUUAGCCUACAAAGGGAUUCCGAAUCAUAGGAUCGAGAAAGAGCGGUCGGCUUGAAGCUAGACCAAAUAUCGUGAGGCAAAGGGAAUAGCAUGUAUAUAAUGUUGUGAUGGUUCGUCUGAUAUGAUCUUCGUGUGCGUAUAGGAGUUGGCACGUCUUGCUAGAGGUCGCUACCGACUAUUGGGCCGAGUAGGAGUACUCAGGCCAUGUCUAUACGUAUCCGAACCCAUAGGGUCACACACUUAAGGGGCUGGAAGCCCAAUUCGGAUGUGAUCCGAAUUGGAUUAGGUUUAGAAGUACUAAUGGGCCUUGGACCCAGAGGUCCGUUAGGAACCUCUAUAAAUAGAGGGGUGGGGGCGCCCUAGGGUUUACACCUUUUUGGUGAAACACAUCUGCCGCGCCUCCCACGCCCUCGCCUGUUGCAACUCGCGGACCUAGCAGUCCGGCUUGCGACGCUUCCUCCCUGCACGUGUGGAUACCUUGGAAGUGUUGCUCCUGCAGCACUUGGACGAGCCGCCAAUGAGCCACGACGAGCCACGAUGAGCCGACGAUGAGCCGCGGCACGAGGGGGAUCUUGCUGCACGUGGACGAGCUGCUGAGGAGCUGCUGGACGUCGAUGUGUUCGACUACGUACGACUACGCUGAUCGACUUCGCUGCAUCAACGCGAAUCUACAUCUUCCGCAUCAUUGCAUCGAGUGGUAAUCCCGUGAUCCUGAUACGGCAGUUUUCCUAGUUUACGCGGUAGAAAAUUUUAUUUUGCGCUAGUGUAGCCUACCUCAUAUCCCAACAACGUGUGCUAUAGGUCACGCAAGCCUGAAAAUGGCCACACCGGACACCGGGUACGAAAACAUGGGGGAUGGACCGAACAUUUGAAAAUGGCCUCCAUAUGUGUUUUCGGCUAUGAAAACGUGUGUUAUAGGUCACGGAAGCUUGAAAACGGCCGCACCAGCCACUAGGGACGAAAACGUGGGGGAUGGACCGAAGACAUAAAAAAUAGCCUCCAGACGCGUGUUCGGCCAUGAAAACGUGUGGUAUAGGUCCUGGAAGGCCAAAAACAGCUACACCGGCCACCUGGGAUGAAAAAGUUUGUGUAAGACCGAACACUUGAAAAUAGCCUCUGGACGCGUGUUCGGCUAUGAAAAGGUGUGUUAUAGGUCACACGAGCCCCAAAACAACCACAGCGAACACCGGCUACAAAAACAUGGGGGAUGGAUCGAAUAAUUGAAAAUGGCCUCCAGACGUUUGUUCGGCCAUGAAAUCGUGCGUUAUAGGUCGCGGGAGCCCGAAAACGGCCACACCGGCCACCGGGAAUGAAAAUGUGGGGGAUGGACCGAAUAAUUAAAAAUGGCCUCCGGAUGUGUGUUCGGCCAUGAAAACGUAUGUUAUAGGUCACGGGAGCAUGAAAACGGCCGCACUGGCCACUGGGGACGAAACGUGGGGGAUGGACCGAAGACGUGAAAAUGGCCUCCAGACGCAUGUUCGGCCAUGAAAAUGUGUGCUAUAGGUCAUGCAAGGCCAAAAACAGCUGCACCAACAACCGGGGACGAAACCAUGGCUGUCAAACCGAACGCUUGAAAAUCGCCUUCGGACGCGUGUUUGGAUAUGAAAACAUGUGUUGUAGGUCACGCGUGCCCGAAAACGUCCACAACGGACACCGGGUACAAAAACGUGGGGGAUGGAUCGAAUAACUGAAAAUGACCUCCGAACGCGUGUUCGGCCAUGAAAACGUGUGUUAUAGGUUGCGGGAGCCCAAAAAUGGCCACACCGGCCACCGAGGAUCAAAACGUGGGGGAUUGACCGAACAAUUAAAAAUGGCCUCCGAUUGUAUGUUCGGCCAUGAAAACGUGUGUUAUAGGUCAUGGGGGCCCAAAAAUGGCCGCACCAGCCACCAAGGACGAAAAUAUGGGGGAUGGACCAAAGACAUGAAAAUGGCCUCCAGAUGCAUGUUUGGACAAAAGUGUGUGCUAUAUGUCGUGCAAGGCCAAAAACAGCUACACCAGCCACCGGGACGAAAACGUGGGUGUUUGACUAAACAAGUGAAAAUGGCCUCCGGAAGCAUGUACGGCUAUGAAAAUGUGUGCUAUAGGUAAUGGAAGGCUAACAAAAGCUACACCGGCCACCGGGGACAAAAUCAUGGGUGUCAGACUGAACACUUCAAAAUGGCCUCCGGACGCGUGUCCGGCUAUCAAAACGUGUGUUAUAGGUCAUGCGAGCCCGAAAACAACCACACUGAACACCGGGUACAGAAACAUGGGGGAUGGACUGAAUAACUGAAAAUGGCCUCUAGACGCGUGUUCGGUCAUGAAAACAUGUGUUGUAGGAUGCGGGAGCCCGAAAACGGCCACACCGGCCACCAGGGCAUGGACCAAACAAUUGAAAAUGGCCUCCGGAUGUGUGUUCGGCCAUGAAAACGUGUGUUAUAGGUCACGGGAGCCCAAAAAUAGCCGCACCGACCACUGGGGAUGAAAUCGUGGGGGAUGGACCGAAGAUGUGAAAAUGGCCUCUAGAUGCGUGUUCGGCCAUGAAAACGUGCGCUAUAAGUCAUGUAAGGCUAAAAAUUGCUACACCGGGACUAAAGCAUCCCCCAUGAGUUACAAUAAAAGGAUUGUAUCCUCUACUCAGUCGGAUGUACUGUGUAGGUGAGAUGGUAAGGAAGCUAUGCGCGUGGUUUGAGGUUGUGGGUUGAAAUCCUACGCACCGCGCGCACACGCGCAUAUUUUGUGUGAAAAAUCAUGUGACUUGUGAUCGGCCAAGGAGAAGUGGGUGCAGCUGUGGCUUAAGUGGCUGAGGCACGCUGCCAUAGACAUCUCCGAUUUGCUCGAAGACUACCAAGACACUAGCAAUAACAAGAACUACUGCUCUUCCUAGCAGACUCUUCACAACCACUUUAAAGCUGUGCAUUUCUCAAUGCAAUUUCGUAGAAGGCAAUCGAUCCAACCACGCGACUAAAUCAUUUGUUCUUGCUAAUGAUGUACAUCAGGUUUUCUAUAUGAAGGACAUGUCUAGCAAACCUAAGAUUUUAGAAGAAAAAUAAAAAUUAUGGGAGUCAAUAAUAAAUCAGGCCAAUCAGGAGAUUAUAGUAAGCUCGAUGGUAUGCCUCCAUUCGAUGUCGAAGUUGGCCCAAGCAUCAUGUUAGCCAAAGAUCAAAUGUUCGUGCAUUGCUACGGUAAAGAUCAAUUGUGUCUUUUAAACCCAUGGAAUUUUUUAUCUAUGUUUUUAUUACACUUAAUGGAUGUCUACACAUUUGCUAGAAAAUCAAAAUAAUUUUGACUUAAUUAUUUCUUUCAACUCAAAUACUCAUUAAAUUUCUACCUUUUUAUUUAAGCAAGAGAGUUGCUCAAAAAAUGGAUACGUAACCAUGUUGUAUCAUACAAAGCAACCACAUUUCACAUAUAGUCUGGCUUAGCAAACACCAUUGUUGUCUUAACAUAGUGUUCAUGAGUUAGUAGACAUGGAUCUAUUUCUAAUUGCAAGUAGUGCAGCGUACAACCAGCCUGCACCGCCGCAGCUCAAUAUGCGAUAAUUUUUUAUCUUCCCAUGUAAUUUUUCUACUCUAGUACAUAUUGAACUCCACAUAAAUGUCAUGUUCUUUCACGCCACAGACGGUUUCUAAAGUUUGGGAACUAAAUAGAUAGCCAAAAAUUUUAAAAAAAUAUUUAUAUGGAUACAUGUAUGUUCUUUGCAAACUAACAAUAUUGUUUACAAUAUCAAAAGGAAUAUGGCUAUGAUCAUUGCCGCAUAUGGCAGGUGAUGGUAGAUGCCGUAUGGGGUUUCUUUAACUUAAUUGUAUAAUAAGCUGAAAUACAUUUUCUAUUUGCAAAUGAAUCAUAGCUGAAAGUGGUGGGAUUGUAGAACCGCCGUCCAUCGUGUCCUUGUAGGACCGCUGCACGAGCCUGUGAGCCACCAGCCACCAUGCGCCCAAGGGCCAUCACCACGCCACAAGAGGAUGCUGUCUACCCGGUUUCGCGCGCCUGUGCUAGCUGCCUGAACCUGGGCCGCCGCCGGUCGCCUGCCCAGCCGCGCGUUGCGCCAGGGUUUUGCUGGUGACGACCAUGGCCUUCGCGAUCAAAUUAAAAAGUUAUCAACUGCAAAGUAUUAGGCCUCGUUGAGCUCUACAAUUUUGAUAUAAAGUUUCUAUUCAUCUGAGAUCAAAUAAAAAAUUUGAUACUCAAAACAUAAAUCCAUUAAUCUAGUCUUGCUAAUCCUUACCACCAAAUAAAAAACUAGCAUGUGUUGUGUGUUUGUGACCCUAAACGAUCACAAAUGAAUAACUUAUGGACCUUGCUAGCGCCCGGAUGUCCAGGCCGGGGCACUAGCAUCAGACCCACGAGUAGCCGUCCGAUCGGGUUCGACACCACUUCAGGAUCUGGCUUAAAAAGAAGUCCCACCGAAACAUUGUUCCAUGUUGCAUGAAGCAACCCACUACCGUCGCCAGGUCUAGAGCAAGCACCACCUUCAAAUCUGCUGCUCACCCUAGCUAAAUAGGGGCAUUAAAAUAUUUCUCGCAUAUCCUUCUCAAAUUAAACAAAAUCGCAACAUCUGAAAAUUUUUACAGAAAACCAUGAAACAUAUCGAUUAGAUAGAUGUAACAAGAUGGAAUAUGGUAUAUGCAACAUAUAGGUUCCGAAAAGCAGAUGAAAUAUUAUGUAAUGAUUCUUGAAACAGUCGAGAAAAAUAGAUGUAACAUCUAAAAUUAAGAAAAGAAGCUUUAUGCAAAUUGCAAAAAGCUGAAACAAGUGGUUGAAACAUUUCAAAUCACCAAAUGCCACAUUUGAAAUGACCAGAUGAAACAUCACGAAAUCAAUUGCAACAGUUGAAGAUGAAAACAUUCAAAUGCCUUGCCUUUCUCCAAAUUUGACCCUCCAAGCAUGAGUCCAGCCAUUUGCACAUUAGACCCUUGGGAGGAGCUCACCGGAGAACAACAAGACCGUGUUAUCCAACAAUUUUCAGAUCAAAUUGCAACAUAAAGAACAAAGCAUUGCAACAUCUGGCAUCACGAGCUACAACAGCAACCAGUUAGGAUCAGGAGAAAGAGGGCAAACACAAGCCUAACAAUGAGUUAUAUCCGGUUUAAACAAGGAUAAAAAUGAGUGUAUUUUACACUCAUCAUGUUGUCUUUUCGCAGCUGUACCGCCUUUAGCGUGUUGUAUUGUUCCUAACACCAAGUCUCCGAGGCCCGAAAAAAUAAGGAAAGUGGUAGCAGCUCAGAAAUCGACUAAGUUUCUUUCCCCCUUUGGCUUUCCUACUAGGAUUCGGAAUCCUCUUUUGUAUGACAAUCUUAAUGAUCUCCCAUAGUCCAAAACUCACAAAAACAUCAAAAAUCCACCGAGAAUAAAUUAAGUAAAAAAACAUGCACACACAGAUAAUAAUAGUAAUCAUGUUUCAUUAUGAUUGCUAAGGUCAGACACAAUACAUAAACAUAUUAGACUGAGUGACCCACCUCACCUCAGAGUAUGCACCAUGUCUGAGUGACCCACCUCACCUUGCCAGGACACUGGUCCUGCCCUCGUGGUUCACGCGCCCUCGUGGUUCAGCAGUGGUCAGUACACAAAUCUAGCUGCCAGUCGGAUCCAAGGGCAGGCAUUUGCAUUGUGGUUGUGUUUGAACAUGGAGAUGUCAUUAUUAUUGUCAGGCACCAUACAUCCUCUCUCAGUUUCACUCCGCCUCACACACGGAUAGCACACCAGGGACCCGACACCAUGCAUGCCGAUUUCAUAUUAUUAAUAUUUAAUUUUUUUAAUGGUUGUUGAAACUAUAUUGUUGAUAUUUUUAUACAUAAUUUACGACCUAAUUUGGAUAUAUUUUUGAAAUAUUCCGAAAUCUUAAAUUCACACGUCUAGAGAUACAGUUAGUCCAAUCUGAUGUUUCCGAUUAUAAAAAUGAACAUAAAGAGAUAGGAAGCGAGAGACGUGAGGGGGAAAGUGAAAUUAGGGCCUAAGGGGUGAAGUUAGGGUUCCAGGUGAGCUGUCAUCACUACGUGUUUUUAAUCGAAAUUGGAAUGUCAGCAAUCGUCAGAUCUUGAGCCAACAGUUGAGACUGCCUCGGAAUGGUAAUUAGGUCUGCGCGAGCUUGCAUUGUGGCCUUCCUUGAAACCUUGGACAUAGGUGUUAUAUUAUUAUGUUCUUGCCAGCACACAGCAGACGACACAGUUGAGAUGUGCAUCACAUUUUCUAUAUGAAGGAUAUGUUUAGCAAACCUAAGAUUUUAGAAGAAAAAGAAAAAUCAUGGGAACCAAAGCGCCACAUAGUUCUUCCAGGUAAAAAAAAAUCAUCCACUAGACCAACACAUAUAGUAACGAUCCAAAAAGUCCAUAUUAAGAUUUUUUGAUAGCAGAAAAAACAUAAAAUGUCUAAUAUUUGUAGUAUUAAAAGGAAAAAUAAUAUAUUCACUUGACCUUUUUCCCGUAGCAACGCACCCGGUACGUGGUCAGACUUAAUGCACGAUGCCUAAGCAUCCAUUGGGCCUACCCUCGUGUGGAUCACGCGCAACAGGACACGGCUCACAAGCUAUGAUGUGCAGCAGUCGCUCAGAUGGCUGAAAGGUACCCUUAAUUUGAUGGUACCAUAUAUAUAUAUAUAUAUAUAUAUAUAAACAAGACAAACCACCGUUGAUACUACUUUGCACUACUUGAUACAUAUAUCUCCACCAAAAGCGAGGCACGUGGGGAGGAGACGAUAUGUGGUUGAUGGUACGGGUACGUGACGAGCGCACCGUACGAAAAUUUUGCUCGCGUCGGACGACUGAUGUGAAGCAUUACCCAAUCUUAAUUAUCUCGCAUAAUCCAAAACUCACAACAACAUCAAAAAUCCGUCGAGAAUAAAUUAAGUAAACCAUGCACACACAGAUAAUAAAAUUGCUAAUAAGGCCAGAGACAAUACAUAAACAUAUUAAACUGUUCAUGACACAUAUCACGGUGGAUAGUGUCUGUGUCCUUAUUACAAGCAAUGAGAGAUGCUUGUCACCACACACACGCACAGAUGCACGACAUACAUAUAGUUGAGACCAACAGAUGGAUCAACUAGAGGUCACCCCAUAUGGUGAACAAUUUAUUGGAGAUAAACAUUAACAUAACUUGGCCAUAGCUUGAAGCAUAGCAACAUAUGCCUAUGAACGGCGUUCAUGCUAUCAUUUUAGGCUUGUCCGCUUCUUCCAUCUUAGCAAGCACUUCCAUUUCUACCAUCUUAGAAGCAACUGUCAAAUUGAGAUAUGGAAAUCCCAUUAGCGCAUGAGUUAAUUUUACAGUGAAAAUAGAGUACAAGAUGUCUUCAUGAUGUAAGUAACAUGCCUGAAGUUGUGAGAUGGGAAGUGAAGUCAACAAAUUACAUUAACGGAAAUGCAUGGAAGGCCACACAUACGUAUUAGUCCAUGAUAUGCUACAAAGCUUGUAUGUACAUAUAGCAAAUUAAAUGCAUUAAUUGAAUAGAGUGAGUUUAGUGAAUUUACCAGAAUCGUCCAGAAAACAUGGGAAACAGCAAGUGUUCUUGCAGACUGCGUCGGUGCCACCCACAGCAAUACAACCAAAACAACAUGCUUUUGCCCGAGCGGCUGAGCAGCAGCCGCACUCUGCCGCGGUGGCCGAGUUAGCAUUGAGGCUCAAGAUGACCAGGCACAUGAUCACCAUCAAAGCGGUAGUCCUCUUUCCCUCCAUUGCCUCCUCUUGCUGCUACCUUCCUUGGUUACCUAGCUAAGUUUAUUGGUUUUGUGUUGAGAGGUGAUUCUUGCAUUGAAUGGACGUUGCCGCGGCUGCAAUUUAUAGGCAGCUGCGCUAUGUGAUGAUAUGGACAAGGUGCAAAUGGGUGGUCCUGAUAUGGAUAAGGUGCAUGCGAAUGGCUGUCUACUUGUAUAGUGUAGCUCCAAUGUACAUACGUAUGUAUCUUAUGCAUGUAUACAGUUGAUGGAUGUACAUGUUUGUUGCACAAAUUCUGAACCAACUCUUCAUAACAGGUCUUUGUUACCAAGUAAUUUUACUUUUGCACGUUUCAGCCGAGAGGCAGAAGAGAAUAUUUUACAGAGAGGGCAGAGAAGGAGGUUGGCGGAGGCGCCGUGGUAGGGUUCCCCGUGUCGCCAAGAUUUUUGCAUUUUACAUGUGUGCAUUGAUCACUUCGUCGUGCUCGCGGGGCCCAACUCCAGGUUGUACCCCAGCAGACCACGUUCUGUUUCUCUGCCUCCAAUGAGCAUGCAUGCCUCCACAAGGACCACAAGACUUAGUAAAAAAGCUAAACUUUGCAACACGAUGUAUACAGAACGUUUUGAAAUGUACUCUCGUUAGGCAUUCACCUCCUUAACAAUCACUGCGACUGUAAAAUAGGUACAUCGACGCUAGCUAAAUAAACCACUAUAAGAUUUAGCAAGAGAUCAUUUUAUACAAUCCUGUAACGAAACAAUUUGACAAUUAUAGUGUCCAUAUAUUUUGACAAAAAAACGUUUAAAUUAUAUAAGGAGGUGGGCCCGAAAACGGUUGGAUUACAUCGAGAACGUUUUGAAACAGUUGGCGGAGCAGGAUUCUGGCGUGGAGCAUCUACAUUGUCGCGCGCGCGGACUGCCGGAGUAGGCACGCUCGACUUGUCCCAUCGCCAGCUAAAUGAUUUAGUACCGGAUGGUCUCUAGUACCGGUUGGAGCCACCGUCCACCGGGAGCUUUCCUAGUUUGGAACUGGUACUAAUGCUAAUAUUAGUAUCGGGUCAAAAACAAUCGGUACUAAGGCUAGGGAUGACACGUCAUUUUUCUAGUAGUGUGUGCAAUUGGUUUUGUAAUUAGUCUAUAUUUAAUACUUCUAAUUAGUAUCUAAAUAUUUUAUGUGAUAGGGACUGAACUUUAGUCCGUGGAACCAAACACCCCAUAAGUAUGUUUGGUGCUGUAAGGAUUUCCUAAGGUUUUAUUUAAUUUCCUAGGCAUUUAAAUUUCUUUCUAAAAUAAGUUAAUGAAUCAUAGGAUCUCAUUGUUGUAUUCAAGCUGGUGCAUUGAUUUUGCCUAUAAAACCCGCUGUGGUCUUCGCAGCCCCCAUCAAACCCUAGCGCCCUUGCCACAAGCUCAGCACCGCUGCCGCCCGAGCUCGAGCACUAGCACCCACCCAUCGUCGUUGCCUUCCCGUCGAUGGGAUCACCGCCCGGAGCUUCGCAUCGUGGUAAGGAAGCCGCCCGUGAAGAUCCCAUGUGCUCCUAUGCCCUCUACCGUGUCCCCGAGUUCCCGAAGUUGCUAGUCUCCUACUGAGCCGACUCUCCGAGCUUCACGUCACCGGUGCCGCUCCGAAGACCUAGUUCGGUUCGCCGUGCACCUCGCUUCAUCCUGAGCUAAACCCCAUAAUGAAUGGUGGCCGGAUGCUCGCCGCCACGGCGCGUCGUCUUUUUUGUUGCCCGUGCAUUGCCUAUCCCCUUCCAGCCGAUUGCAGCUGUCCAAUCGCAAACCGAUGGCCCUGAUCGGAUACCAAGGUCAAUACCGGUCGAACCGAGCCGUGCACUGCUUUUGCAAGAAGGCUCCUGUUUUUCUCUCUUUUUGCACCUGAGGUCCUACGCAGUUCAAAAGUAAUAAGAUCUAGGUCCUUUUUCUUUUGUUUUAGCCCGUGUUCUUUUAUAAAAUCCCGCCCACUAUUCUGUUUGGUCUUUUGACGCGUUAGACCUUCUGUUUAUAUGUUUAAUUAGGUUUUAGGUCUCGAUUUCUUUAAGUUUAGCCCUUGAAAGUUUAGUUCUCUCGCAGUUAAGCCCCUGAACCUUGUUUAGCUCAUAUCUUAAGCGUUUUAAAUCCGUUUUAACAGAUUCUUGCGCCUAUAAGUUCAUGUUGACGCAUAGAUUAGUUGACUUAUAUGAACCUUGCUGAUUAAGCUCCUUGAUUGUGCCUCAGAUCUCGCUAGGGAAGAAUAAUGGAUGGGCUUUGGUUGAGCUUGUAGAUCGACUUGCAGUUGCAGUGAAUGAGCAGAGGAUUGGCAGUGAAUAAGAGGCCGCUGCCCUGCUUGGUAGGGAAAAUAUCUGCUUGCUACCAAGGCCUGUGACGCAUGGACCCCAUUGAGAGUGCAUUAUUGACAAGGACUUAAAGCCAAGGGCUCCACACCUGUCAUUGAUCAGCUGUCUGCUGGGCGCUGCAAGGAGGUAGUGCAUGUUUGACAUAAAGAAGCAGGUGGCCCAGGAUUUACGAAGAAUAAGGAUCUAUUUGAUACCCUUGCUUAUAUUUAGGGGCUAAAAGUUGCUUAUUUGAAGUUGCUUAUUUUUAAUCCUAGCUGUUUGAUUGCAUGGGCUAAAGAGCAUUGAAUGAGGUGGACAUUGUCAUGUUUGCCUCUAAUGAUUACUUCCCAUCACAUUUCUCCCCCCUCAUUCAACGAGGGAAGGAGGUGUAAAGUGCACCUUUUAGCCUCGAUAAGCAACCCUUGUGUUGUUUACGGGCUGAACAUAAGUAGCUAAAGUUUAGCUCCAAUAAACAAGAGUGUUUGGUAUUUUUGGGGUUAAAAGGGGCUAAACUUUAGCUGCUUAUGCAUAAGCAAGGCCAUCCAAAUAGGCCCUAAGUAUGUUUGGCGUUGUAAGUAGGUUUUAUUUAAUUUCCUAGGCAUUUAAAUUUCUUUCUAAAAUAAGUUAAUGAAUCAUAGGAGUUCAUUGUUGCAUUCACGCUGGUGCAUUGAUUUUGCCUACAAAACCUGCUGCCGUUUCCGCAGCUCCCAUCAAACCCUAGCACCCCCGCCACGAGCUCCAGCGCCGCUGCCGCCCGAGCUUGAGCACUAGCGCACACCCAUCGCCGUCACCUUCCUGUCAAUGGGAUCACCGCCCGGAGCCCGCAUCAUGGUAAAGAAGCCGCCCGUGAAGAUCCCGUCCGCUCUCGUGCCCUCUACCGCGUCCCCGAGUUCACCGGAGUUGCCAGGCCACCACCCAGCCGCCUCUCCGAGCUUCAUGUCGUCGUUGCCACUCUAGCUGCCACUCUGAAGACCUAGAUCGGUUUGCCGUGCACCCCGCUUCAUCCUGAGCUAAACCCCAUCAUGCCACGUCAUAGUAAGGAAGCUGCUCAUGAAGAUCCCGUGCGCUCCCGUGCCCUCUACCGCGUCCCCAAGUUCACUGGAGUUGCUAGUCCGCCACCGAGCUGCCUCUCUGAGCUUCACUUCAUCGUCACUGCUCCAGCCGCCACUCUGAAGACCUAGAUGAGUUCACUGUGCACCCCACUUCAUCCUGAGCUAAACCCCAUGACGAACUGUGGUCGGAUGCUCGUUUUCGAGCGAAUUCCGGCGAGAUGGUCACCCGCCGCCGCCGUCUCCGUCGCCCAUGCACCGCCUGUCCCCUUCCAGCCGAUGUCCGGUUGCAAACCGAUAGCCAAAAUCGGAUCUGGUCACCAGGAUUAAUACCGGUCAAACUGAGCCACGUGCGCCGCUUUUGCAAGAAGGCCCCUAUUUUUCCCUCUUUUUGCACCUGAGGUCCUACGCAGUUCAAAAGUAAUUAGAUCAGGGUCCUUUUUCUUAUGUUUUAGCCCAAUUCUUUUAUAAAAUCCCGGCUGCCAUCCUGUUCGAAAUAGAUACGGUUAUAGAUAUGCAAACAUCUGCAUAUUUCCAACCGUAUCUCUUUUGAAUGGGAGACGCCUAACUAGGUUACGUGACAUACGAACAUCAUACGGAUAGAGAGGGGUAGGAUGCCUCACCUUGCUAUCCUACAAAGUGACGACUCGAGGACGGUAAUGUAGCCUCUCCUGCAAAAAAAGAACAUACUACUAUCAAGUUAAAUUUUCGACAGCACCUCCCCUGCACGUGGAGGUUUCCAUAACCUGCAUCAAAUAAAACGGCACGAUGGCUGACAACCACAUCUACAGCACCAGAAUGGCAUGAUGGCCGACUUCCACAUAAAGUUCUUAUACCUUAGAUUGCCAAGUCAAACAUCCUUUUCUAAUUUCUAAAACAAAAGCCCUACCACCUCUCUAUCUUAUUUCCUAUGGGCUNNNNNNNNNNNNNNNNNNNNNNNNNNNNNNNNNNNNNNNNNNNNNNNNNNNNNNNNNNNNNNNNNNNNNNNNNNNNNNNNNNNNNNNNNNNNNNNNNNNNNNNNNNNNNNNNNNNNNNNNNNNNNNNNNNNNNNNNNNNNNNNNNNNNNNNNNNNNNNNNNNNNNNNNNNNNNNNNNNNNNNNNNNNNNNNNNNNNNNNNNNNNNNNNNNNNNNNNNNNNNNNNNNNNNNNNNNNNNNNNNNNNNNNNNNNNNNNNNNNNNNNNNNNNNNNNNNNNNNNNNNNNNNNNNNNNNNNNNNNNNNNNNNNNNNNNNNNNNNNNNNNNNNNNNNNNNNNNNNNNNNNNNNNNNNNNNNNNNNNNNNNNNNNNNNNNNNNNNNNNNNNNNNNNNNNNNNNNNNNNNNNNNNNNNNNNNNNNNNNNNNNNNNNNNNNNNNNNNNNNNNNNNNNNNNNNNNNNNNNNNNNNNNNNNNNNNNNNNNNNNNNNNNNNNNNNNNNNNNNNNNNNNNNNNNNNNNNNNNNNNNNNNNNNNNNNNNNNNNNNNNNNNNNNNNNNNNNNNNNNNNNNNNNNNNNNNNNNNNNNNNNNNNNNNNNNNNNNNNNNNNNNNNNNNNNNNNNNNNNNNNNNNNNNNNNNNNNNNNNNNNNNNNNNNNNNNNNNNNNNNNNNNNNNNNNNNNNNNNNNNNNNNNNNNNNNNNNNNNNNNNNNNNNNNNNNNNNNNNNNNNNNNNNNNNNNNNNNNNNNNNNNNNNNNNNNNNNNNNNNNNNNNNNNNNNNNNNNNNNNNNNNNNNNNNNNNNNNNNNNNNNNNNNNNNNNNNNNNNNNNNNNNNNNNNNNNNNNNNNNNNNNNNNNNNNNNNNNNNNNNNNNNNNNNNNNNNNNNNNNNNNNNNNNNNNNNNNNNNNNNNNNNNNNNNNNNNNNNNNNNNNNNNNNNNNNNNNNNNNNNNNNNNNNNNNNNNNNNNNNNNNNNNNGACAUUCCCAGGCCCGUCAAGUCCAUCACCGCACGCAGUCGAAUCCCGAAAUUUCCGCCAUCUUUUUCCCCUCCCUUCCCUCUCUUUCCCUUCCUUCCUUCUUUUUCCUCCCCUUUCUUUCCCUUCUCUUUUUCCUUCUCUUUCUUCCUCCUCUCCCUUUUUCCUUUUCUUCUCUCUCUUCUUUUACUUCCCUGCCACCUUCCCACUGGCGCUGCACACCCCCCCACUGCCUGGCACGCGCGUCGGGCCGCGCGCCCGCGCCCGCGCCCGCCGCCGCGUCGCGCCGCCCGUGCCACGCCCGCUCGCGCCUUGGCGUCUAGCGCUUGGCUCGGUGCGUCGCGUCGUGUCGCCGGUCACCGGUCGCCGCCCCUGUGGCCUCGUCGACCACGCCGCCACGCCAUCCACGAGCUCCACCACUCCGGCACGCCACCGGUCAAAAGUCCGGCCACCAUCAUUACCUCGGCCCUCGCCCGCCCGUGCGCCGCCUAUAAAAGGGGGGAGCCGAGCCUUCACCUCCACACCCUCACCACGAGCACCUGGCCUUCCUCCACUCCCACCACCAGAGCGCCGACGACCAUCUUCCUCUCAACCUUCUGUUGCCUCCAGGAAGAAGAAGGGGUAAAUCCCUCUCCUUGCGAUCCAACCCACCAAUUUCCCUGAUUCGCGGACAAGUCCUUCCACCAUUCCAAAAAUAAUUACAGAUAGGCCCCUGCUCUCGCGGUUCAGUCCUAAACCCCGUUUUAAAGCCCAUAAUACUCCUUUAAACCGUCAUUUCAUGCGCCAAAUUUCCUCCAAUCCACCCCAAAUUCGACCACAGCCUCCUCUCAUAUAUUCCCGCCGAGGCUUAUCGAAAUUCCAUGAAAAUACCCUGUCUAUCUAUUUUCCGUUCAUGUUUCCUGUUCGGAGCUCAGCGGGUAAAAUCUUUUUCCUUUGUAUUUAUUGUGUGCUCGUUUGUGUGUGCCGUAGAUUGUGGAGUACCCGAGGAGGAGCGCGAGGAGGAGUUCGACCGCGAGCCCGAGCCCGAGGACCCGUACCGCGAGCAGGAGCUCCCGGAAGGCUUUGAGAACGGCAAGUCCAAUCUCACCCUUUGAUGCAUAUUUAAUACCCAGUUUUUCAGACACAACCUAUUGGCCUGUUUUAUAACAUGCAUAUUGUUUUAUCGCAAGACAUGGUUGGAUAGCCACCCCUUGAUUGUUAUGACUAUUCCUUGAUUGUCCCAUAUUUAUCUCUAAAUAUGAGUUACUCUGUUUAGAUGAUAAAUACUGCUAGAAUGCUUAGGAACUCAUUACCCAAAUUCAAACUUGACUACACCUGUUUACUCGGAAAAUAAUGUGUGAGUAUGUUUAACUGAGGAGUUGGGUUUUCGGGUGUAAAGAGAGGUGGUGGAUGAGAUGGAUGGGUGUUUCUUGUGUGGAACGCCGGGUUGAUAGGCUCGUACCUCAGUGGUUGGGCAGAGUGGGAGAUAUCCAUCUUGUCAUGGCUAAGGACCGAGUUGAUGUGUCAUCCUGCCUAAUUCCAUCAUCGUACAACCACUCGACCGUUGUAUGGGCAACGGCUUAGCAUAAAUCCCACUAGCUAAACUGCUAGGCUUCAGGUGUGCUGGUGAGCAACGGGAGGCCUUGGAAACGGACUAAGCUCUUGGUGACUUAGGUCCCGGUUACGGCCCCGUGGAUGGGUUGCUAACCCCUUGAGCGCUCCUAUGUUGACUAGUCAGUGUUGGCUAAGGUGGGUAAUGGCUUUGAUAGGAUCCGUACCGACACUAAGGUGAUCGCGAUACGGUUCCCUACUUGUGGGAAAAGUGUACAACCUCUGCAGAGUUAAAACCUAUCCGGGUAGCCGUGUCCACGGCAUUGGACGAGUUACGGCUCGGUCACACAACUAGCUUUUGGGGAUGACUGGUAUUUUUUUACCGCGUGUGUGGGUGUGUGGAGUUUUGGAAGUGUCCGGCAGGUGUGCCGUGCGCUACGGCGGACGGGGAGUCCGGUAGCGAUAAAACUUGGAUCCUUUGUGUAGGAUCAACCCCACUUGAUAUGUUGUUUACUAAAAAUGUUUUCCAUUAAACCGCUUUGAAAUGGAACCCCGCAUGUGUCUAAAAAGUCAGCUUUACUGCAAAUAAACCAUAGCUUAUUCCUUGAUUAUUCAUAUGCAUAUUCUUGUUGUAUCCCCCUCCGUGGAUGGGGUUGGACUUGCUGAGUACUUUUGUACUCACCCUUGUGUUGUUACUUCAGAGGAGGAUCCGGACUUCGUCGCCGAGGACUUUGAGUAGGAGGUUGCGUCUGCACCCAACGCUGCCUGUGGUGUUGGCCCUUUUGCAGGAUGCUUCCGCUGACGCUUAGCUCCGAUUGCAGCCCGGAGUCCGACUGGACCGCAACUUGGAUUUGUGUUGUUAUCGCUUUAGUCUUGCUUUGGGUGUGGCUUGCCCGCCCGCUCCUUCGGGAGCUGUACGGUUUCUGAACUAUCUGUUGAAUAAAUGUGUUAUCAGCCUCCUGGGACUGAUAAUUUGGAUCACAUUUAGUCUCUACUUAUGUGGGGACGCUUCACCGUGACAUACUUUGCCAAGUGUGUAGCGAAAACACUCGGCAAAAUAUUAUCUUUACCGAGUGUUUUCACUAGAUACUCGGCAAAGUACACUUAUAUUUCAUGUACACUUUUUCAAUAACGUGUUUUACUAACCUUUUUCUGAUAUACUUGGGAAAAACCUUGUCAAAUUCACUCAACAAUGGAUAUAUGAUUUUUCUAUUGAUAUUAUUCCAUUAUUUCAUUCAGUUAUAGCUCAAAUUGAAUUUAUAUCUAUUAAAAAUCAAUAAUUGCAUUUAAUAAAUAAAAAUACCAAACGGAUCCGAAAAAUUUCCAAAAUUUGACAUGAACCAAUCUAUGUUGUAUGUUGCCUGUACAAAAAGCUUUGAAGUCAAACCCCAAUUCAAGUGUCACUUGGACUCCAAAUCUUAUCGGAUCCUUUCUAACUUCUAUGAAUCCUUUUGGGAGAUGAGUCGGUUUGUAAGCAUCAUAUGUCAGAAAUUGGGCGAAACCUUCUCAAUUUUUUACCACAGCCUCCACAUAUAAUAUCAUGACACCUUGACAAAUCUUAUGAUUUUCAGACUUCGUUUGCUUUUUCUAGAAUUUAACAACCAUUCAACCACAUGUUCGUGAUCGUGUUUUCUAAAAAGAAUGUUCAAAAUUUCUUUUCAUUUCCUGGUUGAGACCUCAAUCCGGAUUGAAUAAUAUGAAUAUGAUUUUUUCACUGAUUUUAAUCCAUUAUUUAAAUCACUUGCAGUUAAAAUUUGACUUAAAUAAACAAAUUCCUAUUAAUGCCAUCAAUUCAUUAAAAAUGGCAAACAGACAAAAAAUAGACCAACUUUUAAGAUGGAUUACCAAAUGUCAUAUAUGGGGAGUAGAAAAAGUGUGGAGAGCAGAGGUGGAAAAAAAAGUUUUGCCUUUGCCAAGUGCCUACACAAACACUCAACAAACUUUGCGGAGUGCCUAUUGAAAACACUCAGCGAACUUCUGAGUUUGCCGAGUGUCUAGAGGGAGCACUCGGCAACCUACUUAUUUGCCGAGUGUCCGCGUCGGACACUCAGCAAAGUACUAACGGCUGGCACACUCCCCUAACGGACGGCGCACGUGCGAGCCAUGUGCUGGAGAUUUAUCGAGUGUCAAAUCGUUGCGAGUGUCGUGUGGAUGUUUGUCGAGUGUCUUAUUUGCGACACUCGGCAAAGCUAUUGUUUGCCGAGUGUAUUAUUUAUGCCGAGUGUCUUCCAGUAUACACUCGGCAAAUGAUGUCUUUGCCGAGUGCCCGACAUAAAGCACUCGGCAAAAAUUUUACACUCGGCAACGUUCCUGUUUCCGGUAGUGAGUGACCCGGGACUAAAGACCCCUCUUGUCUCUAAUUGCUUUAUUCCGGAUGGAUUUUCAGGAGAUUUGCUCCCUACCUAGGCAAGUUUUCUACUUUUCGCAAACCAGUUAGCCCAUUGUUGAUGGGACGCAUCACUAGAAACAGCUCGGGAUCCACUUGUCCAAUAAUCGAGAGGGCCUAUAUGGACCACGUGUGCGGAUCCCUAAUUAGGAAAAAAGAAUAAUGGAGUAGGACAUCUCCAUGCUCACCUAGUAGCCGCUGCUAGCUUGUGCGUGUGGAACACGAGUGCCGGCCCAGUUGGCGCUAAGACAUCGUACGUGCAUUAAGGCUACGAUCUCUUCCUUCUAACUCAUGCUUGUGCUAUUAUACAUUAUUGCAUGAUCAUCAAGAUAAGAUCGUAUAGUGACUGAGUGAGACAUGUGUGUACUAACGUGCAUUUAAGCCUCGAACUGUGUGUUGUUACGUGAGCUGCCUCCUCACCUCGCCUCUGAAUUAUUGAACCGUUUCCAACAGUGUUGGUCUCAAAUAAAUUUGACACCAAACAUAUUUAUGAAGAAGAGAGAAUAAUACUUGGAAUUGGAAAAAGUUUAUCUCUCUUUACAAUGGGGUAGGGCUCCCCUUUUAUAGUGACCCAUGAGCCACUUUACAUUUGGAAAAUAUCCUUCCUCAACCACUACAUUAAUUCCUAGGAUAUGCCGUACAUAAAGGUCAUUUGAGGUAACGUGUACAAAUUGAACUCUUCCACAUGGUCACGUUUCUCAUACCUCCUGUUUUCCAACCUCAGAGACAUCAUCUUCACGCCAAGUUGAUCAUCUAGCCUCAAGGCUCCAUCCACGAUCCGGAAUGAACGUCCAGCCUUGAGGCUCCUUCUUCGUUAAGCUUUGUUGAGAACUCAUAACCUCACAUAGUUCUCCUCACUGGUAGAGAAUUGACCUUUAGUCCCGGUUGGUAGGGUGCAUAUCUCUCGGAUAUCCAUCCGGGAUAAACCAACCGGGACAAAAGGGGGGGUCUUUAGUCCCGGGUCACUCAACCGAGACAAAAGACCCCCUUUUAUCCCGGUUGGUAAUACCAACCGGGAUAAAAGGGGUCACCCACGGCCGGCAGCUGCAAAAAAAAAAAAAUUCCUGAGCUCCCGGGAGGCCCCCCACACGCGCAAGUCACAAGUCACAAGUCACGCAAUUUUUCACGCGAAAUAUGCGCGUGCGCGGUUCGUGGGAUUCGAACCCACAACCUCCAGCCUCGCGCGUAGCUUCCUUGCCAUCCCACCUACACACCACAUCUGACUAUGUAGGGGAUACUAUCCUUUUGUAUUAACUCGUGGGGGACCCUUUUAUCCCGGUUGGAAACACCAACCGGGAUAAAAUGCCUCUCAGAGUCUUUUUUUCCCACUAGCCUUUGCAACCGGGAUAAAAGGUCCCGGUUGGUGAGCCCCCCACCAGUGACCGAGUUUUAGUCCCGGUUGGUGAACCUUUUGUCCCGGGCCAACUUUAAACCGGGACAAAAGGGGGCGGAUGGAAAGUCGUUUCUCUACUAGUGCCUCCGAGUAUUGUUCCCGACUUAGAACACUCGAGGUUUAGCUCAGUUGGAGUUUAGCUAUUACUGUUGCCAGUCACCAGCCUCGAGCCCCUCCAGAAGCAAGGUGAUGCGAGAGUACAAGUUUUACUAUUAAAGGUGUUUCCAUAUAAUGUGCGAGGUUAAAGCACUUGCAGCAAAAGCGUGGAGCUGCUUUCAACCAGAGUGCAAUAAUGCAGCCGUGCCCGUCUUGGUCUUGGUCUCCGCCUGAACUAUAGCAGAUGCUGGCAGCGGUAGCAGGGUGGUCCAUUAUAUCUAUGGAUGGCAAUGGUCAGAUUCGGAUGGAAUCAAAUUCGAAUAGCACUUUUUACCACGUACUAAUUCAAAUCCGAAUUCGGAUUCGGAUGUUCUCGAAUGCGAAUACAAAAUGGAUGGUUCGAAUUCGAAUACUUAGCGGAUUUUUGCAUAAUAUUAAUCGAAUAGAAUUCAUUAAAUUUAGCUAAGAAAUUAAAUUUUCCAAAUUCAAAUACUUUGCGGAUUUUCGAAUACAAAUUUUUUCAUACGAUCUCGGUGAAUACAAACUUUAUAACUAAGUUGCAUAUUUAGAUUGUAUCUAACACUUUGUACUUGACAUCCUUUUCAUUUAAAAUUGUUUAAUAGCUCAAAACAUUAUUCUAAGCUCUCUAAUUUCAAAAUCUUGAAUUUUAAAUUUUUCAAACGACCUCGGAUGCAAACAAACUCUAUAUCAAAGUGGUAGUGCUUAAUGAGAUAUAAAUUUUGUAGUUGAUAAGUUUUUCAGUUGAAAUCAUAUAGUUACCGCAAACAUACAAGUUCUUCAUUUGAUGUUAAGGAUUGGAAGGGUUAAGUUUGAAGAAUAUAUUUUUUUACCACAAACUUUUUCAUAUGAUCUUGGAUGAAUAUGAACUUUAUUUUAAAGUUACAGAUUUAGAUUAGAUCAAAACCAUUAUAGUUUACAAAUUUUUCAUUCAAAAUUAUUAGUAGCUCAAAAUGUUAUUAUAAGCUCUCUAAUUUCAAAAUCUUGAAUUUUAAAAUUUUCAAACGACCUCAGAUGCAAACAAGCUCAAUAUCGAAGUGGUAGUGCUUAACGAGAUAUAAAAUUUUGUAGUUUCAUCUGAGAUCAUUUAGCAGUCACAAACAUACAAGUUUUUCAUUUGAUGCUAAGGAUUAGAGAGAUUAAAUUUGAAGGUUGUAUUUUUUAAUACAAACUUUUGCAUACGAUCUCGGAUAAAUACAAACUUUAUAUCAAAAUUGUAGACCUCCAUGAGAUUUUAAACUUUGCAGUUUACAUAUUUUUCAUUCGAGAAUGUUUAGUGGUCCAAAAAUGUAUUAUAAGUUCAGAGAAGAAACACACGUCUAGGCACAUCAUCAAUCCACAACUUUCAAACCCAGCAUUCCUAUUGACUCACACCCUUCCCUUUCAACUUGUCAAGCUUAUCUCCUCCCACUCCUCCAUGGUUCACUCCACCUACCCCUCCCUCCCUUCGCCCCAGCGGCGGCCUAACUCCCAGGACGGUGGCGUGCGGGGCCCGAGCAUCCCUGGCCUCUAGUGGCGUGGCGGGGCGGCAUCCAGCAGCAGCGGCGGGGCUCGGCCUCCGGUGGCGCGCGGCCAGCCCGACCUACCCGGUCAGAGGUGGCGCAGCGGUGCGCGGGCCUCCCCGACCAGAGCCGGUGGGGAGCGGUGCGCGGGGAGGACCUCCCCAGCCGGAGGUAGCAGGGCGCGACCUCCCCUUCCGGAGGUGGCUCCCUGUGGGGGCGCGGCCGUGACAGCUAGCGAGGCAAUAAUUGCUUCCGUACGCAGCAAUAAUUGCUCGUGCGACACCGUGGUACAGUACUCCCUCCGUUGCAGUACACUGGUCCAGGCGUCAGGACACUGGUCCUGCCCUCGUGGUUCACGCGCAUCAGGCCAGCAGACAAGCUAUGAUGUUGCCCUCGUGGUUCACGUGCAUCAGGCCAGCAGACAAGCUAUGAUGUUGCCAACAGUGGUCAGUACACAGAUCUCGCUAUCAGUCGGAUCCAAGGGCGCAGGCAUUUGCAUUGUGGUUGUGUUUCUUGGAACAUGGAGAUGUCAUUGUGAUUGUCAGGGACCAUGCAUGCCGAUUUCAUAUUAUUAAUAUUUAUUUUUUCAAUGGUUGUUGAAACUAUAUAGUUACUCCAAUAUCACGUUUCCGAUUAUAAAAGUUAACAUAAAGAGAUCGGAAGGGAGAGCCGGCAUAAUGAAGCCGACGCGUAUAAUAAGCACUACAGCCGGCAUUUAUACAAACGGGUACGCAUAGUAAAAACUAGAAUUUAUAAAUAAAUGAAGAUAUUCAAAUAUCUGCCUUACUUUUUUCAUUAAUUUUGCAUGAAUAAGGGAUGAUUCAUUAAUCAUUAUUGAACAAAUUGGCACACAUGCUUCGUGCCCGCGUUGGGAGCAUUAUGCGAUGCCACCGAGCUGCACCACCACGGUAGAGGGCCUGUUUGGGAAGGGGUGUUAAAGUUUAACACCCCCCAUUUAACACAUUUUUAACAAAAUGGCUGCCAAACACUUGUGUUAAAAGAGUAGUGUUAAAAUUUAACACCUCUCUUUUCAUAAACACAUGGAGGGGGUGUUAAAAUUUGCUAAAUGUGUUAAAAGUGGUCCCCUCCCCACUUAUUCCUUGGUUGCCCCCCCCUCUCUCCUCCUCUCUCUCCUACCCGCCGCAUUUAAGAGCAUUAUUGAGGGGUAAUGCAGUCCUUUUCCAACAAAAGUGUUAAACUUUAACAACCCAUCCAAACAUCCCACAUGUGUUAAAGUUUAACACCUCAUUUGAGGGUGUUAAAGUUUAACACCCUGUUAAACUUUAACACCCCUUCCCAACUUAACACCCCUUCCCAAACAGGCCACAAGCAACACCACCGGCUGACUGUGCUAGCGGGGAGCACCCUCACCGCCUGCCCGUGGGGACUUCUUCUGCCGGCCAUCGUGUCUUUGUAGGACCGCCGCGCGAGCCUGUGAGCCACCGGUGGCCGUGCGCCCAAGGGCCAUCACCAUGCCACCUGAGGAUGCUGUCUACCCGGUGCCGCGUGCCUCUGCUAGCUGCCUGCACCUGGGCCGCCGCUGGUCGCCUGCACAGCCACGCGUUAUAGCCGCCCCCCUGUGCUGGGCCACCCCAUUUCGUGUUGGAAGAACUGCCACAGUCUCGCGCACUGGGGUUUUGCUAGUGACGACCAUAGCCUCCAAGAUCAAAUGAAAAAGUUGGCACUCAAAAUAUACAUCCAUUAAUCUAGUCGUGCUAAUCCUUACCACCAAAUAAAAACUAGCAAGUGUUGUGUGUUUGUGACCCUAAACGAUCACAAAUGAAUAACUUAUGGGCGUUGCUAGCCUAUAAGUUAUGGGCGUUUGUGACCCUAGUCGCGCCGGGGUCUUGCUGGUGACGACCAUGGUCUUCGCGAUAAAGUAUUAAGUCUCAUCGAGCUCUACAAUUUUGAUAUAAAAUUUCUAUUCAUCCGAGAUGAAAUGAAAAACAAAUGAAAAAAUCCGAAGUAUUAGGCUUCAUCGAGCUCUACAAUUUUGAUAUAAAAUUUCUAUUCAUCCGAGAUCAAAUGAAAAAAUCCGAGAUCAAAUGAAAAGUUGGAACUCAAAACAUACAUCCAUUAAUCUUGAUAUAAAAUUUCUAUUCAUCCGACAUCAAAUGAAAAAGUUGGCACUCAAAAUAUACAUCCAUUAAUCUAGUCGUGCUAAUCCUUACCACCAAAUAAAAAAACUAGCAUGUGUUGUGUGUUUCUGACCGUAAACGAUCACAAAUGAAUAACUUAUGGGUGUUGCUAGCAUCCCGGACGCUAGCAUCGGACGCAUGAGCAGCCGUCCGAUCGGGUCCGACACCACUUCACGAUCUGUCUUAAAAAAAAGUUCCACCGAAACAUUUUUCCAUGUUGCAUGAAAUACCCCACUAUCCAUCGCCAGGUCUACAGGAAGCACCACCUUCCAAUCUGCUGCUCACCCAAGUAAAUAGGGGCAUUAAAAUUGCAGAAAUAUGUCACAUAUCCUUGUCAAAUUAAACUAAAUCGCAACAUCCAAAAAUUUCUUACACAAAACCAUGAAACAUAUCGAUUAGAUAGGUGUAACAAGAUGGAAUAUGGUAUGCAACAUAUAGAUUCCGAAAAACGGAUGAAACAUUAUGUAACGAUUGUUGAAACAGUCGAGAAAAAUAGAUGUAACGAUUAAAAUUUAGAAAAGAAGCUUUAUGCAAAUUGCAAAAAGCUGAAAUAAGUGGUUGAAACAUUUCGAAUCACCAAAUGCCACAUUUGAAAUGGCUACAUGAAACAUCACGAAAUCAAUUGCAACAGUUGAAGAUGAAAACAUUCAAAUGCCUUGCCUUUCUCCAGAUUUGACCCUCCAAGCAUGAGUCCAGCCAUUUGCACAUUAGAACCUUGGGAGGAGCUCACCAGAGAACAACAAGACCGUGUUCUCCAACAAUUUUCUGAUCAAACUGCAACAUACAAAACAAAGCAUUGCAACAUCUGGCAUCACGAGCUACAACAUCAACAAGUUAGGAUCAGGAGAAAGAGGGAAAACACAAGCCUAACAACCCCAAGACGAAACUGAUGUACUCAUCAUACAUCACGGCUUGCCGUGCACAGAGAUGAAGGCCGCCAAGCUCAAUCGAAACAGAGACGACGUGAUAGUGCUCCAGAUCGACGGUCCCCAUCAAUUGUUGCGUACACUGCCAAAAGCAAUGGAAGAAGAAGGGUCGUCCCUGCUCGACCUCCGUAGAUGAGCGCAGAUUGGGGGAAACUGUAUAGAGUGCCGCUGACAGCACAGGCGAGGGGGCUCAGGCUUGAUUCAGGGUGAGGGUAGCGGGUAGCAUGAGGAGACAGUCAGGUUUCAUAGGAGAGAGGUGGAGGAGAGAGCUCUGGUGACUCGGUGAGGAGGGUGCGGCACGGAGAAAGGUGUGUAGCUGAAGGAGCUACAUGGUUGGGGGGAGGCGAGCGUAGAGACCAGAGAGGGAAAAAAAGCAUGGGGAGGAGACGAUAUGUGGUUGAUGGUGCGGGCACGUGGCGAGCGCACCGUACGAAAAUUUUGCUCGCGUCGGAUGACUGAUGUGAAGCAUUACCCAAUCUUAAUUAUCUCCCAUAAUCCAAAACUCACAAAAACAUCAAAAAUCCGCUGAGAAUAAAUUAAGUAAACCAUGCACACACAGAUAAUAAAAUUGCUAAUAAGGCCAGAGACAAUACAUAAACAUAUUGGACUGUUCAUGACACAUAUCACGGUGGAUAGUGUCUGUGUCCUUAUUACAAGCAAUGAGAGAUGCUUGUCACCACACACGUGCGCACAGAUGCACGACAUACAUAUAGUUGAGACCAACAGAUGGAUCAACUAGAGGUCACCCCAUAUGGUGAACAAUUUAUUGGAGAUAAACAUUAACAUAACUUGGCCAUAGCUUGAAGCAUAGCAACAUAUGCCUAUGAAUGGCGUUCAUGCUAUCGUUUUAGGCUUGUCCAGCUUCUUUCAUCUUAGCAAGCACUUCCAUUUCUACCAUCUUAGCAGCAACUGUCAAAUUGAGAUAUGGAAAUCCCAUUAGCGCACGAGUUAAUUUUGUAGUUGAAAUAGAGUGCAAGAUGUCUUCAUGAUGUAAAUAACAUGCCUGAAGUUGUGAGAUGGGAAGUGAAGUCAACAAAUUACAUUAACGGAAAUGCAUGGAAGGCCACACAUACGUAUUAGUCCAUAAUACGCUACAAAGCUUGUAUGUACAUAUAGCAAAUUAAAUGCAUUAAUUGAAUAGAGUGAGUUUAGUGAAUUUACCAGAAUCGUCCAGAAAACAUGGGAAACAGCAAGUGUGCUUGCAGACUGUGUCGGAGCCACCCACACGAAUACAAAGCUGACAACAUGCUUGUGCCUCGUGGGAUACGCAGCAGCCGCACUGUGCCGCGGUGGCCGAGUUAACAUUGAGGCACAAGAUGACCAGGCACAUGAUCACCAUCAAAGUGGUAGUCCUCUUUCCCUCCAUUGCCUCCUGUCGCUGCUACGUUCCUUGGUUACUAGUAAGUUUAUUGGUUUUGU